rnacentral:lncRNA from 1 species
GCUCAUGUCCCCUUGAAAGACUUGUUGUGAUCUUAUUUAUAGUUUUAGAGAUAUAUGGUUGGAAGGAGUCAUAUGUUAUGGUUGUGAAGUGAAUGUAUGAGGUUAUUUUACUAACGAACGUGGAACCUUUGGGAAUAUUAACGGAGCAAACGCAGGAGGAAAGGAACCUUUUCGAUUUAGGAGAAAGUCGACGUCGGACGCGUUCGAUAAGGGAGCAGGAUCAGAGAAUGGACCAAGGAACUCUCCUCCUACUUACGGCCUGUGAUCUCUAACUCAAAUCUCAAAAGAGAGAGAGAAGAAACAGAAUAGCCCCCAAAACGCUUUCGUUUUGACGACACAUCAAAGUGGUCCUUUCCUUGCAUGCAGAGUGCGCGUGUAUGAGUUUGUUUUGUGUGUGUUGUGAAUACGUCUCUGUUUUUACUCUUUUGUUUUUGUACGUCAUCUCGUUUCUACGUGUCUGUACAUUUUUUGCUGCGAUGAUGAUAAUAAAAAUACAUAGAUGCUUAAUAUCAGUUCUUUUUAUCCGUUGAUCCAGUACACUCUUCAGUGUUCUUUGUGUGGACAUAACAGUCCCUUCGGAGGCAAUGUUCAUUUUCUAAAAGAAAAAAAUUAUAAUACUAAAUACUAAAAUAAAUUUCCACAAUGACUGCAGAAAAACACUUUAAACUUUUCCUGAAUUGACACAUUAUCCCCAAUCUAAAAUUUUAAAAACCUAAAUUGGAAAAAGAAGAAAUUGACAAAUGGCCAAGUGUGUUUAGUUGAGGAAGCUUGCAAGGCCUAUGAUGUGGAUAGUGUAAUAUAUAUAGAGAUAUAUGAGAUAACUCUAUGAUGUGGAUAGUGUAAUAUAUAUAGAGAUAUAUGAGAUAACUUAUUUUGAACCAUACAAUAUUCUUUGGCAAAAUUAAGUUUAGUCUGACCAUUGCAUAGGUGAAGCAUCCUUCUUUACAACUAAAAUUAAAGGACCUUCUUCCUUAACACCUUACUAUCUUUUUGUGAGGCAAAGCUAAUAGUUUGAGGUUAAGGUGUUGAAUAACUUAGUAAGCUGUAAAUGGAUUAGACUCACCUGUCCUAUAAUAGCAGUAAUCAUUAAAUAAAUUCAGUUUCUUCCGGUCCAAGACAUAGAUUUGCUGAUAAGAUUAAGUAUUGUUCCAACUUAUAAAUGGGUGUUUACUUUUAUAUAUGAAUAAAUUGUAUCAGUAUUUCCUUUCCAGUCAGUGGGAAAAUUUAUGAAGUCACAAGAGAAAGAAAGAAAAAACAGUAACGCCAAUCGUUAGACAAACAAACAUUGGAAUAUAAACCUAUUCGAGGGAGAAGUAGGCCUUCCAUGUCAUCAGUUACCCCAUCUUCAUCGACAAACCUAAUUUUCUUACACUUGAAGCCUUCCAUGUUAUUAAUAUCAUAUCAUAUGAUUGUGUAUUUGUGUGCUACUGUAAUGUGAUGUUCAUAUGAUUGUAUGUGCGCUAGUGAGUUUGUUGACGAAAGGAGAAGCCUUUCUUACUCUGAGCUAUGGGCAGGACCUACUUAUUCCAACUCUCCUCCACCUACUUCUGUGCCCAUUCCUAAGUUCUCUCUCCGGCAAAGAAGGACGGUUUCUUUAACCUUUCCAUCUCCUGACUCUGCUGUUGAUGUUCUUGAAGUUGCUAAGUCUGCUCCUGUUUCUCCAACCUCAUCUUGUGACGACGACAACCCGUUCCACAGUACUGUCUCUGCUACUAUGACACUGCGCCGCAUGCUUAACCUUGAGACUGCUGACGAAUGAAGAUCAGGAGGGUUUAGGGGAACAUGGAUUAGUUUUAGUUUUCUGCACAUAGUAAUAAUAAGGUGUAAGUCACCAAGCUAGUUUAAAGAACACAGAGGCAGUCUUGACACAUAGCUGGUCAUCAGCUAUUGUGAGUAUAAACAUUCAGGAAACAGAUUGAAACUGCAUAAGGGAGAAGACUUGGUUCUUGGUUAGCAUUUAGCAGCAUAAAGGAUGGCUGGUGAUGCUUUGAGUAUUAGCAUUUGUUCUUUGUCCUUUGUAUAGUUUAUCUUUAGAGCUGUCUUUUUUUUUUCUUCCUUUGGCUUCUUUACUUAAGUGGGUUAGAUAGAAGCUAGGUUUAUGUGUCUACGCUCGAACGCCUCUUGGGAUCUUUGUCUUCUUACCUUUUCUCUCGUAUCUCUUCCCUUGUCCAUAUUUUUUCUAUUAAUCUUUUCUCUUCCGUCUAGUUCAUUUUGUUCAAGCCUUAGAGAUGUAAAUCUUACUACUUUGGUUAAGUGAUCUUCCUCUUCAGCUCUUUUCCUGAUUUUUUUUUUUGUAAAGGAAGAAGGGAAUAGGAAGUUCUAGUAACACUGAUGAGUUUCAUCCAUCUUGAUACCUGAAACACACUAAGUUUCCUUGGAGUUUCUUGAUCCUGCUUAAUCUGCUCACCAGGUAAAUUUUACAGCAAAAUCUCCCAACUAAUGAAUCUGGAUAUGUAGCUUUACACAAGUUUAUGACUUUGUAACAGGGACCUAUAGUAGCUGCUGCUCUGCUCUGCUUUAUUAUGGUUUCUUUGUCUCCUACUAUCUCUGGUUAUGUUUGUUACGCAGUGAUAACUAUUUUCUGCAGUUAAAAAAAAAAAAAACUAUUUUCUGUGUUUGGAACUGUUGUGUGAAGCUUUUUACAAACGUAUGUUUCUUCUUGUCUUUUAGUAGUUUGUGACAGUAGUAGACGUUUUGAGUUUUAAUGUUGAAGAGAAAUGUAUCCCUUGUUCCCUAAAUUAUUAUCAUUCUGUAUAUUUUGAACUUUUAUUUAUUUUUGUAGUGAGAUUUGGCGACUGUACUUGUAGAUUAAAGGCUGUUUUGGGUGUCAAACCAUAUCUGAAAGAUUGAAGCUCAAAUGGGCGUAUGUAGAGUUAAUACAACCAACAUAUGAAUUGAUAAAGCAUUUUACACAACUAAAAAAUCAAACUAUUAAUUAAAAUUUGUUGUUCAUUUUAGGAUUUAUCCAAUUUUCAAUUAUUAAAGAUUACAAACGGACACAAUGAAUUUCCUGAGAAGUAUCUAUCUCUCCUAAUCAUGUACUCUCUUAGUUCCAAAAGAUGUAUGUUUUUUUCUAUAUGGAUUUACCUUUUUAAUUUCAAAUAUAUCCACGUCUAACUAAUGGAAGAUGUCGAUGGUUUCAUCAUAAUUCGAUGGUGAACCAUUCGAUUAAUAUUUUGCCAUAAAGGGUUGGUAUUUGCCGACACUACAAGAAUUUUAAAUUUGGAUAUAAUUUAUCUUGUUUGAGAGUUUGCCAUUAGUCAAACACUCAAAUCAUACUAUUUAUUACGGUAUUAUACUAAAUCUAGAAAGUAUACAAUAAAAUCUGGAAAUUGAUAAACAAGAAACAGAAGAUUAAGGUACACUAAAAGCUAAAGAUUGGAAAAUUAAAGGACCAUCGAAACUAAUUGUUAUUGUAAUUUAUCAAAAAAAAAAAACUAAUUGUUAUUGUUUAGUGUGGAGAUCUCUUGAAAAAAGAAGAGAGGCCAUAGUGCUGGUUACUGUUGAGUGUUGAGAUCUUCACCAAAAGAGAAAAAGGAUAUGAGAAAAAAAAAAAAGAAAAAACUUUCCCUUGUACCAAUGAAACAAAACAGGUCUGAGUACUGAAAAAGUGUGAAUUUGGAAAUCUAUUUCCCACUCCCUUUCACUUCGAUCUCCUUAAGCUCAAACUUGAAAUAAUCCUCCCACUCUCUCUCUCUCUUUCUCUAGGCCUUCCUCUUUCGCCAUUUCGAAAUUGCAGAAACUCGCGCAACUCCGGGGGGUUCUCUUACUCAACUCUCUUCUCUUGUCUCACUGGUUAAAGACUCUCACUUUCUGAUGCCCUAGCCUUCGUAGAUUUGUGGGUUUCUCUUUGACUUUUCUGGGUUUGCUUCAGUUCUCCUGGAGGGAGCCACUAAGAUUAUGCUGCAAGAUUAGGGUUUUCUCGAGAAAGCUGUAAUCUUUGUGCUCUACACUUAAUGGGUAUCUGUUCUUUGGCGAUUUCGAUUGAGUUUUGUGCUUUAGAAAUGAUUUAGCUUUAGGUGUUGGAAGAUCUUGUAAUUCAAAGUUUAGAUUUUUUUUUAGCUUUAGGGUGUGUGUACUGUGAAAUAGAGAAGAAAGUAGUGUAUUGAUUAUCCUCUGGCUAUCCUGGAGAUCUGGGAUUUGUUUCAUCUCUUAUGUCAGAUGAGGACUUUUUACCCAUCUGAUUCUUGUAGUAAAGAAUCACAUCUCAAUUCCUUGAAUCCACAGUCAUGGCUUCAAGUUGAGAGAGGGAAGCUAUCUUCCUCUGCUUCUUCUUCUGCGUAAGUUUCUCUCUCUUUCCUCCUGCUGCUUUCAUUUGGUUAUCUUUAAGCGAUGGAGUUAACCCUUUGCUUUCUUUUGUAGUCCAUUGUGCAGAGAAUCCUUCAUCAAAGUCCCUGAGCCGCAGAUACUGCCUCACUAUAAGCCUCUUGACUAUGUAGAAGUUCUUGCUCAGAUUCAUGAAGAACUUGAGUCUUGCUCUUUAGAGGACAGAUCGAGUCUCUAUCUGUUGCAGUAUCAAGUCUUUAGAGGUCUUGGAGAGACCAAACUCGGUCAGAGAAGCCUUAGAUCAGCUUGGCAAGAAGCUACAACUGUCCACGAGAAAGUUGUGUUUGGGUCUUGGUUAAGGUACGAGAAACAAGGAGAGGAAGUCAUCGCCGAGUUGCUUUCUUCUUGCGGUAAGUAUUCAGAAGAGUUUGUGCCGUUGGAUAUUGCAUCUUAUCUCCCGGUUACUUCCCCUGAGGCAGCAUCUGUGAAGGUGAAGCGCCACAUUUCAAGAAACGUUGUGUUUAAGAUAGAACAAGAGAGAAUAGCUUGUGACAGAAGGAAGAUUGCUAGCCUUUCGGCUCCUUUCCACGCCAUGCUCUAUGGGAGCUUCACGGAGUCGCUUCUUGAUGAGAUAGACAUGUCAGAGAACCAUGUAUCCCCCUCAGCUAUGCGUGUUGUAAGAGACUUCAGCGUUGCUAAUGUUCUAAUCGGAGUCUCCAAGAAUCUUUUAAUAGAAGUUUUGGUCUUUGCUAACAAGUUCUGCUGCGAGAGACUCAAAGACGCUUGCGACAGAGAGCUAGCUUCUCUGGUCUCCUCCAUGGAAUGUGCCGUUGAGCUAAUGGACUUUGCGUUAGAAGAGAGCUCCCCGAUCUUAGCUGCGUCGUGUCUGCAAGUGUUCCUUUACGAGUUGCCUGAAAGUUUAACUGAUGAGCGUGUUGUCGAGGCGUUGACUCGUGUCAACAGAUCUCAAGUCUCAACCAUGGCAGGGAAAGCUUCAUUCUCUUUAUACUCUUGUCUAACCGAAGUCUCCAUGCGUUUAGAUCCUCGUUCCGACAGAACAUUGUCUUUCUUGGAGAAAGUGGUUGACUUUGCGGAGAGUGAUCGGCAGAGAAUGUUGGGGUUUCAUCGUUUAGGUUGCACAAGGCUGUUGAGGAAAGAGUACCGUGAAGCAGAAGAAGCAUUCGAAACCGCGUUUAAUCUAGGCCAUGUGUAUUCAGCAACUGGAUUAGCGAGAAUAGGUUACAUCCAAGGCCAUAAGCUUUGGGGCUACGAGAAGCUAACCUCUGUGAUCUCCUCCGUUUCACCUCCUCUCGGAUGGAUGUAUCAAGAAAGGUCUUUAUACUGUGAAGGCGAUAAGAAACUCGAGGAUCUUGAAAAAGCAACUGAGCUGGACCCGACUCUGACGUAUCCUUACAUGUAUAGAGCUGUCAAGUUAAUGUCUGAACAAAACGCUGAGGCUGCGCUCGAGGAGAUCAACAGGAUCUUGGGGUUUAAGCUCGCGUUGGAGUGCUUGGAGAUCAGGUUUUGUCUUUAUCUCGGUAUGGAUGACUAUGAAGCUGCGCUUCGUGAUAUCCAGGCUGCUCUUACUUUGUGUCCGGACUACAGAAUGUUUGAUGGGAAAGUAGCUGCGAGGCAGCUGAGGACGCUGGUCUAUGAGCAUGUGGAGAGCUGGACGACGGCGGAUUGUUGGAUGCAGCUUUAUGAGAAAUGGUCUAACGUUGAUGAUAUUGGUUCUCUUUCUGUGAUCUAUCAGAUGCUUGAAGCUGAUGCUUGUAAAGGUGUUCUCUACUUCAGGCAAUCUUUGCUUCUCCUAAGGUAAACUAAGUUCUCAAUCAGUUUCAUCCUAAGGUGGUAACCAUGAUUCUAAAAACUGGUCUAUGCAUUAUUUUCUUAAAUCCGUUUUAUACUACUCAAAUCAGUUUAAACCAUUAUAAAUCAAUUUAAAAUAGUUUAAAUAUGUUAAAUUAAGUAAUAAUGUUAGUACAAAUCCACAAAUUGGUCUAAUUUAUUUUGUUUUGUACAACUAAUUUUGAUAAUUCAUCAAAAUAAUCUUAGAAUUAAAUCCAAAAACUAAAAUAUAUUUUCUCUAACAUUUGUGGUAACUGAGCAUCUCAUGUUCUUUUGACCAGGUUGAAAUGUCCUGAAGCAGCAAUGCGUAGCUUACAGUUAGCUCGAGAGCACGCCUCUAGUGACCAUGAACGUCUGGUGUAUGAAGGGUGGAUCUUAUAUGACACUGGUCACUGUGAAGAAGGGCUUCAAAAGGCUAAAGAGUCCAUAAGAAUCAAGAGAUCAUUCGAAGCCUACUUCCUCCAAGCUUAUGCCUUAGCAGAGUCUAGCCUUGAUCCGUCUAGUUCUUCAACCGUUGUUUCUCUUCUUGAAGACGCUCUUAAAUGCCCCUCUGAUAGGUUGCGGAAAGGCCAGGUACGCCUCGUUCACCACCACAUAGUCAGGACCAGGCUAUAAGAUAAUUUAAUAAGAAUUUAUAUAAUUUUUUUAUAAAAAAUUUAGAGGUCUCUCUCUAUACAUGUAAAUUUUUCUUAGAAUUUUGGGGAUCUAGGCUAAUGUUUCAUUAGUCUAUGUUCAGGUCCUGCACUUACUGCACUUAGUACGGAUUCAGAGUUGCUUUAUAUUGUUUGUUUUGUUUCUAGGCUCUAAACAAUCUUGGGAGUGUGUAUGUGGAUUGUGAGAAGCUAGACUUAGCUGCAGAUUGUUACAUAAACGCUUUGAAAGUGAGGCACACACGUGCGCACCAAGGCCUAGCUCGAGUCCAUUUCCUUAGAAACGACAAAGCUGCUGCCUAUGAAGAAAUGACCAGACUUAUCGAAAAGGCUCAGAACAAUGCAUCUGCUUACGAGAAAAGAUCAGAGUACUGCGACCGUGAACUCGCCAAGUCUGAUCUUGAAAUGGUCACACGGUUAGACCCUCUCAGGGUUUAUCCUUACCGUUACCGAGCCGCAGGUUUGUCUUUAACUCAGCUCGUACGCUCUGUUUGUUGUUUGGUCAUCUUGCUGAUAGUGUUUGGUGUUUGAUAGUGUUGAUGGAUAGUCGGAAGGAGAAAGAGGCUAUUGAGGAGUUAUCACGAGCUAUUGCCUUCAAAGCUGAUCUCCAUCUACUUCACUUAAGGGCGGCUUUCCAUGAGCACAAUGGUGAUGUUAGUAGUGCGUUGCGGGACUGUCGUGCGGCGCUCUCGGUUGAUCCUAACCAUCAAGAGAUGCUCGAGCUUCAUAGCCGUGUUAAUAGCCAUGAACCUUGAGUGUCAAGAAAGCUUGAGAUGAUGGUAAAGUGUGAACAGAUUUGUAUUCAUAGUUGUAAACUUAUAUUCUCUCGUUACUCUUUAUUUAUUUUUGUUAUUGUUUUCCUUAAAAUCGGUAUUAAAUUUUCAACCUAUCAUCUUAAACUUCAAAUUUCUGUGGCCUAAAAAUGUGAAAACAAAAGUACAAACAAUGUGAUAGACAGAAAAGUAAAAGUAAAAACAUCGGAUUUAGCUUUACAAAAUCGAUGCCAAUUUAUCAUAAUUUGACUCCUAUUAUUUAAAUCUAUAAGCCAUAUUUUGUCAAAAAUACAAGUGUAUUUUUAGCAAUGGUAUCUCUCCGUAUAUGUAUAAUCUUUUGUAAAUAUUUUAUAAAUUCAAUAAUGUUGAAAUUUUAACAAUUGAUUAAUUUAUAGAAAACUUGUUAAUUAAUAAAAUAAUAUUUAUUAAUUUUAUAGAGAAAAGUCUUUUAGUUUAUAAUUUUAUGAAAAAUUAAAGAACUUAUUUCUAAAAAUAUUUAGACAAAAUUAAAAUAAUAUUAGCGAUUAUAAUAUAGUAAAUUUCUAUGGCAUAUUGGACUAUCUAGAUGACAUAAUCCUAAGUUCAAAACUUUAAAUCACGGUCUCAAAUAUUUAUGAAGUUGAAAAUGAUACAAUAAUAUGUUUUCGGAUAAUUAAGAGCAAAAACUCAAUUAUAUAAUAUGUGUUGAUAUGGGUUUCAAUAACAUUUUAACUUCAAUAAACAAAAAAAACUUGAGUUAUAUUUUAGUAUACUAUGUUAAGUUAUAUUUUUUUUUCUUUCAAAUCUCUCACAUCUAAAAUAAUAAAAAUUAGAAAAAGACAAAGAUAUAUAGGAAAAGACUGAAAGAUACAUAGAUGAGCAUUUCUAAUAAAAAUAUUUAAAAUAUAUAGAAAAUUAUUAAUAUUUAAAUUAUAUGAGUUUUUUUGAAAAAUGCAUACAAUAUUUUCUCAAGUUAGAUAUUUUAAAGAUUUUAGUGUAGAUUUUUAAAAAUUUAGAAGAUUCAUCCAAUUAAAUAUUGGUAUAAUAGUUUUAUUUCAUUUCAAUUUUAAAUACUCAUGUAAGAAGUUAUUCCUAUUAAAAAUGCUCCCAAAAAGGAAAAUAAACGGUGUUUGACUGUUUUCCUUGUCUUUUUGUUUUUUUGUUCUUGUCACGGAAUCUUAAAUUUACAGAAAAGAACAUUAUCUAUUUUUAGGGAAAUGAAAAUAAAGAAAAUAGCGUGAGUGAGGGAGAGAAAGUGAGAAGACUUUGACUUUGUUUUGAAGCGAGAAACAAGGCGCGGAGAAAUGAAGACGAUGAGAAACAGCUGCUGAAACAUAUCACACACCCAAAUUGCAGAAAAAAAAAUGUUCUUAAUCUUAAUCCACCAAUGAAAUAGUUUUUUUCUUUUGUUCCUCGUUAAAAUUAUUCAAAAAUAAAAUCUCGAUUUUUCGUGUCACCUCUCAAGAUCUGUUUCCUUAAUUAUGAGAUUAAAGGAUAAAUCAAAUUCGAAGCGUUGUUGUUCGAAUCGAUAAUCGCAAUUGGGGGUAUCAGAUCGAAGAAUCGGUUCUGAGCAACGUCGUCUCGAAACGGUGGAACGAUGAACUGGGGAACAUUGCUCAAGGACUUCAAGGAUAAGGUCGGGUUAGCUGACGGCACAACCGCCGGAGACGCUUCCCGUGACCUCAUCCCUCCGCCGUCGUCUCCACCAUCGCCUUCCUCGUCCUCGAGCUACGCCGCGUCUCCUCAACGUGACCUCACUUUAUUAUCUCCCACAAGGUAGGCAAUGAAUUGAUUAAUGUUGGCAUAAGCAGUCAAUCAAUGAGUCACUUGUUUAAUUUAAUAGCCGAGAGAGAUAUAACUUGGAGCUGGAGUUUAGGAGAUACUGGGAAGAGUUCUCUUCCUCCACCUCCGAACAGGUUCGUGCUUUUAUCAUUUGUUCAUUGAUGAUAAUCAUUUAAUUUAUAUAUUGUCACACCAGGAGAAAGAAGCAGCCUUGACUAUGACUGUGAAUACGUUUUGUACCAUAGCGAAGCAGCAUGCCAACAUAGAUCAUUUAGUUACCAUGUAAGCCACCCUCCCCUUUUCUAUCUCUAUGGAUUCAUAUUUUUUAUUCAUAUUGAGCUAUUUGCAGGUUAGUAGAAAUACAUGUAUUCUCCUUUGUCAUUGGGAGAGCAUUUGUGACAGAUAUUGAGAAGUUAAAGAUUAGCAGCAAGACAAGGUCAUUGGAUGUAGAGAAAGUUAUUAAGUUUUUUUCUCAAGUCACCGAGGUUUGCCUCUCCUUGUGAGUAUUAGUGAAUCAGGACAUGUUACCUUCUCUUCUAUUUUAAUCCAUGAUUUUGUUUUUUUUUUCCUGCAGGAAGGUAUAAGUCAUGGUGAAAACCUUUUAACUGCUGUUGAAGUCCUUGUAUCUGGGGUACCCUUUUUUACUUUUACUUGUCUUCCUUCUCUUGACCGAAUGAUUGACAACACUUAACUAUGAGUUUUAAGUUUUAGUUGUUUACCAAAAAAAAAAAAAAACUACUCGAGUUUCAAUAUUUGAUAGCUAACUGGUAGUUACCCUCACCAAUUUUGGAGGACGUGGGAAAUAUUUUAGGGUGCUGACUCUUUUAUGGUUUGAAUGCUAUAGACUGUAUUGGUUUAUAUACUCAACCUUUCAUGUGUUUUCUUUUUAGAACAUUGACAAACAAUCUCUACUGGAUUCUGGGAUAUUGGGUUGUCUUAUACACACGCUCAACGCGCUUCUGAUGUAUAGUGUAGCCAGUGAAGGUGAAAAAUCUGUUAGCUUGGAAGAAAAGGUAAAUAUGGCAGAUGUAGUACUCUUUAAGCUAGUCACUUGACGUUCUAUUUCAAUGGUUUUCAAUACAAAUCUGACAUAAGUGUUUCAUCCUUGGUACUGGCCAAAGUGUUUACUCUGCAAUGCCUUAUCUUUGAGACUUUUAACGCAUCCUCAUUCUUGCAGGUGGAGGAAAGCGUUAUCCAUAUCAUGAAAGCACUGGCAAGCCAUCCUUAUGCUGCACAGAGUUUGAUUGAAGAUGACUCCCUUCGGUUGCUUUUCAAAAUGGUUGCCAAUGGUUCCGUUGUGGCUUUCUCUCAAUACAAAGAAGGUCUAGUUUCAUCCCGUAACAUACAGCUUCAAAGACAUGCAAUGCAGGUAAUUUGUUGCUCCCCUGUUCUAAAAAUUGGGCAAUGUGUUUUGAAGCUGAAACAGCUGCGAACUGCACUUUAGUAUGAUCUUUGAAACUUGAGCGGAUGUUGUGAUGCUGAAAGUUUCAUUAUUGAUUCCCUUUGGUGUCUCGUUCAGAUUCUUGGGCAGCUUCUUGUCAAUGAUAAUGGGAGCACAGCAAGCUACAUACGCAAACACUAUCUGGUAUGCCAGUGGAUUCUGUAGAUAGCCUCUAUGUGGUAUACCGGUUCUUGUAUCAUGUAUCGUAAGAUGUAACCCUGAACAUAGGCCAAUCAUAUCGAGCUUAUCUUCAAACUAUCUGAGGUCUCUGUGAUAAGAAAUUUGGUUAUCAGGAGAAUUUAGUGAAUUUUACUAGUAGAGCCUGAGACUCAAACUAAUGAUAAGUAUUGGUUUUGUGCAUAUACUUUAGUUUGCAAUCUUGGCAGUGCCCUAUAUAUCUGCAGUCUGGUAUUUAAGAAGGUCUCUUUUGUGUGCUUAUAGUUAUUUUACCAUUCCACAAUAUUCCUUUUCUUAAAUUAAGGUGUUUAUAUGAAUGCGUGUCCUUGUUUUUUCUGUGAACUUUAAGAUGAAGGAGAUCAGUAAAAAGUGUCACUGGUAGAUCUUGUAACUAAGUACCACUUUUUGGAUUCUGUUUAGUGUGAAAAAGUGGGCGUAUGAAACGUUGCUUUCCUGAUUUUAAUUUUGCUUGCUCUAUUUUACGUCUUCGGAAGUAAUUCUUUGGCUAAAUUCUCCUGCAGGUAAAGGCUCUCCUAAUGGCUAUCAAAGAUUUUGAUCCAGAUUGUGGGGACUCAGCCUAUACAAUGGGCAUUGUGGAUUUGUUACUUGAAUGUGUGGAACUAUCGUACAGACCUGGUAAUUUGGCUUAGAGAAAUACACAAGAACUCAAAAUAUGUCAAUGCCUGUGGAAAAUGUAGCUGGAUAGUAUAAACAUUAGGCAGUCAUCUUCUUGCUUGUGGAUUUUGUAUAACGGCUCUGAGUAUGGUUGCUGAUCUUUUUCAAAUUUGAAUAUGUAGAAAAUGGUGGGGUCAGGCUAAAGGAGGACAUACGAAAUGCACACGGUUACCAUUUUCUUGUACAGUUUGCCCUGGUUCUAUCUUCCAUGCCGAAAAAUAUGGUUUCUGCCUCCAGUCAUUUAUCUCAACACCAAAAUAGUGGGUUGGAUGACUCUGAACUACAGUCACCCCAUUCAGUGAAUAGUAGGCAAAAUGAUGAGUUUGGAUCACAAAGUUUCUCCCCUUCACUAUCAAGAUUGCUUGAUGUUCUUGUCACCUUGGCGCAGACUGGUCCCAUUGAGUUAUCUGGAGGAAGUACCUCACUACUGCCUCAAACAAACCCCACUGGGUAUGAUGAAACAUGGGAACAAGGAAGUGGUAAAGUAAAAGACCUUGAAGCUGUCCAAAUGUUGCAAGACAUCUUUCUGAAAGCAGAAAACAAGGAUCUUCAGGCUGAAGUGUUGAACCGAAUGUUUAAGAUAUUCUCAAGCCAUAUGGAAAACUAUAAAAUGUGCCAAGAAUUAAGGACUGUUCCACUUCUCGUGCUGAACAUGGGUGAAUUUCCUUCCUCACUGCAAGAGAUAAUCCUCAAAAUUCUUGAAUAUGCUGUCACAGUUGUAAAUUGUGUUCCAGAGCAAGAGCUGUUGUCACUUUGUUUCUUGCUUCAACAGCCAAUCAAUUCCGAGUUGAAGCAUACCAUACUUUCGUUCUUUGUAAAGCUGACAUCUUUUGAUGUGCAGUACAAGAAAGUCCUAGGUGAAGUUGGUGUUUUGGAAGUCUUACAAGAUGAGCUGAGGCAGCACAAGCUUCUCAUGGGUCCAGAUCAGUAUAGUGGUGUUUCCAAUCAUUUGAAUCGGUUACCUAGUUCGCCUAGCUUCAAACAACACCUAGAUAGUAAGGAUGCCAUCAUUUCAUCACCAAAGCUAAUAGAAUCUGGUUCAGGAAUGUUACCUAUCUUUGAAGUUGAAAGCACUAUAACUGUUGGUUGGGAGUGUAUGGUCUCUUUACUAAAGAAAUCUGAAGCUAAUCAGGAAGCUUUUCGUUCUGCCAAUGGUGUGGCCGUUAUUCUUCCAUUGUUGAUCUCUGAUGACCAUCGUACUGGCGUUUUGAGAAUUUUGUCAUGCUUAAUCACGGAAGACGCUAAUCAGGUAAGUUUACAUUACAGUAAAAUGUAUCUUGAUUAUUCCUGUUUUACCGUUUAUCUGAUGAAUUAAUCAAAUGAGUUAUAUUAGUUUGGCUAGGUGUUUUAUUCUUUAGAUUAUGCCGCCACUAGUGAGGUUUCUGUUGUUUCGGUAUCAGAAAUCCUCUAGUAUCUUGUAAAGAGUAACUCGUAUCUUACCAUCCAAUCAGGUCCAUCAUGAAGAGUUACAUGCUGUUAUCGACGUGUUGAAGAGUGGAGUGGUCACUGGAAUCUCUGGGCAUCAAUACAAGCUUCAUCAUGAAGCCAUAUGUGAUACCAUGGGUUCUCUGUGGCGUAUUCUUGCGGUUAAUGGCUCUGCUCAAAGAGUGUUUGGUGAAUCCACUGGUUUCUCUCUUCUACUGACCACCCUUCAUACGUCCCCGGAAGAAGAAUGCAGGGAUGAGUCUCAUUUGAUGGUUCACAUCAAAUUGUUCAAACAUGUAUUGCGCCUCAUGACAUCUGCAGUGUGUGAGAAUGCUGUGAAUAGGAUGAAACUGCACAAUGUCAUUAUAUCUCAGACAUUUUAUGAUAUUUUCGUGGAGUCAGGUUUGAUGUGUGUUGAUCUGGAAAGACAGGUGAUACAACUGUUGUUAGAACUUGCACUUGAAGUUUUGCUUCCACCUUUUUUGACAUCAGAAUCUAUGGCCUCACCUGAGAUGGCAGAAAGUGAAAAAGCUAGCUUUCUUGUAAAAACCCCAUCUGGGCAAUUUAGUCCUGACAAGCAGAGGAUAUAUAAUGCAGGUGCUAUAAGAGUUCUGAUCCGUUCACUGUUGUUUUUUAGUCCAAAAAUCCAGUUGGAAUUUCUGAAUCUUCUGGAAAGGCUUGCACGUGCCACCCCAUUCAACCAGGAAAAUCUCACGUCAGCUGGUAAGGUCUUAUGUCCUAGAGUUCCUUGGGCUUAUAUUGUAAUUAGCUAAGUCAACUUUUAAAUCUUGUUGUGCACUCUUGUCGUCUUUACCUGUGAUUGAAUUAUUAUUGAGCAGGUUGCGUGGAACUUCUGCUGGAGAUUAUCCACCCAUUUCUUCCGGGUUCAUCUCCAUUUCUUUCUCAUGUUUUAAAGAUUGUUGAAGUUCUUGGGGCGUAUAGGUAGUUAACAUAGCUAAAAACUAAUACAUAGUCUUAAUGUGACUAAAUUUGUUUCGAGGCUGAUCUUAUUCGGUGUUAUUCUGGUGCAGAUUGUCCCCUUCUGAGCUCAAAAUGCUUUGUAGAUAUGGUCUGCAAAUGAGGGUUAAGAAUUCAGGUCAGGCGAUAGUUGGUAUGAUGGAAAAGCUAAUUCUCAUGGAAGACACAGGAUUGGAACAUGUUUCGCUGGCUCCUUUUGUAGAGAUGGACAUGAAAAAAACUGGGCAUGCUUCUGUUCAGGUGUCCCUGGGAGAAAGAUCUUGGCCUCCUGCUGCUGGUUAUUCAUUUGUUUGUUGGUUCCAGUCUCGUAAUUUUUUUGCAACCCAAGGAAAAGCAGCAGGAGAGUAUGAAGCUGGUGGUUCAUCAAAGACGCAGGUUUUGAGUGGGCAGCAAAGUGAACAAAAUGUUUUCCGGAUAUUUUCUAUCGGUGCAAGUAACGAAAGUCCAUUCUAUGCGGAACUUUAUUUUCAAGAGGAUGAUAUUCUGACCCUUGCCACUAGCAGUUCAAAUUCUUUGUCAUUUUCUGGAUUGGAAAUUGAGGAGGGCAAGUGGCAUCACCUUGCUGUUGUCCAUAGUAAGCCUAAUGCUCUUGCCGGACUCUUCCAAGCUAGCAUCGCAUAUGUUUACAUUGACGGAAAACUAAGGCACAUGGGUAAAUUGGGUUAUUCUCCUUCACCUGUUGGAAAAUCAUUGCAAGUAACAAUUGGAACUCCAGCUACUUGUGCCAGGGUAAGCGAUUUGACGUGGAAAAUACGCUCAUGCUAUCUUUUCGAGGAGGUGCUUUCAUCAGGCUGCAUUGGUUUCAUGUAUAUUCUCGGUAGAGGGUAUAAAGGUCUCUUUCAGGAUGCAUAUCUCUUACGUUUCAUGCCUAAUCAGGCUUGUGGUGGGGGCAGCAUGGCUAUCCUUGACUCGUUAGUCACUGACAUGUUGUCAUCGUCCAAUAGCCAAAAAUUUGAGGAAAGUAACAGGUCAGCUGGUAAGGUCUUAUGUCUUAGAGUUCCUUGGGCUUAUAUUGUAAUUAGCUAAGUCAACUUUUAAAUCUUGUUGUGCACUCUUGUCGUCUUUACCUGUGAUAUGAAUUAUUAUUGAGCAGGUUGCGUGGAACUUCUGCUGGAGAUUAUCCACCCAUUUCUUCCGGGUUCAUCUCCAUUUCUUUCUCAUGUUUUAAAGAUUGUUGAAGUUCUUGGGGCGUAUAGGUAGUUAACAUAGCUAAAAUCUAAUACAUAGUCUUAAUGUGACUAAAUUUGUUUCGAGGCUGAUCUUAUUCGGUGUUAUUCUGGUGCAGAUUGUCCCCUUCUGAGCUCAAAAUGCUUUGUAGAUAUGGUCUGCAAAUGAGGGUUAAGAAUUCAGGUCAGGCGAUAGUUGGUAUGAUGGAAAAGCUAAUUCUCAUGGAAGACACAGGAUUGGAACAUGUUUCGCUGGCUCCUUUUGUAGAGAUGGACAUGAAAAAAACUGGGCAUGCUUCUGUUCAGGUGUCCCUGGGAGAAAGAUCUUGGCCUCCUGCUGCUGGUUAUUCAUUUGUUUGUUGGUUCCAGUCUCGUAAUUUUUUUGCAACCCAAGGAAAAGCAGCAGGAGAGUAUGAAGCUGGUGGUUCAUCAAAGACGCAGGUUUUGAGUGGGCAGCAAAGUGAACAAAAUGUUUUCCGGAUAUUUUCUAUCGGUGCAAGUAACGAAAGUCCAUUCUAUGCGGAACUUUAUUUUCAAGAGGAUGAUAUUCUGACCCUUGCCACUAGCAGUUCAAAUUCUUUGUCAUUUUCUGGAUUAGAAAUUGAGGAGGGCAAGUGGCAUCAACUUGCUGUUGUCCAUAGUAAGCCUAAUGCUCUUGCCGGACUCUUCCAAGCUAGCAUCGCAUAUGUUUACAUUGACGGAAAACUAAGGCACAUGGGUAAAUUGGGUUAUUCUCCUUCACCUGUUGGAAAAUCAUUGCAAGUAACAAUUGGAACUCCAGCUACUUGUGCCAGGGUAAGCGAUUUGACGUGGAAAAUACGCUCAUGCUAUCUUUUCGAGGAGGUGCUUUCAUCAGGCUGCAUUGGUUUCAUGUAUAUUCUCGGUAGAGGGUAUAAAGGUCUCUUUCAGGAUGCAUAUCUCUUACGUUUCAUGCCUAAUCAGGCUUGUGGUGGGGGCAGCAUGGCUAUCCUUGACUCGUUAGUCACUGACAUGUUGUCAUCGUCCAAUAGCCAAAAAUUUGAGGAAAGUAACAGACAAGGGGAUUCCAAGGCAGAUGGUAGUGGGAUUGUAUGGGAUCUCGAGAGGUUAGGAAAUCUUUCUUAUCAGUUAGCUGGUAAGAAACUUAUUUUUUCAUUUGAUGGAACAUGCUCAGAGUUCAUGCACGCGGCUGGAAAUUUUAUCCUCCUCAAUUUGGUUGACCCAUUGUCCGCUGCUGCUUCUCCUAUUGGAGGUAUACAAUGAUCCCAUAUAACUGUAGUUUAUAUUUUACAUUUUUCCGUUUUAGUCUCAGUUGUGUUUCAUUCUACGUUUCUCAAUUAUAUAGGAAUACCUCGUUUUGGGCGCCUGGUGGGAAAUGCAAGUAUCUGCAGACAAAAUGUGAUUGGCAACACUAUCCGCCAUGUGGGAGGAAUGGCUGUUGUAAUUGCACUUGUUGAGGCUGCCGAAUCUAGAGAUAUGUUACAUAUGGCUCUUUCAUUGCUUGCAUGUGCCCUUCAUCAGAAUUCACAGAAUGUGAAGGAUAUGGAAACAUACAAGGGCUAUCAUUUACUAGCUCUGUUUUUACGUCCCAAGAUGGCGCUUUUUGACAUGCAAUGUUUGGAGGUAUUUUUCCAGAUUUCUGCAUGCGAAGCGUUCUUUUCAGAGCCAAAAAAAUUGGAGAGGGGACAGAGUACCAUUAGCAUGUCACCUACGAAGAAUAUACCUGAAAACAACUAUGAGGAUAUUAGUGUGUCAAAGUUUCAAUAUGAAACUUCUUCAGUUGGAUCUCAUGGAUAUAUGGAUGAUUUUUCAGGGCCCAAAGAUUCUUUUAGUCAGUUAUCUGAGCUAGAAAUUGGAGAUAUUCCUGUUGAAACUUCAAACUGCAUAAACUGCAUCGUCUUAUCUAAUGCAGACAUGGUGGAACAUGUACUCCUGGACUGGACUCUCUGGGUGACAGCCCCUGUUUCCAUCCAGAUCGCCUUACUUGGUUUUCUGGAGAAUCUGGUCUCAAUGCUUCGGUACAGGAGUCACAAUCUUACAAUCCUGCGCCGAAUCAACCUGGUAGAACAGUUGUUAGUAACACUUCAACGAGGGGAUGUGGAAGUUCUUGUCCUAGAAAAAUUAGUUGUUCUUCUUGGAUGCAUCUUAGAAGAUAGAUUCCUUACUUCUGAGCUUGAAAAUGUGGUUAGGUUUGUGAUUAUGACAUUUAAUCCACCUGAAAUAAAGUCUCGAAACUCACCAAGGCGAGAGUCAAUGGGAAAGCAUGUAAUUGUGAGAAACUUGCUUUUGGAAAUGCUUAUUGAUCUCCAGGUAACCAUAAAAGCAGAAGAACUGUUGGAGCAGUGGCAUAAGAUGGUCUCAUCAAAAUUAAUAACGUACUUCCUCGAUGAAGCUGUGCAUCCUACUAGUAUGAGAUGGAUCAUGACUCUACUCGGUGUUUGUCUCACUUCUUCCCCAAACUUUUCUCUUAAGUUUGUUACAAAUGGAGGUUAUCAGGGGCUAACACGGGUACUUCAAAGCUUUUAUGAUUCCCCAGACAUAUAUUACAUUUUGUUCUGCUUGAUAUUUGGGAAACCUGUUUAUCCAAGACUACCCGAGGUCCGGAUGUUGGACUUCCAUGCACUAGUGCCGAAUGAUGGAAGCCGUGUAGAGUUGAAGUUUUUAGAUCUGUUGGAUUCAGUGGUUGCCAUGGCUAAAUCUACUUUUGACAGAUUGAUCAUGCAAUCAAUGAUUGCCCACCACUCUGGAAACCUUUCCCAGGUGAGCGCUAGCUUUGUAGCUAAGCUUGUCGAGGGAAAUGUCGAUAUGACAGGGGAGCUUCAAGGAGAUGCUUUAAUGCAUAAAACAUACGCGGCACGGUUGAUGGGUGGCGAAGCAUCAGCUCCUGCUACUGCGACAUCUAUUAUCCGUUUCAUGGUUGAUCUUGCAAAGAUGUGCCCUCCAUUUUCAGCUGUUUGCAGAAGCGCAGAAUUUCUCCAACAUUGUGCUGAUCUUUACUUUUCAUGUGUCAGGUUUGCAUCACGUGCCUAUUAAGUAUAUAUUGAGUACCAUGUAAUUAACGUAGAUGUUUACACACAUUUGUUAUUCCGGAUUCAAAUUACUCUGGAAACCUUUCCCAGGCGAGCGCUAGCUUUGUAGCUAAGCUUGUCGAGGGAAAUGUCGAUAUGACAGGGGAGCUUCAAGGAGAUGCUUUAAUGCAUAAAACAUACGCGGCACGGUUGAUGGGUGGCGAAGCAUCAGCUCCUGCUACUGCGACAUCUAUUAUCCGUUUCAUGGUUGAUCUUGCAAAGAUGUGCCCUCCAUUUUCAGCUGUUUGCAGAAGCGCAGAAUUUCUCCAACAUUGUGCUGAUCUUUACUUUUCAUGUGUCAGGUUUGCAUCACGUGCCUAUUAAGUAUAUAUAUAUAUUGAGUACCAUGUAAUUAACGUAGAUGUUUACACACAUUUGUUAUUCCGGAUUCAAAUUAUGUUUCUCCAUCCCGAUUUAUGACAUAGAUGCAACAGAUACAGGAUUUUGUUUUUUGGUGUUGUAGUUAGAUAUGACCUGAAAGAUAUUUUGCAAAUUUUGACCAAAAGUUGGGUUGUGUUGUAGGGCUGCUCAUGCUGUGAAGAUGGCCAAACAGCUCUCAAUGAAAACAGAGGAGCAGUGUAUAAGUGGUGGGGAUGAUAGCAGCGCACAAGGCGUUUCCUCUAACUUGCCUCAAGCCCUGGACCAAUCCACAAAAACCUCCAUCAGUGCUGAAAGCUACCCUCAAGAGCAGGUCAGUGUGAGUUCUGAAGGCAUGCCUUUACCUUCAGAUUAUGUGGUUACUGAUAAGGUGGAGAAGAUUCUUACAACACCGUCAGGGGCUUCAGCAAAAUCAUUUCAAGAUCGUGAGUAUGUUAAGAAACUGGAUGGUGAUCGUGUUAGCCCUGUAUCAGCUUCCAGUGAACUGGAAUUUCGAGACUGUAAAGGUAAAUCAAGUCAAAUUCAGCCAACAGAUUCUCAGAGUUCUGAAUCCUUCUCGAUGCUGGAGUCUCCCGUUGUAUCUGAAAAAUCAAGUCGCAAAGGUCCAUUCACUUCUUCGCCAUCUCCGCUUCCAUCGCAUAUCUCAGUUAGUGAGUUUGAUGCAUCUUCAGAUCACAAGUCAGGUUCACAAGGUUUAUCUGCUGCCCAUACAUUGUUUAAAAUUAGCCCAAAACUUCUCCUCGAAACUGAUGAAUCGGGGUAUGGUGGUGGGCCGUGUUCUGCCGGAGCAAGUGCGGUGCUGGAUUUUAUGGCAGAGAUAUGUGCCGACUUAAUGACUGAGCAGAUGAAAGCGGUACAGACUUUGGAAAGCAUUUUAGAAAUGAUUCCUUUAUAUGUGGAUCCUGAAUGUGUUCUAGUAUUCCAAGGCUUAUGCCUUAGCAGAGUCAUGAACUAUCUUGAGAGGCGUCUCGUGCGUGAUGAUGAAGAGGAUGACAAAAAACUAGACAAAAGAAAAUGGUCUGCAAACUUGGAUGCAUUUUGCUGGAUGAUUGUGGAUCGUGUCUAUAUGGGCGCUUUUCCUCAGCCAACUGGAGUCCUUAGAACCCUCGAGUUCUUGUUAUCAAUCCUGCAAUUAGCUAACAAAGAUGGUAGGGUUGAAGAAUUCACUUCUUCAGGAAAAGGUCUGUUAUCCAUUGGAAGAGCAACCAAGCAACUAGAUGCAUAUGUUCACUCAAUCCUGAAGAACACAAAUAGAGCAAUACUGUAUUGCUUCCUACCAUCGUUCUUGACAACUAUUGGAGAGAAGAACCUGCUUUCACGUCUGGGCUUGCUUGUUGAAUCUAACGAGAGGCACCCCUCAGAUGAGGAAUCUGGAAUUGAUAUCUCAACAGUUCUUCAGUUGUUGGUUGCAAACAAGAAUAUCAUAUUAUGCCCAAGCAAUCUUGACACAGAUUUGAAUUGCUGUCUGUGUGUGAAUUUAAUCUCUCUGCUCCAUGACCAGAGGAAGAAUGUGCAAAACAUGGCAUCUAACAUUGUCAAACAUAUGCUGGUUCACCGAAGGUCUGCUUCUGAGGAUUUGCUUGUCAGAAAACCACAUCGAGGACAAACCCUCGAUGUACUACACGGAGGUUUUGAUAGAUUGCUGACUGGAAAUCUUCCAGAAUUUUCUAAGUGGCUUGAGAGCUCAGAAGAAACUGUAAAGAAAGUAUUGGAUCAUGGUGCUGUGGUUAUGUGGACUCAGUACAUAGCUGGCUCGGCAAAAUUUCCUGAUGUUAGGAUGAAAGGCAUGGAUGGCCGCCGUACGAGAGAGAUGGGAAGAAAAUCACGAGAUAUUUCUAAGUUAGACGUGAAACGCUGGGAGCAGUUAAAUGAGCGAAGACAUGCACUUGACAUAGUGCGUGAUACAAUGUCCACUGAGCUUAGAAUUGUCCGGCAAAACAAAUAUGGUUCGAUACUUCAUGCCGAGAGUGAGUGGCAAAAUCAUCUCCAACAGCUUAUACACGAGCGUGGUAUAUUCCCGUUGCGUGUUUCCCAGGGAUCUGGAGAUCUUGAAUGGCAACUCUGUCCUAUCGAAGGUCCAUACAGAAUGCGGAAAAAGCUUGAACGAUGUAGCCUGAAAGUUGAUAGCAUCCGUAAGUUACUAGAAGGGAAGUUGGAACUUGAAGAAAUUGAACUACCCAAACCGAAAAACGAAGAUGGCAUAGUUAUUUUUGAUAAGGAUUGUGAGCCAGAUUUCCUGCUAAGUGAACUUUAUAGCGAGUCCUUUUUCGAAGAAGCUGAUGCUCUUAAGGAUAUUCCUUCUGCUAGAAAUGGAUGGGAUAACGAUGGAGGCAGUAGUUCAAGUGAAACGAGUCUUCAUAACGCUCUUGAUUUUAGUGCCAAGUCUAGUGGUACAAUAUCUGUUCUAAUCAGCGAAAAUACAGAUGAAAAAUCAGAGACUGGAUCUCCAAGAGGGUCAUCUUCUGGUAAUAUGGAUGAAACAAGAGAUGUGGAGGAAGAAUCAGAGAAGGAACUGAACGACGAUGGUGAGUAUUUGAUCAGACCAUAUCUGGAACAUCUUGAAAAGAUUAGGUUCCGAUACAAUUGUGAGAGAGUUGUUGGUUUAGACAAACAUGAUGGGAUUUUCCUGAUAGGGGAACUAUGCCUAUAUGUUAUAGAGAAUUUUUACAUUGACGAUCAUGGCUGUAUCUGUGAGAAGGAAUGUGAAGACGAAUUAUCCGUUAUCGAUCAGGCGUUGGGUGUGAAAAAAAAUGUCACCGAAGGCUUGGAGUUCCAGUCCAAGUCUAGCCCACUAUGGAGUACAAAUAUGAAAACCGGAGCAGUAGGGGCAAGAGCAUGGGCAUAUGGCGGUGGGGCUUGGGGGAAGGAAAAAGUGCGUGUGACCGGUAACUUGCCACAUCCUUGGCGUAGGUGGAAGUUGGAUAGUAUUCAUGAAAUUUUGAAACGUGAUUACGAGCUGCGUCCAGUUGCUGUUGAGUUAUUUAGCAUGGAUGGAUGUACUGAUCUCCUUGUGUUCCACAAGAAAGAGAGGGAAGAAGUCUUUAGAAACCUGAUUGCCAUGAAUCUUCCAAGGAACCGCAUGUAUGUCAUCUCAUUUUGUUUUUUUCUCAAUCAAGAACUGAGCACUAUGUAGCUUACUUCUCCACAAGGCCCUCCAAAAUCUUGAAGCUGCUUGUGUAUUAUGUUUGCCAUUUUUUUCUUUAUUGCAGGCUGGAUACAACCAUAUCAGGAUCAGGGAAACAGGAAAGUAAAGAGGGUAGUCGUCUUUUCAAGUUAAUGGCAAAGUCUUUCACCAAAAGAUGGCAAAGUGGAGAGAUCAGCAAUUUUCAAUACCUAAUGCAUCUCAACACCCUAGCCGGACGUGGAUACAGUGAUCUCACACAGUAUCCGGUAUUUCCAUGGAUUCUAGCGGAUUAUGAUAGCGAGAGUCUUGAUUUGUCAGAUCCAAUGUGUUUCCGGAAGUUUGACAAACCAAUGGGUUGCCAGACGCCUGAAGGAGAAGAAGAAUUUAGGAAACGGUUUGUGAUGUGCCUCUUAAUCUUUGUCUAAUGGUACUUAUGAUUGAUUGUGUCUUCAUCAAGUCAUAACUGGAUUAUAUUUUUUCCUUUCUACUUUCUCAUUUCAGAUAUGACAGCUGGGAUGAUCCAGAGGUGCCAAAGUUUCAUUAUGGUUCUCACUAUUCAAGUGCAGGCAUUGUUCUCUAUUACCUCAUUCGCCUCCCACCGUUCAGUGCUGAAAACCAGAAGCUCCAGGGUGGUCAUUUUGAUCAUGCUGAUAGACUUUUCAAUAGUAUUAAAGAGACUUGGCUAAGUGCAUCUGGGAAAGGAAAUACAUCAGAUGUGAAAGAACUAAUUCCUGAGUUCUUCUACAUGCCCGAAUUCUUAGAAAAUAGAUUUAACCUUGAUUUCGGUGAAAAACAGUCGGGAGAAAAGGUAAGGUUAAGUAGUUCUAAUGGUGCUUGUAUAUGUACCUUUUAGCUUCUCCGUUCGUGAGCAAGUUCCUUGUUAAAUUUCAGGUGGGUAAUGUCUUUUUACCUCCUUGGGCUAGAGGGAGUGUUCGUGAAUUCAUCCGCAAGCACAGAGAAGCGUUGGAGUCUGAUUAUGUUUCAGAGAAUCUGCAUCAUUGGAUAGAUCUCAUCUUUGGGUACAAACAGCGAGGAAAGGUACAUUACAUGUUCUCCUUCUGGAUCAUUUGCUUCGUGAAAUAUUGAAUCUUACAUGUUCUCAUUAUUUUCAGGCUGCAGAAAAAGCAGUGAAUGUUUUCUAUCACUAUACCUAUGAGGGGAAUGUGGAUGUAGAUGAAGUUACGGAUCCUGCCAUGAAAGCAUCGAUACUAGCGCAGAUUAAUCAUUUCGGACAAACGCCUAAGCAACUGUUUCAGAAACCUCAUGUUAAAAGAAGAACAGACAGAAAAAUCCCUCUGCACCCUCUGAAACACUCGACGCAUCUAGUUCCUCGAGAUAUACGUAAAUGCUCAUCGUCUAUAAACCAGAUCAUCACUUUCCAUGACAAGUUGCUUGUUGCCGCCUCAAACUGUUUCCUGAAACCGAGAGGCUAUAGGAAGUACAUAAGAUGGGGUUUCCCAGACAGGAGCUUGCGAUUCAUGAGCUAUGAUCAGGACAAGCUCUUAUCCACACAUGAAAAUCUCCACGAAGGCAACCAGAUCGAGUGUGCUGGUGUUAGCCACGAUGGGCGCGUUGUCGUCACUGGAGCAGACGAUGGUCUACUCUCUGUGUGGAGAGUCAGCAAGGAUGGUCCGCGUGGCUCACGGCGUUUACGGUUAGAGAAAUCCCUUUGUGCACACACAGCCAAAGUCACUUGUCUACGUGUAAGCCAACCUUACAUGAUGAUUGUGAGCGGUUCAGAUGACUGUACAGUUAUCAUAUGGGAUCUCAGCUCAUAUAAUUUUGUGAGGCAGCUCCCUGAGUUUCCAGUUCCUGUUUCCGCAAUCUACAUAAAUGACCUAUCAGGAGAAAUCAUAACUGCUGCUGGAAUUUUACUCGCGGUAUGGAGCAUCAAUGGAGAUUGCCUUGCUGUGGUUAACACAUCAUCACAGUCACCAUCUGAUUUUAUAGUAUCAGUAACAGGCUCAACGUUUUCUGAUUGGCUGGAAACAAAAUGGUAUGUGACUGGUCAUCAAAGCGGGUCGCUUAAAGUGUGGCAGAUGGUGCAUUGCACUGAUCCGGUCGGUGCUGAGAUCAAAUCUGCUAGCAACAGAACAGGAUGGACAAAUCUUGUGCCGGAAUACAAGUUGCUUCCACACAAGGAGUUGGAUUGCCAUAAGCAACCGAUCACAGCUCUGCAUCUCACGGCCGACCUGAAGCAAUUGCUGAGUGGAGAUUCGGGUGGACGUUUGAUUUCAUGGACAGUUCCAGACCAGAUACUAAAAGCUUCACUCAAAAAUGCUCUCAUAGCUCAGAAUCUUAAGCAUCAUCAUCUAGAAGCUAGGAUUGGAAUCUAAAGCAAUCACUAAUGGUAGAUGAAAAUCAGAAUGUAAGACCUCAGGACAAACGGUUGGCUUUGUGUGAAUCUCUUACCUCAAGUAUUGAUUCUACCUCUUCUGUUUUGCAGGUUUACUGUUUUCUUAAAUCGAAAAAUUGUGAAGCAACAAAGGGAUGGAGAAACUGGUACAAUAACUUACAGGCUUUUGUAUUGAGAAUUUGUGUAGAUAGAGCUAAUAGGCAAUUUAUGUAAAUUAAUAGUACAGUCCCAUCUCUAAAUUCUCAGAUGAAAAUUUUGUAACCAUUUUAAUGUUUUUUGUUUGUAGCUUAGGAACUUCUAACUUGAACAAUGGCUUCAACAUUAAUGGUGAUAUUUCUGUUUUUAAACUGUAAACCAGACAACAGUUUCAUGUUUUUCUGUUUUUAAACUGUAAACCAGACGACAGUUUCAGGUAAUGGAGUCAGUGAAUGACCUUGCACAGCACAGGUAAUGAAGGACUUAUCAGCUCUUGUGAUUGACCAGAACAUACUUCAUAACACUUUUUUGGUUUAAACAAUUUAUCUCACUAGAGCUCUCUCAACGAAAUGAAUACAAUUAACAUAGCAAAUGUAUGUCUCUGAAGUUCCAAGCAACUUCAAGUUGAUAGGGGUAUAUGCCCUGAAAAAUCUCUCUCUGUGUUCGGUGAAAAUCCAAGAAAACUCUUGCGAAACUCUAUCAAAGAGCCAAUAACGAUCCAAAUAUGAUUUGACACCAAAUCUAUAUAAUUCUGGUGAAAAUAAGCUCUUGUAGCGAUUCUAUUGAUGAUGGAAAACUAGUAACUCUUAGUCUGGAUUUAUAGUGUUAGCAAGCUAUAAAUAAAUUAGUAUGUGAACUCGGAUCUAAGAGUAUUCACAACGGUUAGCACAGUAAUAUACAUAUCUAUUCUAUUAAAAUAGAAGUCAUGAAUUUUUCCAUGUGUGAUUUUUUUAAUUUGGACUAUCCUUUAAAUUUUUUAUUAAAUGUAUUUUAUUAAAACUAGUAACACAUACACAUAGAAUCUAUUCUACUAAAAUAGAAGUAAUGACUUUUUUCAUGUGUGAUUUUUUUUUAAUUUGGACAAUCCUUUAAUUUUUUUAUUAAAUGUAUUUUAUUAAUAACACGUAGAAUCUUUGAACUACUUUAAUCAUAAUAUAUUCUUAUAUCUUUUUAUUUUAGAUAUAAAAAUAUAUAUAUUUUUAAAAAAAUCUAACAAAUCUGUUUGAAAAUAUAUAAAUAAGAUCUUAAUUUUAAAAAAAUAUAUGUACAUAUUUUCACUAAUUUUGUAACUAGUUAUGAAAUAUUAUAUAUAUAUAUAUAUGUCAAUAUCAAUAAAGUUUAAUUAUAUACCAUAUAAAAUAAAUAAAAUGAUUAUUUCGAUUUAUUUACCAAAAACAUGAUUGUAAAUAAACAAAAGAUAUUGGUUUUGAUUUCUGUGUUUACUCUAAUGUAUAUAUUUUUUAUGCAUACAAAUUAUUUUUUUUGUUUUUUGAAACUCAAUCUCUUUAGAUGCAUGGUGUUCUUCUCUAUUACAUUUGAAGCGUAAAUCAUUUUUUAAUAAUCUAAAAUCAUUUUUGAUAUAUAUUACUAAUGAAAUCCAUAUCCCCUAUAUAUUAUUUGAUGAUCAUUUAAAAAAUUGUAACAUCAAUUUUGUAUUAAUUACAAAACGAAGUUGCUGAGGUGUUAUCUCCAAAUUUCUUCUUAAUGCUUAUAUGGUACCCUUACAAUGAUUUUGGAUAAACCUUCGUCUUAUUUAUUUUUCCGUAGAUAAAUUUAUUAGCAUUACAUUAACUAAAACAGUCCACGAUUAUAAUAGAAGACGUUUAUAUUAAAGUUUUAUCUAACGUUUAUAUUUUAACAGAUUGUUAUAAAAUGGAUUAUCCCUUAUUUUAAAAGUAAAUCUAUUUCAUAAUAUAAGGUUGAGUAAAACUCAACCAUUUAAAUGAAAUGAUAUAUAAAACUCAACAUAACUUGCAAGAACAAAUCUGGUUGUAUAGCCCUUCUGACGGUUAUUCAAAUUUUCUUCACCAUUAGAAUUAAUGUAUUAUGAGCGCCUGUUAACUACUAAUUAAGUAUAAUUCAAAGGAGAAAUUACCUACACCGAAUAGAAUAGUAGAACAUCCUGUUUUAUGGUAAAAUUGGUAUCUUCCUUUUACAAACACAUCUAUAUUUCACAAACCGAGCAUUAACAAAACUUUCACUGGUGAUUUCUUUUUUCAUAGAUACCAAAUUCAGUCUAAACCUAAAGCAUAAAAACAGAACCAUGAACCUCGGUCUUUCACUUUUGAUGUUCUUCAAGUCGAGAUUAUAAUCAAUUGUUACACAUAAAUAAUCAAGGUAUGUUUUCAAAGGUUCAUUGUUAGUAGGUCCAUGACAUUUUUUGAUGAGAGAAUCUCUAUAUCAUUUGAAUACUAUAGUCUAUUGAACUAUCAAGUAUCCAUUUUAAAUAUAUACUCGACAGUUAACUAUAAACCGUGCAAUUAACGAGUUAUUUCAGUUUUUCUCUAUUUGUGGUCGGUUAAUAGUCUACAUUAUUUCAAUUGAACUGACGGAUACACAAUGCACAAUUUGGUCGGUAUAAUAAUAGUCUUAGAUGCGAUAUGUAAAUUAGCGUGAUACACAAAUGAAGAAUCAGUCUCAUAUGGUAAGUUUACUUUAAUUGUUUCUCCGUUUAUAACAAUGUAAAUACACUAUUAAUACUUGGCAUAUGGUACGUGAAACUUUGUCACCAAUUAUAUUGUUUCUUACGAAUAUUUUUUCUUGAUAUACAAUUUGGUAUAGGUGCAAUAUGGUAAGAUGAUAUUAAAUGUUUCUAUCGCAUAGUUUAAGAAACUAAGAUAGUUUGUCACCAAGUCUAUAUUUCAGCCAUAAAUUUUCUUAUAUAGCAUACAAAAUCUUAUUAUGCGAUAUUUUCAAGUUGCCAAAUAUGUAAUUACAUAUUUAUUGAUAUUUUACAGAAAUAUUUUUUCGUUGACAAUAAAAAGAUAUGGUUUAUAUUUUCAAAUCUAACUAAUAACCUAGCUCCUAAAAUUACCGACGAUAUAGAGGUAUAAAUCAUCACAUCUCUAAUUCUUACGAUUAAAGGAAACAAUAAUGGCCAGUAUGAAUUAUGUUGCCGAUUUGAGACCAUUCAAAAUGAUGGGGAAUAAUAGGGUUAAAGUAAUCCGACUGUGGAAACGGUACUCAGCUACUGCUGGUGAGAAAAUGUAUGGUCCUGACGUUAGGUCCUUAGAGCAACAUUAUCGGGCGGCCCUUGGCCCGUCCCGAACACUAUUUGGGCUAAAAAGAAAAUCAAAAAGAAAAGAUUUUGUUUGGUCCGGGUCUUAAUUAAGGUCUUUUUUGACGCGUCCCGUGAGCAACGUGGCAGCACAGGAGAGGGAGAUGUAAACGAAGUCGAUGAAACCUAUUCCGUGUGUUUCUCCUCUUUUGUCGAAACUGAAGCGAAAUCGAUUCACCGCUGUCGAUCUGAUUCGCCUCAAUCCGCUUCUCCUCGAUCCGUUUCUCUUCGCUCUGUUUCCUCUCCGACAUCGAUUCAGUCCACCUCCGAACAGUUUCCUUUGGACAUCGAUUCAGAGUCGACCCAAACUUGGGAAGGUAUGUGUCUAACCUCCAUUGUAAUUUUGAGAAACCGAGUAGGGGUGUGUAGAUUCAAUGGUUGUUUGUUGUUUGGUUGUUUGUUGAUUAAAUGAUUGAUUUGAUUCGCUCUUCUCGUUCGUUGUUUGAUAUGCUCCGCUCUUGUGAUUGAAGUGGUUGUGAACGGAAUAGAUAUAUAAAAAUGUAUUGAUUCGUUGGUUCUUUGAUGCUUGCAAAAACUUUAAGAUUGAAUGGCUGUGAAUGAAAACUCGUAUAGAUUGAUCGAUAAUUCGUAUAGCUUCUAAGCUCGGGUCUUCUGUAUAUAUUUGAUGUAAUGGUUGUUUCAUAAUUAAUAUUCGUAUAGCUUUAUUGAAAAUUCGUAUAGCUUCUCUACCUUUCAAAAUCGGAUAGGUUGAUAGAAUUCUUUGGUCUGUUAUCAGUUAAAAUUUGAAGUAUUUUAAACAACUUAGAAUUAUGGUUUACAUCUCUUCACUCUUUACUCAACUAGAGUGACACCUCCUUAAUUUCACUCUUUACUCUAGUAGACUCACACUUCUUUACGUCUUUACUGAACUAGACAAACUAGUUCUACUGUCGUCGUUACUUGAAACCGUAGAUAGGUUAGUAAUAAGUUCAGAUUAGACAUAUAUGGUUUAUGGUUAGUCUUUAUGUAGAAACUUAAUACUCUUCACCAGCUAAUAUUAAACUCCCAUCUCAAUCCCCUUAAAUAUACACACCUGCCUUCUCUCUUCUAUCCAUCUCCUAAUCUACAACUCUCUCUCAAAUAUUUAUCUUGUAAAAGUCGUAUGGGUUCAAGAAAUUUUCAAAGUCAGUCCUCUAGUUACGUAGGACUGCUUAACAGUCAACAAGGAAGUCGUGUGAAUGAAAACUUUCCAUAUGAAAGUUUUCAUUCAACUGUCAACUUUGGAGAAUCGGAGAUCCCUCCCUUUAGUUCACAACAAGCUGAACAGACGCCAGUAGACACAUCAGUGGACCGUAAUGCUAGACGCAAAUGGGGCCCAGCUGAUGACGCGGUUCUAAUCUCUGCUUGGCUUAACACUUCGAAGGAUGCCGUUGUUGGAAAUGAGCAGAAGUUGGGGGCCUUCUGGAAACGGGUUGGAGAUUAUUAUGCUGCAAGUCCUCAUGGGCAACAGGAGGGUGAAAAGAGAGGGGAUCUUACUUGUAAGAAGAGAUGGCACAGAAUAAACGAUCAAGUUACAAAGUUCUGUGCGGCUUACUCCGCGGCAGAGAGACAAAUUGGGAGUGGUGAGAGUGACACUGAUGUUCUAAAGAAGGCUCACGACAUCUUCUACUCAGAUCAGCAAAGCAAGUUUACACUUGAGCAUGCUUGUUCAAGAUGACGAUUUUACUUUUACCGUCAAAAAGGCUAAAAAACCCGGCAAUAUAAUUGCUCGUCGUAAAGAAGUUCGGGAUCCACAUAUCCAUCAACAAUUAAAAGAAGAUUUGAUUGAACAUAUAUGGGAUAAAUUUGGACAUCUUCCAAAUUACAUAUAAUGUGUUUUUGCUUUCUAUGAUUUAAAUAAAAUGUUUCUCUUAUUUUAUUUAUGCAUUUUGUAAUUUUUUUCCACUCCUUUGUAUUUUAAUUUUCAUGUUCUACGUAUUUUAAUUUUCAACUUUUCUUUAUAAUGUCAUAAGUUAUUCGAUAAUUUAUCUUCAAUUAAUAAAAAAAAAAUUAAUUCACUAAGGGACUUUCAUAAGUCCCACCAAUAAUCUAAUUUCUAAGGGAAAAUCCCUAAAUAUGACCUUAACUCACAAAUAACCUUAAAAUAUUCAAAGGGCCAAAAAAUCAAGUCCCACCUAUAAUGUUGCUCUUAUGCGAUAGGUGAUCUUUUGACUUAAAAAAACUUUAAAAAAAGAAUCAUCCCAACAAUACAGUACACAAAUUACAUAAUUAACAAAAAAGACAUUAUUGUAUUUUGGCCAAAAAAAUUAAUUCGAUCAAAUAUAUAAAUUUUAAUUUUCUAAACAACAUAUUUUAAAUAAUUCUUAUAUAAACUCAUCAUGCGCAAGACGCAAAUCUUAUCCUAUUUUUUAAAUAAAAGGUGAUUUCAAGGUUUUAUGCAAAUAUCAUAUCCAAUAACCUUUGAUUUGUAAAAUUUUUUAUAAAUACCAUAUUCAAUAAGGGAGGGUUUGGAUAAAAUCUAAUUUUUUUUAUAAAAUACCUAAUCCAAUAAGCCUCUUUAAUCCUUCAUAGAAGGUCUAACUACCACCGGGAAGUUUUAUAAACAUUGAUAUAUAAUAUAAUUCAAACUACAGAUUGAUAUGAAGAAGAGUAUAAACACGGUAUAUAUGUUAACUAAGAAAAAACAUGAUCAUAUUAUACUUGAUCAAACUGCUUUCAUCACAUGACGCAAUAAAAUACAUGAAAGGGGAACAGUAAGCACACUACUAGCCCACUCAACGUUAGCCCAAACUUCUUCAUCACCAUUCCGCUUCUCAAACGCAAUCAAAGCACACCAAAUAUUCGUCUUCUCAUGGCGAAGACGAGCAUUAUACACAAACUCGUCCCAAAUUAUCAAGAGUUUCCCACCGUAGUUAGCCAUUUCAAUAUGACCACUACCAGCUCGGCAAUGCCUCUCCAGUACCGACAAACCGUUGACCCUUCUCGAGCCAUUAUGCUUCAUACCGUACCAAAUAAAAUUUGUACCAGUGUAACAGUACCUUACAUAGUCUACCACAACACUAGACUCAAACAUGCGUGCUACAACUUCCCAUGUACCUUCUAUGGUAUCAUAAACAUCAUACACAUCCCAAUUGUUGCUUGAAAUAUAGAUCUUUUUCCCCAUCACUUCCACUUUCCUAAGUGUAGAAACACGUAGGAAGCCAGGGUCAGGUAAAGAUUCCCAAGUUUGAGUGUUUGUAUCGUAAACCUCACCCCAAUUCUUGGAUUCAUCUUCGCUACAACCUCCCAUAACGUAUAUUUUCCCAUCAAGGACACAAGCAAUGGGAUCCUCUCGAGCCACAGUCAUCAUUUUGGGGACUUUUCGCCAGAUGCCAGUUCCUAAUGUAGUGACCGACAGAUCGAAAGAUGGAUUACAGUAUCGAUUGAUUGCGUAGCACUCUGAACCAACCUUACACAUGAACGUUGGUGGACGACGACAAUAAGAAGAGGGUAUUGGUACUAACAGAGCAUUCCCGGUAGACUCUUCCUUCUUCUCCAAGUCAUUGGUUAGGGCUUGGUUAGGUUUUAACCAGAGACUGAACCAGGAAGGACUAGGACUUUUAGUGGGAAAAUGAAAACCGACAAGAAGGAUUUUUUCACAUGUUUUUUGAAGAAACCUAGUAUCUUUGAGCUUGGACGAUGAGAUGAGAGAGGCAAAGGUCUUGCUGACUAGAGAGAGUUUAGGGUAGUACGAUGGUGAUAUCCGCGCCAUGCAGUUCAGAAGGAUGUCAUUUGGAAGAGAAAAUAACGAAAGAGAUGGAUUCAAAUUCUUCUUCUUUUUCUCUGAUGGUUCAGAUUCGGAGUUCAUAGCUGCAGAGGCGGCCGUUGUACCACAAGUAGAGGGAGUUUUGUAAAACUAGGGUUAUACUAAAACAUUAUAUAAGUGCUAGAUUUUUUAUGCUAAGGCUCUGAUUGGGGUUUGGCUUUAACAGCUUUGAUUUAAUUUUAAAGGUUUUUAUGUUUUUUUAUUCAUUAAUAGCAUAAUCCUUAUACACUAAGGAAGAAACAUUGUAAUAAAUAUGUUCACACUACAAUAGACACGUGACAGUUUCACAGCGAUUUGAAAAUGAACAUACUGACAUGUCACGUGUAGAGAGAUUCUCAACCAAACUCUACAUAAAUGUGUUCACACUAUGUAUUUUACGUUUUGUUUUUAAAUAUAAAACUCACAUGUAAAAUUCCAAUAAAAUUCACACUAUCCAGAUUUUUCGAUUUGAAUCGAAAGUCAAUUAUACAUAGAUUAUACAGAUAGGCUGAGCAAAAUAUUUGUAAAUUUUAUAUUCGAUUUGUUAUUCAUUUUGAUUCAAACUUAAACAAAAAAUCAGGAUAUUUGUAGUCCUACGAAACCAUAAAACACUAAAAUGCAAUAUCUGUAAAAAAAAUGAAGCAAAUCACAAAUACUAAUAUUUUUAGGAACAAAUGUACAAUUUGAUCCAUUAUAUGCAUAUAUACAUAUAUUUAAAGAAUUAUAAAUGUAUAUAUUAUAGUUUAUAUAAUUUUUACAAUAAUUUUAUGUAUUAAAUUUAUUAUAUUAGGCAUUAGAAUUUAAAAAGUUAAAUAAUAAUUUAUUUUUGUAAUGAAAUAUUAUUAUUUUAUAUUAUUUUUAGAUUUUUUAUUUAUUUUCAAAAUUUUAUUUUAUUUACGGAUCAAAACCGGAUAUCCAUAAGAAAAUUUUAAAAUUUCCGGAUAUCUGAGACAUCAAUAUUCGGGUGGCUACAUAUCGAAUCGAUACUAGUACCUCCAAAUACUUGGAUAUCAGAUCCGUGUCAACCCCUAUUUACGGAUACAAUUUUAUUUUCUUUAUAUAAAAGAAAAUUCACUAAUUUCUAGGGUUAUUUUUUUAGUUAGUUUUAUUUUAAAAUUUUUAUCUUUCAUGUGUUAUUUUGAAUAAAAAAUAUCUUUAUAUAUUUACCAACCGCUUUUAUAUACUUUACAUACACAUACAUGUGGACAUUGACGUGAGUACCUAUAUAACUAAAUAUUCACAACAACUGAAGUAUUUAAUUCUCUUGGAAGUUGAAAUAUUUCUUUUUAAAUGAUUCUUUCACUAUCCACCAAAUUGUAGUGAAAUGAUUUAUUUUAAUAAUUUUAUUUUCUUUUUAUUGAAUUAUUAUAUUUUAUAAUAUGAAAUCAUUGGUUCGACGUAAGGACUAUCUAAAAUUCAUAUAACCUGAAACCAAACAGAUAAUAAUAAUUUUUUCAUAUAACCUAAAACCAAACAGAUAAUAAUAAUUUUUGGUUAGCACCCUGAUAAUCACAUUCUGCGCAAGGCGCGGGUUUUACCUAGUUGUAUAUUUAUAAUGAAACAUUUCAAAUAUUGUUUACUGUUUUUAUGGUUUUGAUUAUUAAUUUUUUUUUCAAUAUUUAAAAUAGUACUAACAGUUUUAACAUUCAAAAUUUCUACAGCCAAAAGCCUAAAUUAAGAGUGUAAAGCGCAAGUUCAUACCAAUCGAACCCUAAAUUUUAUUUGACGUCUUUUACGCUAAAUUUUUUUUUAGAAAAAAAAGGAAAGCUACCUUUUUGGUUCAAAAAUGUACUUCCUUUUUGGUUAAAAAAUACUUACUUCACAUAGGCACAAAGUUUUUAGUUUGGUUCAAAUAGUCUUUGUAGAGUAUAUUGUUUUUUUAAUUGAUGGCAAAAAAAAAAAGCUCCUAUUGCGCCAAACUAUAACUUUAUUAACUUGAACAUACAAAAUGAGACUUUAUUAACUUGAACAUACAAAAUGAGAUACAAUAUGUGUAUGUUAAUCAAAGAGCUGGGUAAACACAAAAGAAUAUAAAAUUCCUUUAUUAGCUAAUUGACAGAGUUGCGGGAUUGUGAUUUUUGUUUGACAAAAAUCAAUGUUAAGCAUCUGAAUUUAGACUCCCACAACUUGAUAUGGUUAAUAUCCACAAAUGAUCCAUGUAAGAUCUUAGCCAGGAGCUGACAAGACCCCUUCUAAGGAAAGGCAACCACGUUGAAACCCAUGCAUGAUGCCAUUGUGUUUGUGUAUACUGCAUACCUAUUAACAAAUUGCUACGCUUCAAUGCUUGGCGAGGCAUCCGGUAUUUUUUUUCUAAUAUGAAAUGAUUAUUAGAAGAGGGGGGAGGGGGGGGGCAGUAAUGUUAUUAGGUGGCGAGAAGGAGGGGUAAUAUAGUCAAUUUAGUGUUUCUGACUUUCAAGAUAGUGAUUACGAACGAAUCUGUCAUCAAUCAAAUCCAAGGAGGAGGAGAAAGGUAAAUGAGCUUUGUUCUCCUGAGCUUGAUUUUUCAGAUGAGGAAUUGAUUAGGGUUUGUUCUACUGUGUGUGUGGUGUAGUUUUGAAUCGAAAUAUGGCUGGGAGAGCUUCGAUCCCUGCUCGCAACUCUGCCCUCAUCGCCAUGAUCGCCGAUGAGGUAUAACCAAAUUAAAUCAUCGCUUUGAUUCAUUAGAUCAAUGUUAAUGCUUGGUUUGGAUCUCUGAGAUGUGAUCUGAACUGUAUCAAAGCGUAGAGAGUUAGUUAGUUAGUUAGUUAGUUGGUUUGCGAAAGUUGGAAUCUUUCUGUUAAGUGAAAUAAUUUUGAAGAUAGUUUGACCUUACUUGUCUCUAAAAUGGUUGAUGUUUGUGUACACAGGACACCGUUGUUGGCUUCUUGAUGGCUGGAGUUGGUAAUGUUGACAUCAGGAGGAAGACUAACUACCUCAUCGUCGACUCAAGUACGCUUUCUUUUUUCUAUUACUGUAGAAUUGUAUUAUUAAUUGAUUUUUCCUUUGUCUUUUAGAGACAACUGUGAGGCAAAUUGAGGAUGCUUUCAAGGAAUUCUCAUCCAGAGAUGAUAUUGCUAUCAUCCUCAUCAGCCAAUAUGUAAGUGCUUUCUUCCAAAUCCAGUAUACUUGCACUGUUAUAUUUACAAAACAUUAACGGCUGUGCCUGUGUGGUGUUAUUUGUGUCGUUAUCAGUGAGGUCAUGGCUUGCUUCACCUUUUAAAUAAUGGAUCAAAGUUACUGUUAUUGUAGGGUAGUUUUUGUUAUCUUGUUCCCAUUAGCUGUGUGACUGAACAUAUGAUGAGGCCACUUUGCAUCAGCCUUUUAAGACAUACUAUUCACGAGUUUGAAAUUGAUUGAGCUCAUAACUUAUUCAAAGUCUGUUUCUUUCUUUAGUGUCAAAAAAAACAUGAUGAGAAAAUAUGGCAUAUGCGUGUAGGUUGCCAAUAUGAUCAGGUUCUUGGUGGAUAGCUACAACAAGCCAGUUCCUGCAAUCCUGGAGAUCCCUUCCAAGGACCAUCCCUAUGAUCCUGCUCAUGACUCUGUUCUCUCCCGUGUCAAGUACCUCUUCUCUGCGGAAUCUGUGUCACAGCGUUAAACAUAUACACAUUCUGCAAGCUCGCCUGAGCUUUUAUAUCAUUUCUUUGUUUUUGACAUUCUUGUGUUCCUCAGUUUUCAAUAAUGUGUAUCUCUUGAUUUUUGUUUGGAAAUGGAUGUUAUAUCAGUAAGAAGCAAUGAUAACACCAUCUAGUUCUUUUUGCAUUGAAUAAAGAGAGUGAGUCAUUGUGUAUUCAAGAGUCAAGAGCAGACUUUAAAGGUUUAAGUGAAGACUCCAUCUAUUCAAUGUGAAGCAUUUUGAGUCAGAGAAGCAACCAAAAGGAAGUUCAAAUCAGGUCCACCUGGAUUUAAGAAGAAGAAUAUAAGUACAAGGUGGACUUGGGUUCGCUAGCCAAAACACAUGUUAGUCGGAUAGAAUCAAAAAUUGUCCGAAUGUUUUAUUUAUCAAAUAUCCAGGCCUAUUUGUUCUUGGCAACCACAAAGUUCCAGCCCAUUUACUGUUAUUUAUUGUUUCUGGAAGAUAAAGAAGAAAUGGCAAAAGUGAAAUAAUCAGAAAAAGCAAGGGCCCUUUCACAAAAAAAGAUAAAUUUUAUAAAAACCAGAGCAUAAAGUUUCACACUUUUGUUCUGCUCCUUUCUCGUCUCUGUCUUCUUCGUCCUCGUUCAUCCUAACUCACCAAACAGCUUUAGAUUUUCUCUUUCAAAUUUCGAACUCGCUACUCAUUAAAAAAAAAGUCCAUUCUUUUUAAAAAUUCGAAACCAAAUGGCUAGUAACAACAACCCGCAUGAGAACCUUUCAGACCAAACACCUUCUGAUGACUUCUUCGACCAAAUCCUCGGUCUUCCCAACUUCUCUGCUUCUUCAUCCGACGGUGGGUUAAGCGGAGGAGGAGCACCGCCGAUGAUGCUGCAGCUGGGCUCCGGCGAGGAAGGAAGUCACAUGGCUGGGCUAGGAGGAAGCGGACCAAGUGUGUUUCACAACCAGAUGUUUCCUCUAGGGUUGAGUCUUAACCAAGGGAAAGGACCUGUCUUUCUUAGACCUGAAGGUGGUGGUGUUCAUGCAAGUGUGAAUCGAUCUUCUUCUUCUUCUUCUAUGAAAGGACCUGUAAGGAAUCAAUUUUUUUGUUAUGCUUUUUCUAUGUGUUCUUACAUCUUUUGUCUUGUUGUUGUAAGGUUUUUCAUGGGCAGCCGAUGCAACAGCCAGCUCCAGCAGCGCCACAUCAGCCUACAUCAAUCCGUCCUAGAGUUCGAGCUAGGCGUGGUCAGGCUACUGAUCCUCACAGUAUCGCUGAAAGGGUAAAACUUUUACUUCAGAUUCUCUUUUUGUGUGUUUUGUGGAAGGGGGUAAAGCUGAAAGAUUUGAACUUUGUUACAGCUACGUAGGGAAACACUGUUAUAUUUACAAAACAUUAACGGCUGUGCCUGUGUGGUGUUAUUUGUGUCGUUAUCAGUGAGGUCAUGGCUUGCUUCACCUUUUAAAUAAUGGAUCAAAGUUACUGUUAUUGUAGGGUAGUUUUUGUUAUCUUGUUCCCAUUAGCUGUGUGACUGAACAUAUGAUGAGGCCACUUUGCAUCAGCCUUUUAAGACAUACUAUUCACGAGUUUGAAAUUGAUUGAGCUCAUAACUUAUUCAAAGUCUGUUUCUUUCUUUAGUGUCAAAAAAAACAUGAUGAGAAAAUAUGGCAUAUGCGUGUAGGUUGCCAAUAUGAUCAGGUUCUUGGUGGAUAGCUACAACAAGCCAGUUCCUGCAAUCCUGGAGAUCCCUUCCAAGGACCAUCCCUAUGAUCCUGCUCAUGACUCUGUUCUCUCCCGUGUCAAGUACCUCUUCUCUGCUGAAUCUGUGUCACAGCGUUAAAACAUUUACACAUUCUGCAAAGCUCGCCUGAGCUUUUAUAUCAUUUGACAUUCUUGUAUUUCUCAGUUUUCAAUAAUGUCUAUCUCUUGGUUUUUGUUUGGAAAUGGAUGUUAUAUCAGUAAGAAGCAAUGAUAACACCAUCUGGUUCUUUUUGCAUUGAAUAAAGAGAGUGAGUCAUUGUGUAUUCAAGAGACUUUAAAGAUUUAAGUGAAGACUCCAUCUAUGUGAAGCAUUUUGAGUCAGAUAAGCAGAAGCAACCAAAAGGAAGUUCAGAUCAGGUCCACCUGGAUUUAAGAAGAAGAAUAUAAGUACUUGGGUUCGCUAUGACUAUUACCAAAACACAUGUUAGUCAGAUAGAAUCAAAAAUUGUCCUAAUGUUUUAUUUAUCAAACAUCCAGGCCUAUUUGUUCUUGGCAACCACAAAGUUCCAGCCCAUUUACUGUUAUUUAUUGUUUCUGGAAGAAAAAGAAGAAAUGGCAAAAGUGAAAUAAUCAGAAAAAGCAAGGGCCCUUUCACAAAAAUAAAAAGAUGAAUUUUAGAAAAACAGAGCAUAAAGUUUGACACUUUUGUUCUGCUCCUUUCUCGUCUCUGUCUUCUUCGUCCUCAUUCAUCUUAAAGGCAUCACUCACCAAACAGCUUUAGAAUUUUCUCUUUCAAAACUCAAACUCGCUACUCAUUAAAAAAAAUCCAUUUUUAAAAAAAAACUCAAAACCAAAUGGCUAGUAACAACAACCCGCAUGAGAACCUUUCAGACCAAACACCUUCUGAUGACUUCUUCGACCAAAUCCUCGGUCUUCCCAACUUCUCCGCUUCUUCCUCCGACGGUGGGUUAGGCGGAGGAGGAGGAGGAGGAGCACCGCCGAUGAUGCUACAGCUGGGCUCCGGAGAGGAAGGAAGUCACAUGGCUGGGUUAGUAGGAGGAAGUGGACCAAGUGUGUUUCACAACCAGAUGUUUCCUCUAGGGUUGAGUCUUGACCAAGGGAAAGGACCUGUCUUUCUUAGACCUGAAGGUGGUGGUGUUCAUGCAACUGUGAAUCGAUCUUCUUCUUCUUCUUCUUCUUCUAUGAAAGGACCUGUAAGGAAUCAUUUUUUUAGUGUAAAAAGGUUAUGCUUUUUCUUAUGUGUUCUUACAUCUUUUGUCUUGUUGAAAAGGUGUUCCAUGGGCAGCCGAUGCAACAGCCAGCUCCAGCAGCGCCACAUCAGCCUACAUCAAUCCGUCCUAGAGUUCGAGCCAGGCGUGGUCAGGCUACUGAUCCUCACAGCAUCGCUGAAAGGGUAAAACUUUUACUUCAGAUUCUCUUUGUGGAAGGGGUAAAGCUGAAAGAUUUGAACUUUGUUACAGCUACGUAGGGUAUAAUUUUUUUAAAUAAAUAUUUUGAAAAUAUUAUAGCAUUAUCUUAAUUUUCAAAAAAUUUAUGUAAAUAUUUCAACUAAUUUUGUAAUUAGCAAUGAACUAUAAUUAUGCAUUAUAUAUAUAUAUAGUAAUCAUUUAUAAAAUAAAAAAAAUACAUUUUUAUCAUUUUAUAAUAAUAAUAGUUCAUAUUAAAUGAUUUUAUUAUAUUGAACUAAAUAUGAUAUAACCCAGCCAGUUCUUAUUCUUUCCUGUCUGUUCAUAGGAUUAGAGAUAUAAAAAUCAUGUCUUUGAAAUAACUUAGUUAUGUUAAAUUCUCCAUAUUGAUUUUUUUGGUCUUAGUUAUGGUCCCACCAUCACCUACCCUUCAACCCAAAUUUCAAUCUUGUUUUUUUUAAUGUGGUAAAGAAUAAUAUAGAAGUCCAAAAUGCUUUUGUUUCUUUUUUCUUUGGCACUUAGUCUAUCUUGUAAACACUUUUUGUUUUGUCAUAUAGAGAAGGCUAAUCAUGGUUUAGGAUUAAAAUAUCUGUAUAAUCAUCAUGCUCAGAUUAUAAUAUAAUCUCUUAGAUCAAACGCUUCUUAAUAUCAAAAUGCAGUCGGUUGCUUAAAGAUAAUGGAGACACUUUAGUAUGCAAUGAUGGAUUUCUGAAAAGAUGUUGACAAAAAAAGGAUUUCUGAAAAGAUAAUACAUUUUUUAUUUAUUUUGUGUGUUUCUUAUGAAAACCUUCCAUGCUCAUCUGAUAGUGGAGAAUGCAAUGAUGUAUUUCUGAUAAGAAUAAUAAAUGUUAUUUUUAUUUUAUUUUGUGUGAAAUCUUACAUGCUCAUCUGAAAAAAAAAGUAAAAAGUUUAUUUUCAUGGGAUAAAGCUUAUCUUUGGUCAACUUUUGGUAGGUUUUGAGCAUGAGUCGUCUUGGUGGAGCCGGUGCGGUUGCUCCACUUGUUACUGAUAUGCCUUUGUCAUCAUCAGUUGAGGUAAAUAAAAGAAAACAUCAAAACUUUUUAGCAAAGUGGGUUUCGACUCAAAACUGAUUAUUGUAAUCUCUCUCACUAGGAUGAAACUAGUGACGGUGGAAGGACACCACAGCCUGCGUGGGAGAAAUGGUCAAACGAUGGGACUGAACGUCAAGUGGCUAAGUUGAUGGAAGAAAACGUUGGAGCUGCUAUGCAGCUUCUUCAAUCUAAAGCUCUUUGUAUGAUGCCAAUCUCAUUGGCCAUGGCUAUUUACCAUUCUCAGCCUCCAGAUACGUCAUCUGUGGUUAAACCAGAGACUAAUCCUCCUCCACAGUAGGAUUUUUCGUGCAAGCAAGGGUUUGUACAGCAACUCAACGGGGUCUAAUAUGGCUUUAGUUUCUACUACUACAUCUCAUGACUGCUGGUUUCUUGCUGUUUCGUCUCCCUCCCACACCCACUUGUAUGGUAUGAUUGAAAGGUAAAACAAAAGGCGUUGGAGAUGGAAUCAAUGUAGGAUUUGCAAGGGAGAGUUUGUCAAAAAGCUCACUUGAUUAAAUAUGAUAUGUUAUCAUUUUAGGUGGACUUUGAUGAAAGCACCUUUUUGUUUUCAUGACUUUAGUGGGAGGUUGAGGAAGGAGCUUUAAGGGGUGUUUUAGUUGUAGUGGUGGUGGGAAGUGUGUGGGACCUGGUUGAGUUUAUGUACAAAUUAGAUGAAUAAUAAAAUAUUUGAAUUUGUUAACCGUUGUAUCUUAUAUAUUAAAAGAGAAGUCACAACCUUGAUUCAUGUGUGAUUUUUUUAAAAUUGGACCUAAUGGACCUAUUACUAGAAAAUCAUGUUACAUUUAAUUCUAAUAUUAUCAUUAUUAUAGAUCUAAAUAACUCAGUUUCUAUAUUAUAGGAACUAAAUAAUAUGUCUACUACAUUAUAGGAACUAAAUAACUAUCAAUCUUUAAAAAAAAAAUGAUCUGGAAACAACCAAUUCAAUACAAAAAAUAUACGAUAAAAUUAUUAUGUUUUAGAAAAUGAUAGACACUCAUAUAUAUUAAUAUAUACUAAUGUAGAAAUGAAAAGCAAUCAAUUUUACCGUGAUCUCGACCAUUUGAACAUAGCUAGAUCUCACAGGUAGAAAUAUUAACCCGUUGAAGAUUAACAUAGGAUAUAAUUCGUUGAAGAUUAACAAAGCUAGAAAUAUUUAAAAAGAUUCUAUGAAGAUUUUAACAAGAUUUUGUUAGAACAUUUUAAAUAUAUUCAUUUGUAUUUCAAAUGAAAAGAUAAAGAUAUUAAAAGAUAUAAUAAUGAACUUACGUAAAAUAUGAUAUUUUUUAGAAAUGGUCCAAACUAAAAAAAACACACAUGAAAAGAAGUCAUGGCUUCUGUUUUAAUAUAUUAGAUAUAAAUAAAUAUAUACACAUAUAUAUAUAUAUGUAUAAUUUUUUAAAUAUAUAUUUUGAAAAUAUUAUAGCAUUAUCUUAAUUUUCAAAAAAUUUAUGUAAAUAUUUCAACUAAUUUCGUAAUUAGCAAUGAACUAUUAUUAUGCAUUAUAUAUAUAUAUAGUAAUCAUUUAUAAAAUAAAAAAAAUACAUUUUUAUCAUUUUAUAAUAAUAAUAGUUCAUAUUAAAUGAUUUUAUUAUAUUGAACUAAAUAUGAUAACAUUAUAUUAAAUUAAUAAAAUUAUAAAAACAGUUUUUAUAAAUAUAAAAUAUUUAUGCUAAAAAUAUAAUACGAUGAUAUAACGACUUAACAUUCAAAACUAUAUAAUACAUAUAUAAAAUCGACAUAUCUUAGACUUUUGUAUAUAAUAAUAUAUUAUCUGAAAUAAAUAAAUGUAAAAAUAUUGCUAAUAGAAAACUUAGUUUUCAAGGUCUGUGGAUCAAAACUGAAUAUAAUUUUAAUAAAAAAAUAAUAUUUAAUAUGUUUUUAAUGCAUAUAUUAAUUUGUUAAAAAAUAUAUAUAUACCAUAAAUGAUGUAAAAAAAUAUUUAAAAUGAAAAUAAACACCCGCACGGUUGUGCGGGUCGAGAUCUAGUUAUUAUUUUAUUUGUGUGAAUUGGAGUGUAAUAGAUGAUCAAAUAAUAUCACUAGUUCCCUUUACUAAAACAGUAUUUUUGUUGAUGAAUUUGUCAAAUUUAUUGCUAUAGAAUUAUCCUGUUAUAAAAUCAUAGAUAUAAAAAAAUUCACAAUCUGCAACAGAGUGAUAAAUCAAGAAAAUAGAUAAUCAAAUAAUAUCACUAGUUCCCUUUACUAAAACAGUAUUUUUGUUGAUGAAUUUGUCAAAUUUAUUGCUAUAGAAUUAGUCCUGUUAUAAAAUCAUAGAUAUAAAAAAAUUUCACAAUUUGCAACACAGUGUGAUAAAUCAAGAAAAUAGAAACACUUACAAGUCUUUAUUACAACAAUUUUAAUUUCACCACAAACCUUGGAAUCUUGGAAGUGAGAUGAUAACAAAAGAGAACUCCUUUUGGUCAUUUGUUUUAAAAUGGGGUUUAACCUCCAAAACCAAGAAGACAGACUACAAAGAGUAAGCAAACUCAGUUUGAUGCUAUAGGCUUCAAACAUUCAUUAUGGCCUUUAGCGUUGUUAUUGAACCACAUAAAAAUUGUCGGCUUAAAAGAACUUAAGCUUAGCAAGCGUCAAGAUCACGGAAUUGUGGUGGCUUUGGCUCCCCAAGCAAUGUCUUGUUUCCCCCUUCAGGUCCGCACUUGAUCCUCUUUGGGUUUUGAGUUCCAUGCUGAAACAAAAGUUACAUAAUUAGAAUUUAGAUUUGGGUUUUGUGUUAAACAAAGAUUAAAGUAUACAAAUGCAAUGGGUUACUUCAAUGUCUUACCGGUGGCUUCUCUCCCUUUCUCAGCUUCUCAACAAUCUCUACAACUUUCUCAGGUGUAACAUCUUCCUGUUUAUUGUAGCAAUAAGACACAUGUGAAUACCAUUUUAACUCUUUGUCGUCUUACACAGUAUAAACGAAGGAAAAUAAUGCGGGAUGAAAGAGAAGUUAUUGGACAUACGAAAUAGUUAUAUGUAUAUCCUUCUGAUCCAUUGGAGUAAUCUGCCACAGUGAUCAUGGGCGCAUUGACACAGCAUCCCUGUCAAUAAAACCAAUUGUACAUGAGAUCAAGAAGUAUUAAUCUCGGCUAUGGUUAUGAAUUUACGGUUUCAGGAAAGUAAAGAGGUGAUAAGUAAUCCUUACCAUGCAUUCCAUCUCUCCAACAGAGAACAAACCAUCCUUUGUGACUUCUGCAACAUACAUGAUAAAAGCCAUAGAUCGUUAUGACUCAGGAACCAUAUGAUUUUGUUCAUGAAAGGUUGGUUAUUAGAGCUUUACCACCGCGCUUCACUCCCAAAUGGUCUAGCAAAGCUGAUUCGAUAUCUCGUGAACCACGGAUCAUGCAAGGUGUUGUGCCACAAACUAGGAGGUGGUACUUUCCGACCUGUAGGAGCACAAUUAAAGUGAAAAAAUGAGGGUGAGGGUGUUUGAGGAUUAAAGUAGAGACUUUACCAGAUGGGUAGUAAGUACUUCUUACCUUUGCCCUGUUGAACAUGGAAUAAAAUGUUGCAACCUCAUAAACACGAAUAGGAGCCACUUCUAUAACUUUAGCAACCUGCAAAAUUUUAUUGUGUUGUCAUUCAUGAUGGUAAAAUCAUAUCAACAGAUAUUGUAUUCCCAAAAAAAAAAAGAACUACAGAAAAUAAAGCUAACAGCUACAAUCAAACAAAAACGGAAAAUGGAAAAGAGAAAGAUAAUUAUAGAUGGUAAGAGUAUAGCUGAAAAAAAUAAUAACAAGAACGUACGGCAUUCAUAGCUGAAACAGGGAGCCAGCCUCCAUGCUGUUGUUGGGCGAGAUCCAGAAGGGGAAUCACAGCAGACUGCUUGUAGUUUGAUGGAUAGUAAGAGAGUAUCUCCUUAACCUAGAGAGUUUGAACAAAAUAAAAGAACUUUAGUAAAUCAUGUGGAAACAAAUUUCACUUGCUAUGCAAGAUUAGUGCAGCCAGACACGAAAGAAGAGUAAACGGGAACUAAAUGCAGAUGAAUAGAUUAGUAUUUUUUUUAUACUCUCCCAACAGUAUUUCCCCUACUUAUGUAAGUAGUUCCUUCCAAAACAGCCAAUUAAAAGCAAGUCAGUUAUUUCUAUCAUUUCUAGGGAACGCUAACUCACGGGAUCGUGAUGCCUGAUCAGAAGCCAGGGACUAUGUAUAAGAAGGGUACUGAAAAGCAUGUUAAACAUAUUCAGAGCUGCAUCUGGUCUGAGAUAACUAUUAGUAUUUUACUCUCCACAAAACCAGUUUACUAAUAAUCCCACUGACAGUCUUUCUUCUUUAUAUAUCAGUUCCUAAUUGUCAGAAACUCCCAUUACUAUUUUAUGAUUUAUGUAAGAGGGAACUGAAAGCAGGUUAAACAUAUUCAGAGCUGCCUCUGGUCUGAGCUAUGAGCUAUCUAAUCAGUAGGGAAUGAGAGAGCUCAUAGCUCAGACCAGAGGCAGCUCUGAAUAUCUAUCUAAUCAGAGCUACAUUUAUCCUAUAAAGAGUAAAAACAUUAUUUCCCCAUCUAUACUUUUUUUUCUUCUUAAAACACGAAUUUGGAUAAAAUUGCAAUUAGUUCAACAACGCAAAGUAACCUUAGAUUUGUUAGCGUCAGAGAACUCCCAUGGAAGAUCCGGUUUGUUGUCAGGAGAAUCCAGGUGCUAUAAUCAACAAAAAUAAUCAGAUUACUUAAUUAAUUAAUUAAAAAAAAGGAUAGAGAGAGAGAUCAAUCAAAAUAUCACCAAGACUCACGUAGUUCAAGGCUGUCGAGAAGCUUCGAGACGCCUAUGCAGAUAUAAAACACGAAACCUGAGGAUGAGAUCGGGAAAACGACGGAGAAAAAAUCUAAGGAAAUUUUUAAGAAAACCUGAGUGGGAGGUUGGCGGAUCUCGAGAAGACGCUUCGCAGCGAGCCUAGCCAGCAUUUUCGACGACUUUGACAAAACGAGAGACGAACGAACGCCUGGAUUUGAUUUGAUUGAAGAAUAAGAAGAGCCAAAGAGGGACACACGAGGGAGCUAGCUCACUAUCAUCACCUGCCUCAGGAGGAUUGACCACAUAAAUUUGGGCCUAAGCCCAUUUCUAGUUUCACUGUCAAACCUACUACUAUUGGAUUAUUAUUUCUUGGGUAUUCUAUUCAUUAUAGCCUUGUACGCCCAUUUGUAUUUAAAGAUUAGUUUAUUGAUUUUUUAUAAUUCUAGCACCUCCUUGUGAGCUUAAGAAACACUUUUGCGUCAAUGAACGUGUUCCUACCUUUGUUCAGUUAUGUCUAGAUAGGUUAAGCAUAUGAUGAGGAGGAUAUUUGGACCAAAGUUCAACUUAUCCCCAAAAGAGCAGCCAAUACCGAUUACUCUCUGUUCCUGAGUUUUCUAAUGAAGCUUAAGGGCAUAAUUUCAUCUUCCUCUUCUGUGGAGUUGGUAACGACUAACGAGGCGCCACUGGCUUCUGAAAUUUCUGCUAUCGCUUGUAUUUCACUUAGUUACGCAAAGUGCAAUAAACUCCAAACAACAUUUAUCAAAAAGGGAUAUGAACGUAGCUAAAAGCAGAUAUUAUCAAAUUCAUUAAGCCAUCUCCAAAUUCAUAUCCAAGAAACCAAAACCCCCCACAAGGUAGUUUGCAUCCCAAGAAAAAAAAAAAAGCACAAGACCGAAUGUCAAGGAAAUAACCAAAAAAAAAAAUUAAAAACAAAGUUUUUACUUAGGGUGGAAGUAUCCAAAUGAGAUUCUCAUAUACAAGCAGGAGAGCAGCUGAGAUGCUUCGAUUCAUUACCCCUUUCUUUCAUGAGUCAAACCACCUCCAUAGUUGUUUCUUUCCUUCUAAGCCAAGUACCUAAACAUGUUAGCGUUCUCCUUGUCCCUCUCCAAAUAAUCCCUCGUUAUCAAAUCCUCCAUACGCUUCUUGAUGGCUUUGAUAUCAGGCUGCAAAACACACAUAUCCAAUCAAGUUCCACGAAAACAUCAUCACUUAACUAUCUCCACAUGUUUCCUUAUAUAUAUAUAGAACAUACGUACCUUGAACAUUCGGCUAAGCUGCUCAACGCACUCGGAUACAAGCUGUUGAUGUCCCAACACUUUCCUGCUCUUCAUGAUCCUCACGAUCGCAGCAUCAAUCGCAUAGCGUCUGUCUUUGUCCACGUCUUCCACUACUUUCUUCCUUUCAUCGACAGGUGGGAGAGGGAUCUGUGAUGCAAAACCACAUAAAAGUUUAUAAUCUAAGAUAAUAACCAGUAGUAGUAACACAUGAAGUUUUGUGUGUUAAUGUUUUACAGACCUUUAUUCUGCGCAUUCUGUCGGUGAAUUUGGCAUUGAAUUCAAAUGAAUCAGUCUGGGAAACAAUCUUUGUGCUUGGCUCCUUGACAAGGAUCUUGUAUCUAGCACAUGACAAGGAAUGAAGCAACCUCACUAGAUCUUCAUGGCUUAGGUUCAGUUGAGUCAAGAUGUCGUUGUAGCUCAAUUUGUCUGUUGUGUUAAAGAGUAGAAGCACAGCAGCCUGAAAGCAAGUAACAAUUUGAAAAUUAGUAUCAGAAUUCAGAGGCCGUUUAAAGGAUCCAAUAUACCAACAGUUUCUGAGAAUACAAAUGAUACCUGGUAAGUCGACACAACUAACUCAAUGGGCUUGUGAUCAAACUUGCCGUUGAGGUGACAGGUUCCUAGUGAAUAGAUCCAUGUAAGUUUCCUGUGUUUCGUUUUAGUUUCAUAAAACCCUUUGAAAACUUCAACACACUUGACCUGAAACAAAGAAAUCGAUGGGAUUAGCUUCGCCUGGAGCAAACGUUUUUCCUUUUAGACAUACACUCAACAGAUACUUACCAUUUCACUGGGAAGAUUUAUGUCGAAUGAUUUGUAGCUUGGCCAGAAACCAGUUGUAAGAACAGUAACGGUCAAAUCAAUCCCUGGGUUUGCAGCGGGGUUAUUGCCUAGAUAUUCCUCGAAACUGGUUUGGUUUUCUCUGGCCAGUGUAAGAUCUGUCACCUGUAACCAAACAAAUCAAAUUUAUAGAAAGCAUAAAUCAUCAGAAAAAUCACCGUUCUGAGACAAUAAACAUAGGGACACGCAAACUAACCAUGCCCUCCAUCUUAGAAGUAAACUGCCCACCACAUUGCUGCUUGAGCUUUGUAAGAAUACUUCUCUCAUGAUCAUCAUUAGCACUGCGAUCAAAUAACAGCCUGCGUGCCAGCUUCUUCCUGAAAAACAGCCAAAAACAAAACCGCAUACAAUUUAUCCCAAUUUUGGUAAUUCCAUACUAUAUUAUUGGAAGGGACCUUAACAAAGAGCUAGAAUCAACAAACCAUAUAAGCAAAAAAAAUAUUAGAAUCCAAGGUAUAUAAAGAAAUAUAAGAAUGAGAGAUGAACCUGUAGAACUCGGCAAAAAGAUCCUUGUCGCUUAUAUAGGCAAGCAAUUUGACCACCUGUAACAACAUAAUAAGAUUAAACACCGGUUUAAGGAGAAACUGAAAAUGAAUAUAGCAAGCAACUUGACAAAAUACAAACCUUCUCAAGCGUGUCUUCAAUAGCUUCAUCACUCAGCUUCUCACUACCCCCCUUCUUGAGGAUGUUGUCGCAGAAUGUUGCAAGCAAUUCUGCACUUGAACUUCCAGCGACUGUUUUGUUACAGAAUAUCUCAAAUGCCUCUUUCAGAGCCUACAAUAGAAGAAACUUAAGUUAAUACAAACAAAUACACGCAUGCAAGAAGAUAUAUGCAUGACUAGUAUGCAGGAAGCACAUUAAACCUUGUGGAAGAGGGUGUGGUUCUGGAAGCACUCAACGACAUAGACCAUGUAUUUAUCAUGUAGCUCAAUCACUUUUCUGAUGAGAACCUGAAAGCAUAGAAAGAAAACGUGAAUUACUAAGUUCGAGAACAUCUUCACUAGUAGAAACAGUUGACACUGUUUUUACCUGUUCCUGCACGCUAGCAGUAUUUGCAGCCUGUGGAGUAAAAACAAAUCUUAGCGAUCACAGGCAAAGCGCGGAAAAGAUUUCAGAGUAAAAAACAAAAAAAUAUGAACCUGAUUAGUGGCCGUGUCUUCCGCCUGUUGGACGAGUGCGUUACCCUCGGCUGUGACAUGCUAUAUACAAAUUACACGAUGGAGUUAAUGCAGAACAGUAUUUAACAGAGUAAAAGUACACAAGGAAGAAAUGACUUCGCCAAUCUAAACCAUAAUAAUAAAGAUAGGUAAGCAACCUGCUUGAAUAUGUUUGCAACAGGUUCUAAACCUUUAGCAAUUUUAUGAUAAAGCCUGUACAUCCGGGAGAGAUCAUCAACCUGAAAGCACACAGAUACUCCAUCAAAGACAGAAAUAGAAAGACAAAAUAAUUAACAAUGAAACAAAGAGUAAGUUGCUCCACCUUGUCAUCUCUCAGCAAUGCACGGCACCCUGAGUGCUCUUUUUCUAGAAGCUGAUUUGCAUACACAACCAACAGCUCAUGUUGUACUUUCUGCAUCCAACAGAUUAAUAUAGAAGUCAAAUAGAUAUCAAUCAAAAUUAAUAUAUACUUUUCUGCAGAAGCAGGGUCUAAAAAGCAUGUCUCUAUGAAUAAAAAUGCAAAAUCAUGGCUUCUGUAAGUACACGCAUAAUGAAUGCUAUGCAUAAAGUCAAAGUGUCGUGCAUGAGGUAUCAUCAUAACUAACCUCAACCAGCUUUGGCUCGCUGCUUGAAUGAAGGUAGUGAGCCACUCUCUCCCUCUCCUUCUUCAGACAUUCUUCAGACUGCAACAUGAGAUUUAACAAGGAUACAUCAGACUAGUUAACAUAUGCAUUUUACUAAUUUGGAAUGACAACGCAAUCUAGAAAAUAAUAUAAGUAUUCAUACCUUCAGCAUGUAAUCAGGGCAAGAAUCUUCCUGGAUCCAGCUUGAUGCUUUGCGAGAAUAGUAAGAAGCUGAAUCCAAAAGCAUGAAGCUUUCAAAAUCCACUUCGUAUCUUUCCAUCUGUCCCAUUCCAAUCUCUACAUAGAUGUCCAAUACGUUUUUCAGAAGAGCCCUGUCAAUCUGCUCGCCCUCCCGUUCUUUAUCAACCUGACAUAGAAACAGCUCAUGUUAGACCUUGAAUAAGGUAAAAGCAAGAGUUGGAACUAAAUGUACAUUAUACACGCCACACUUACAAGUGCUAUUACAGCAUCUUUGACCUUGGAAUGCAACUCGUUAUAAACCUGAAAUAACAAAAUCAAUCAAGAGUUAAAAUAUCAUUGACGCCAUGUAAAGCCAUACAUAACAAGAACGAGCGCCAAACCCGGUCACGGAAGCAAGUCAGGCCAACUUCAUUCAGCGGUGGAAGUGAUCUCCGAGCAAUGAAGUAACGGUCAAGAUAGUAGAAGAAUCGGGAUAGCCAUCGAACCAUGACUUUAUGGUUAGACCAUCUCUUGACCAGCUCCCGCAGCAUGUACUCAUCAUGCUUCUCCUUCAAAGCAGGCAAAACCUAAUCACAAUAAAAAAAGAAAGAACGGUUUGAUCAACUUAUUGGCAUAUGAAACCAAGCACAAACCUCAAAAACUACAAAAUUGAUGAAUCAGACUCACCGUUGAGUUAAUAUACUCCUCAAACGCUUCACGAUACUUGUCAUAAAGCUGCUGCGAGUAAUCAUGAGGAGGCUUCUGGGUGCACAUGUUGUAGAUAGUCCUGAGAACCACACAAAACCCUCAACUUUCAUCACCAGUUACAAACAAAGCAAACACCUCUAAGACAACUCAAAAGACUAUAACAGAACGUACGUAUAGAGCAUCAUGUACUGCUCAGAGUCGAAUUGCGGCUCAGGCAAUCCCUCAAGAAUCCGUUUCAGUUUAGUGAUACCAGUCUGCAUAUAGUCCCAUCCUUGCUCCAAAUCAAUCGUCUUCCGCUCCAUUCUGAAAGAUUGAUUCCCAAAGCGCUCCUGGACCUAAGAACACGGAACAAAAUCGAAACUUUAGGGCAACAGUUUCCACAUUAUAGAAUCCCAAUCAAACUAUCGGAUGAUGAUAAAACGAACAAUCGAGAACGCUACACAAAAGCAAUCGACGUAACCCUAACAAUCAGAUCCCUAAAAAACUCGAAAACUAGGGAGCUAGACGAGAUCUUAGACCCUAAUUAGAGAAAGACGUUUCGCUUAACCUUGAGGAUUCCCGAUUCGAAAGGAUCGGGAGAGGUUUUGCGAUCGAGAGAGAAAGAUCAAAACCCUGAGAGAGUACGAUAAGAGAGAGGAAGAGGUGGAGACCUUUGAGCAGGACGGUGAACGAGGAAAGGAAAGGAUAUUUAUAACCCCCUCUCUUUUUUAAUCGCCUAUAACUCCUCCUCUAUUAUUCAGGCCGUAGAUUUUUAUCAUUUAUUUAUAAUCUUCGUUUAAUAUCUAUAAAUGUUUAUUUUCUAUUUAACCUUUUCUAAUUUAUUAGCCUGUUCAUUUUCCUAGUUACGGAUCUAUAAUCCUGUUUUAAAAAUCGGCUGCAUAGCUGUAUAGACGGCCGUCUAAACGUUACGCUUCACUCUUUCGUCCCAAUUUAUGAAAAAUUGGUUUAAAAAAUUAGAUAUCCGAUUUUUUCUGUUUAGACCGUCUAAAUAACCGUCUAGCCGCAUAUUCUAUUUUUUUAAUAAUAUUUUAUUUAUUUAUUUGAUCUGAAAUUUUGUAAAUAUCAUUUAUAUUCAUAAUUUUGAUGAAAAUUACAGUAUAUUAAUUUUAUAUAUUCUAUUUGUGUGUUUUAUACAAUCUUAAAUAUGAAAAUGUAUUAAUGUUAUACGCUAUUAAAGAUUACAUGUUUUACAAAAUUGUAAACAAUCUAAAAAUUUUGCCUCGCAUAAUUUCUGAUUAAUCCCCGAAUAACUGAUAUUGACUGUAUACAUAUGAAAAUAAUAUUUAGUUUUUUUAUAAGUGGUUAAAGUGUUUUAGUCCAUGUUCUCAAACGCGAACUCCUAACCGAGUAGGCGCUCGGCGGCACAAUUUUUUUCUCAAACAAUUAUGAUGAAAUACAUAUGUUACAUAGUUUGUGGAAAAUGCAUCAAUGGAAAGAGUUCAUUUUGAAAUUUUUCUUGUAGAACUAUAUACUUGUAAGCAGAUGCAGCUACUGAUUUUUCACAUAGCGUGAUGGAACUAACAUCCAAGGUGAUCAGCUGGUUUAAAUUUCAAAAAGAAGAAGGGAUUUGAUCAACAAAAAUGUUAUUAGAAAGACCGGAGAAAGUGAGCUGAAAAAGGUUUCCUACUAUAGGCAUACUCGGACCACAGAAAAAAAAUAUUAAUAGAAAUGUCGAGUUUGUCAAGAUAAUAAAGGUUUUCAAUCCAAGAAAGAAUAUGAUCCAAAAUUUUAUUAAAUGAAAUGUCAAAAGAAACGAGAUGAGAAAGAUUUACAAUUAAAGAUGGAAUCCGACUCAAAAACCAAAAAAAAAAAUAUUAUCGAAGAAAAAAUGCGACAGGUGAAAAACUAUCGUGCGAAAGGUCGAGCGACGUGAGUCCAGAAAGAUUUCCAAUUACAACAAGUCGUUAUUAGCCCAUGAGUCCGUCUGGGUUUAGUAUUGAUAAUAUAACUGUAAAGAAAGAGUUGAGAACCUUGGACUCGUUUCUGAAAUCGACAAGUGUGACCAUUUGCUCUGGGGCCGCAAACACGGCCUCGUAAUUAUAAACGAACAAGAAAAAAAAAAGACAAAGAGUGAUAGAAAUGGUAUUCAUUCCUUUCUGAUAGAAGAAAAGAAGAAGUGUUGAUGGUAUUAUUAGUAUAUAAACACGCUUCCAUGCCCACCUAUAUACACAAUAAUCUACAAAGAAAAAUUCCAAUCAGUUUGACUCAGUACUUUUCACACAUUUUUGGUCCCCGGCGGCUACAUUGAUUACAAGAUCUUUCCAAUCCAAACAAGAAAAAGUUACGAGUGUCUUAUUUUGCUCUAAAUAACAGCAUUUACAAGCUUUUUACAGUUUUUUUCAAAGAGUCUGUUUUGCAUUGUUUCGUGAUCAUCACAUGCACAGUCUUUCGUUUUGUUUUUCGGUAUAUGUUAAAACUUUAGUUUUUUUGCCAGCAAAGUUUUAAUUUGGGUGGUAAAUGUUUUUUCUUCUAAUUAUUAAAGAAGUUCAGAAUUGAGAUUCUUAAAAAGAUUGGUUAGUAAGACUGAUUCCAGCACCACUUGAAGUUCUAAACGUCUCAUGACAAAUAGUCAAAUAUACAGUUAACUGAAAGAAACCAAAGAAAUGCAAGCUAUGGCUAGCUCUCUCAAAAGAUUAUUUUAGCUAUUGGAUCUAACCUGAUGAUUAGGUUGCCUCAUUACAAGCCCUUAGUGUUCACUUAAUUCUUAUUUGGUUUCUAAAGUUAGUGUUCCCGUUCCAUUUUUGCAGAGCAAUUUUCAAGGCAAAACCUAGUUAGUCAUGCAGUUGCUAGAUUUGAGUAUAUCCAGCAGUGAUGGUAAUCAUCAAAGGAACAGUCAAGGGACAAUCCCUUGACGUGCUCCAUCAGCAUAUAACUCGCUCACUUUGCCUCUCUCAGAAAGAGACCAACAACAAACUAUGAAAAUAGGACAAGUUAGUUCAUCAGAGUCGAUCUAAAUAACCGUCUAGCCGCAUAUUCUAUUUUUUUAAUAAUAUUUUAUUUAUUUAUUUGAUCUGAAAUUUUGUAAAUAUCAUUUAUAUUCAUAAUUUUGAUGAAAAUUACAGUAUAUUAAUUUUAUAUAUUCUAUUUGUGUGUUUUAUACAAUCUUAAAUAUGAAAAUGUAUUAAUGUUAUACGCUAUUAAAGAUUACAUGUUUUACAAAAUUGUAAACAAUCUAAAAAUUUUGCCUCGCAUAAUUUCUGAUUAAUCCCCGAAUAACUGAUAUUGACUGUAUACAUAUGAAAAUAAUAUUUAGUUUUUUUAUAAGUGGUUAAAGUGUUUUAGUCCAUGUUCUCAAACGCGAACUCCUAACCGAGUAGGCGCUCGGCGGCACAAUUUUUUUCUCAAACAAUUAUGAUGAAAUACAUAUGUUACAUAGUUUGUGGAAAAUGCAUCAAUGGAAAGAGUUCAUUUUGAAAUUUUUCUUGUAGAACUAUAUACUUGUAAGCAGAUGCAGCUACUGAUUUUUCACAUAGCGUGAUGGAACUAACAUCCAAGGUGAUCAGCUGGUUUAAAUUUCAAAAAGAAGAAGGGAUUUGAUCAACAAAAAUGUUAUUAGAAAGACCGGAGAAAGUGAGCUGAAAAAGGUUUCCUACUAUAGGCAUACUCGGACCACAGAAAAAAAAUAUUAAUAGAAAUGUCGAGUUUGUCAAGAUAAUAAAGGUUUUCAAUCCAAGAAAGAAUAUGAUCCAAAAUUUUAUUAAAUGAAAUGUCAAAAGAAACGAGAUGAGAAAGAUUUACAAUUAAAGAUGGAAUCCGACUCAAAAACCAAAAAAAAAAAUAUUAUCGAAGAAAAAAUGCGACAGGUGAAAAACUAUCGUGCGAAAGGUCGAGCGACGUGAGUCCAGAAAGAUUUCCAAUUACAACAAGUCGUUAUUAGCCCAUGAGUCCGUCUGGGUUUAGUAUUGAUAAUAUAACUGUAAAGAAAGAGUUGAGAACCUUGGACUCGUUUCUGAAAUUGACAAGUGUGACCAUUUGCUCUGGGGCCGCAAACACGGCCUCGUAAUUAUAAACGAACAAGAAAAAAAAAAGACAAAGAGUGAUAGAAAUGGUAUUCAUUCCUUUCUGAUAGAAGAAAAGAAGAAGUGUUGAUGGUAUUAUUAGUAUAUAAACACGCUUCCAUGCCCACCUAUAUACACAAUAAUCUACAAAGAAAAAUUCCAAUCAGUUUGACUCAGUACUUUUCACACAUUUUUGGUCCCCGGCGGCUACAUUGAUUACAAGAUCUUUCCAAUCCAAACAAGAAAAAGUUACGAGUGUCUUAUUUUGCUCUAAAUAACAGCAUUUACAAGCUUUUUACAGUUUUUUUCAAAGAGUCUGUUUUGCAUUGUUUCGUGAUCAUCACAUGCACAGUCUUUCGUUUUGUUUUUCGGUAUAUGUUAAAACUUUAGUUUUUUUGCCAGCAAAGUUUUAAUUUGGGUGGUAAAUGUUUUUUCUUCUAAUUAUUAAAGAAGUUCAGAAUUGAGAUUCUUAAAAAGAUUGGUUAGUAAGACUGAUUCCAGCACCACUUGAAGUUCUAAACGUCUCAUGACAAAUAGUCAAAUAUACAGUUAACUGAAAGAAACCAAAGAAAUGCAAGCUAUGGCUAGCUCUCUCAAAAGAUUAUUUUAGCUAUUGGAUCUAACCUGAUGAUUAGGUUGCCUCAUUACAAGCCCUUAGUGUUCACUUAAUUCUUAUUUGGUUUCUAAAGUUAGUGUUCCCGUUCCAUUUUUGCAGAGCAAUUUUCAAGGCAAAACCUAGUUAGUGAUGCAGUUGCUAGAUUUGAGUAUCCAGCAGUGAUGGUAAUCAUCAUAGGAACAGUCAAGGGACAAUCCCUUGACGUACUCCAUCAGCAUAUAACUCGCUCACUUUGCCUCUCAGAAAGAGACCAACAACAAACUAUGAAACCAGGACUAGUUAGCUCAUCAGAGUCGACAACAAUCAAUCUUGACAACUUGUUAGGGAAUCAGUAGGAUAAAUGGGCACAGCUACAUCAGCUUCAUGGAGGUACCAGCAGAGUCAGAAUGGUUAUUACACAUCUUAUGCUAAGGGGAUUGUGUCCAAUAUGAUGCACAACCAAGUAGAAACCACCCUAACAUGAUGCACAACAACAACCAUCUAGAAAACUUGCUUCUCAUCAUCAUCCUUGUUGUAACCAAAACAGAAGUUGGCGUUAAAUCAUAUACAAUGAGACACGAGUUCUUUUAAUACCAAAUACUUGGAUUUCACGAUACAGCUAGCGUCUUGCUCCCUUGAGACACAAGUUUACAUGUUUAAGAGAUGACAGUAACCGGAACAUCAGUGAUUUAGAUAGAUUGUAAGAAUUGGCCUCUCAUUUUAUUGUCCACCCGAUUUCAAAGUGCAACUUCGUUGGUGAGGUCCUCAAGAAAAUUCUCAAAAGUUGAAUAUUCUUAUUUUAUUGGUUAUUUAUAAAUAAAAUAAAUUUUAAUUAAAAACAAAAAAAAAUAGCCAAUAGACCGCAAGUAGUCAAAGAGGAGUUCUGGGGUGAAAACCCAUUGUUGUACAUGAUCUAUUAAGACGACUUUCAGAUCCAUAAAUAUCUAAUUCUGAUGCUUAACAGUGCUAAUUAGCUGAAAAUUCUCUGUAAACAACCGUGGGGUAAAUGAACAAGUUCGUUUUUCGCUGUCCGAAAGAUAAAUACUUUAUUUCGUCCGUGCUCUUACGUUGCAAGUUAUGAGUCAAGGUAGAAGGAGCUUUAAUUUAGACUGUUGAAUUUUGUUAUAAUAAUUUCCUAUUCAGUUAACAAAAAUUCGAUUGUCUAAUAAUACAACCGUGUCCUAAACAAUCUAUGUCCCAACUAACAAAAGGAUUGAGUAAGGAGAUAAGAUAAAAGAAGCCAUUAAGAUCAGAUAAUUGUAGUCUGAGUUUUAGUCGACAUAAUAUUUCCGAACAAUCGUUAUCAUCAUGUCAUUGGCUCUUUCUCAUCCGAACUCCAAAGAGAAAUCAAAUUAUCAUCAGGAAAAAUCAAUUAAAAAGUUGAAAGUGAAGGCUCAGAAGGAUCCAUUGGUAAAAUUUCUAAUCAGAGAUUUACUCAUAAAAUAGGUAGAUUUUCAUCAUCACUGCCUUCACUAGUAACCAGAAAUCGAAGAGAUGAGAAUUUUUCCCAUAAAAGCCAAAAUUGAAAACAGUUUAACGAAACAUUGAAACAAGAAUGUGGAAUGAAAGACGAGAUGUAAUGGCUGGAUCAGCUUUAAAUUGUAAUCGCUGAGUUGGGAGAAGUCGCGGACGGCAAUAUAUAUAAGACGAUGGAGGUAGCUAGGGUUUUACGUUUUGAAAAGAAUUGGGUCGGGCCUGUUGAGACUCCAACUCUUGGAUAUGGGCCUUGUAAAUGUUUCAGUUUUUAAAUCUACUAGCAUGGAGAAAUAUAAGUUUUUUAAAAAAAAUCUUAUAUAUUAUGUAUUAUAAUUAUAAAAAAAAUUACAUAUACAAUUUUACAACAUAUAACUUUAUAUGGUUUAUGCGAAUCAAAUUCACAUCUAACCAAUUUUACUUACACCCUUAUGAAGAUCACAUGUAAGUCUUUCAUCUGUAAAUAUGCAUAAUUAUUUAAUAAAUCGUGUUCUUCAAUAUUCAAAACCCAAAAAAUUAAUAAAUCUUCGUUAAACCAUCAAAUUACUGAAACUUUCACCAAGAAAUUCAAGACUGUGAAUAAAAAUGAAAAAAAUAUGAGAUUGUGAGAGCAAGUGAUGGGAGGAAAACACAGCCUAGUCUAUCGAAAAAAAAGAUUGAGACAAUUAUACAUCUUUGUUGUGUGUGUAUUGCAGAACUUGGUUGUUGUUAUUUUAUCUAUGUAUUGAGAAAAUUGCAAAGCUUGUAACAGUAACCUUAACAAUCAGCCGUCUUCGUAGUUAGUAAUUGGUUUGAUCCAAUGCCUCUUACACUAAAUCCUAGUCUACUUUUGUUUUCCAUUUAUUCUCUUCCAAAACUACAUGAAGUAGUAAUCAGAACAAACUGAUGGAGAAGUUUUACUCUUCUAAGGACAAAUGUGCCUUCUCUUUGCGUUGUUUCCUUCAUAGUUUACUUGGCUUUUCUCCAACGUUACUUACAUGAGUAAUCAGAACAAAUGGAAAAGUUUAAAUUCUUUUGUGAACAAAUUUAAUUUCUAUUUUUGUCAUUUUCAUCUUGGUUCCCAAACCUAAAAGCAUUUCUUUUUGGUUUUGAGAACAAUGAUAUGUAAGUGUAUUUUUGAAGCUCCUUCUUGUGUUCUAAUGACAGUUGAGUUCAAGCCCGUAUGAGAAUACAGAAGUGGAAACAUUCAACUCCUCUCUUAUUACAUCAGGUUCGUUCUUCUUCUCCUUUCUAACUUAUCCAUUCAAAAGAGUUUAGUUAUCCAUUUAAAACAUAGUAAAGAUCUUCUUGAAACUUGGUUUUAAUUUGCUUACACAGUGAAUAAGAACCGACAUAGAGUUAUCUAAGCUCGCGUUUAUGUCAUCGGCUAGUGCAUUUGAGAAAUGGACAAGCUUGACAGGUCUUUUAGGACAGCUUAAGGGAAUCUGAUUGGCUACCAAUUGUUUACUUUUCUGUUGUCGUCUUGUGUAUUUUUCUACAUAUUGUCAACAAAAGAAUAGAGAUAAAGGAAAGCAAACCUUUGAAAACUUCAUCCUCUUUAACAUAUUUGGUUAUCAUUCUUUAUUCAUUUUUUCAUACUAAGCCAAACCACUUUCUUCAACACUCCAGUAACAAUUGUUAUAUCAAAAUGAGAUCUUUUAAACCGGAAUGGGAAAGCCCAUAGACUGAACCGGUAAUAACCAAGCGUCAAGAGAUGUCAUGUUACUACUAGAUGAAGCUUGCUUGACUAUAAGGGGGCAGUUUGAGUCAUUUGGCAGUUACUACAGACUUGUUUGAUCUUUUCUCUGAUGACAUUAAAUCCUUUAUCUAGAAGAACAAAAAAACUUCCAUCAUUAUAACCAAAUGUGAAAACAAAUAUACAAACGUUAAUCAAUCCAAUUCAACUUUGAAAAAUCAUCCAAGCAGACUAGUCAAUAUUGAUGGCGACGGUCUUAUAGAGGCAUUACUUAUCUGUUAAAUAAUACUAUUAACAUUAAUGAGAAUGCAAAAAAUGCUCUGCCUUUUACUUGUAUAAAUACCAGCACUACUUGUGUCUUAUUUCAUCACCUUCACCUUCAACAUCAAACACAUCACAUCUCUCAAAGAGUUUCUUAGUAAUCAAAAUCAAUGGCAGGUAUCAAAGUUUUCGGACACCCAGCUUCCGCUCCCACCAUGAGAGUCCUCCUCACCCUCCACGAGAAAAACCUCGACUUUGAGUUCGUUCAUGUCGACCUCAUGGGAGGUGAGCACAAGAAAGAGGCUUUCCUAGCCCGCAACGUAAGUAUAUCUAUCUGUGUUGUUGUGAGACAGGAUAAACACUCAGAACCGGGCAAAAAAUUAAGCUCCUAUAAUUAAUGUUUAUUUAAUUUUUUUAACUUUUAAAAGUUAAUCAGUAAUAUUUUUGUAAAUUUCAUGAAAAAAAAACAAAACUAUACACAUAAAAUAUUUUGGGUCAUUUCAGUCUAAUUAAUCAAACUUUAAUUUUUGUAUAAAAAUAAUGUAUAUAUAUAAAAAGUUGAACUACUUAACUACUAGGAUUACAUGAAGACAUGGAUUUGAGCCCGGAGCGGCCAUACCGUUUGUCCCCCGAAUUAGCUGCCCGUUUUUGAUGAAUCUGGUCUAAAUCUUGAAUGUUUUGCGUUUGAUUGAUAUUGCAGCCUUUUGGUCAAGUUCCAGCCUUUGAAGAUGGAGACCUCAAGCUCUUUGGUACGAACGUUUUCGCAGAUCAUCUCAAAUAUGAUUUGACAAUAUGCAUAAAAAGAAGAAGAAACAUUCACUAACAUGAUUUGUUUCUUUUGUGUAGAAUCAAGAGCCAUUACUCAAUACAUAGCUCACCGAUACGAAGGCCAAGGAACCAACCUUCUCCCAGCUGACUCCAAGAACAUAGCCCACUAUGCAAUCAUGGCCAUCGGAAUGCAAGUAGAAGCUCACCAGUUCGAGCCAGUGGCUGCAAAGCUUGUUUCUGAACAAGUAUUUAAGCUCAAGAAAGGCUUGACCACAGACCAAGCCGUUGUUGCCGAAGAGGAGGCUAAGUUAGCCAAGGUCCUUGAUGUCUACGAGGCUCGGCUCAAGGAGUUCAAGUACUUGGCUGGUGACACUAGACGUGUACGAGGCUCGGCUCAAGGAGUUCAAGUACUUGGCUGGUGACACUUUUACUUUGACCGAUCUUCACCACAUUCCUACGGUUAAAUACUUGCUUGGAACUCCCACCAAGAAGCUCUUCACCGAGCGUCCACGUGUCAACGAGUGGGUGGCUGAGAUCACCAAGAGGCCAGCUUCCCAGAAGAUCCUUCAGUGAUAAGUUACUAAAAGCUUCUGCUUCAGUCGCAGUAAUAAUGCUCAGAGUUAAUAAGUUACUGCCUCAUUUCCAAUUUCUCAGUACUCUGUUUUUAUUCUCAGUUAUAACUAAGUGUGUGUUCUUGAGAGAUAUUUCUUGAAUCAUAAACUGUCUAAUCUUCAAGCUCUUCUAUAAUAAAAAGAUUAGUUACUUAUUUAAUACAAAGGUUGCAAUGUCUUGACUACAGAGUUACUGAUUAGUGAGCACAAAGACUUUGUUUGAUUAGUCUUUGCAAAUUUUUACUUUCUACCUUUGCAAGCUGACCUAAGACUUUGACUCCAUAAACAAUAGUAAAGAGUAAAGACACAUGAUGGAAAGAGAAAUCUAAAAACAAAGCAUAGCUCAGAUCACUCAAAUUGGAUUUGCUUUUUACCUUAACCCCUUUUAAGACGCUAGGUGAAGCAACCCAUCUCAUCUUUAGUCUCCAUUGUGUUGCUUGACUCAUCCCUCACUUUGACUUUACAGCUACCCAAUGAAUCGAGGGCAGAGACUGAGACAUAUACUUACAGCAUCUGGUCAUCCCAAAGUUAGAAGCUUUACAAUACUCACAUAUUGACUUUACCAAGAAAUAUCAUUUUUAGUUAGUAGAGUUUGUACGUCAUCAUCCCGGCCCAUGGCGUUCAAGGGACCAAAAAAGAAUAAUGGGAGAUCAUAAUAUCGACAUAGAUCCAACGGUCAAGAAUAAUGAUAGCAUUAAGAAGAUAUAAAGAUAUUUGAUAGUACAACAAUAUUUUUUGAAAGCCUAAGUUUCAAAAAAAAAAAAUUGAAAAUAACUACCGAUAUUGUACUAUUUUAUAUUAAUUUAUGAAAUUAGUUUUACUCAUCUCUAAAUAAAUCAUAGUAGGUGAUUAUCUCUCGCUCAUGCACAAGGAUAUAAAUAAUUAUAAAUUAUAAUAAUUUAUUAAAAUUUAAGAUUAAAUUAUUUUGUAAUUUAUAUGUAUAAAAUAGUACUAUGUUAAUUUUUUAGACAUGUGAUUUUGGAUAUAAUAUUAAGUAUGUUUAAUUAUUAUUUAUGUAUAUUGGAUUUUAUUUACUUCUUUAAAAUCGACCAUAGUAAUUUUUUAUUUUCAUUUAGUUUGAUUGUUAUCUCAUAUCUGUAAAUAUAUAUGUUGUUUUGAGAAUCAAAUAAAAAAAAUUAACGUAUUGAUUAAUAAGUUACAUGAAUUAAUAUAAAUAUAAUCUUGUAAACAGUCAGGCAUGUAUAUGAAUUAAAAAAAUAAAAUAAACUGUGACAAUUUAUUAAUAUGUUUAAACAAUUCCAUAAUUUAAAUGUAUAAAAUUAAUAAAAUAUUACUAUAAAUAAUAGCAUAUUAAUAUUUGAGUUAGAUAUUUGAUUUUAGGUAUAAGAAUUUGUAUUAGUCAAGUUAAUAAUUUUGUGGAUUAUAUUGAGUUACAUAUGUUUUUUUAAUGUUAAGAACAUUAGUUUAGUUCUUCACCGUAAAUGCGUAAGAUUCAGAAAAAAAGAAUGUGUAAGUUUACUUUCAUAAUUUUUUGUAUUACUGAUAUUUGUUUUUUAAUAAAGAAAUUCUUAAAGUAAAACUAAAAAUGAUCAAUAUGAAGGUGCAUAAAUGAAAAUAACUAAUAAAUUUUUAAAAGAUCAUGAAUGGAUAUCAAUAUUUUAAAAAAUUAUGUAAAAUAGGUCUAUAGUAAAAAUAAUAUUUUUAGUUUCACUUUCUAAUAUAUGACUUAUUUCUUAAAGUCAAUUUCAAAAGCAACAACAUUAUUUAAUAUUUCUAAAAUAAAUACUUUUUGAGAAAUCAUGUUAUGUAAGUAACUUUCAAAAUUUCUUUAGAUAUUUUCAUCAGUGUAGUACCGUAAUUGAAUAAAAGUUAUAAGAAGUUUGAGUCAUUUGGCAGUUACUACAGACUUGUUUGAUCUUCUCUCUGAUGACAUUGAAUGCUUUAUCUAGAAGGAAAAAAACUUUAUUCCAUAACCAAAUUUAUAAACAAACUUCAUUCAAUCCAAUUUAACUUUAAAAAACCUCUAGAAAAACAAGUCAAUAUUGGUUGCGACGGUCUUGUAGAUGCAUUGUGUAUAAGUUGAAUAAUAUGUAACAUUAAUGAGAAUGCACAAAAAUUCUCUGUUUUUUACUUGUAUAAAUACCAUCACCACUUGUGUCUUAUUUCAUCACAUUCACCUUCAAACAUCAAACAUCACAUCUCUUAAAAGAGUUUCUUUGUAUCAAUGGCAGGUAUCAAAGUUUUCGGACACGCUGCUUCCAUUUCCACCAGAAGAGUCCUCCUCACCCUCCACGAGAAAAACCUCGACUUUGAGCUCGUUCAUGUCGACCUCAAGGACGGUGAGCACAAGACAGAGUCUUUCCUAUCCCACAACGUAAGUAUAUACUUAAUCGUUUCAUUUUAAAUCCGUUUCAUUUUAAAUGUAGUUGUAGAAUUUAAAUUUUAUUUCAUUAUAAAUGACAUUUUAUAUUUUCAGUGCAAAUUUUUGAUGGUUUUUUCACUUUUAAUUCCUAUCUUUCAGCACAUUAAUUUUUAAAAAAUAAAUAAAAUAGUGUACUAAUUAGGGAUAUAAUAGAAAAUUUAAUGAUUUUAUUAAUUUGUGUGAAAGAACCUUAACAACAUAUGAAACGAAACGUAGGGAGUACAUAUAUAUGUUGUUGUAAGACAAGAGUACAAGACCAGCACUCUGAUGAAUCUGGUCUAAAUCUUGAAUGUUUUGCAUUUUUAUUUAUAUUGCAGCCUUUUGGUAAAGUUCCGGCCUUUGAAGAUGGAGACCUCAAGCUCUUCGGUAUGAACGUUUUCAUGAUCUUCAAUCUUAAUCUGAUUUGAAAAUUAUAUGCGUAGGAAGAAGAAACAUACACUAACAUCAUUUGGUUCUUUUGUGUAGAAUCAAGAGCUAUUACUCAGUACAUAGCUCACCGAUACGAAGGCCAAGGAACCAACCUUCUCCAGCCUGACUCCAAGAACCUGGCCCAAUAUGCAAUCAUGGCCAUGGGAAUGCAAGUAGAAGCUCACCAGUUCGACCCACUGGCGUCAAAGCUUGCUUGGGAACAUGUAUUUAAGCUCAUCUAUGGCUUGACCACAGACCAAGCCGUUGUCGCCGAAGAAGAGGCUAAGUUAGCCAAGGUCCUUGAUGUAUACGAGGCUAGGCUCAAGGAGUUCAAGUAUUUGGCUGGUGACACUUUUACUUUGACCGAUCUUCACCACAUUCCUGCGGUUCAAUACUUGCUUGAAACUCCCACCAAGAAGCUUUUCACCGAGCGUCCACAUGUCAACAAGUGGGUGGCUGAGAUCACCAAGAGGCCAGCUUCACAGAAGAUCCUUCAGUGAGGAAUUUCUAAAAGGCUCUGCUUCAGUAACAGUAAUAAUGCUCAGACUAAAUAAGUGGCUGCUUCACUGCCCAAUUUCUCAUUAAUCUGUUUUUCUUUCUCAGUUAUGUGUGUGUGUGUUCUUGAGAGAUCUUUGUUGAAUCAAAAACUAUCUAUCUAAUCUUUAAGCUCUUUUAUAAUAAAAAGGUUAGUUAAUUAAUACAAAGGUUGCAAUGUCUUAACUGCAAUGUCUUAACUGCAGAGUUAUUACUGAGAAUAUUAUACAUUAUACAAAGACUUUUAAUUUUAGUUUGAUUAGUCUUUGCAAGUUCUUAGUGUCUACCUUAUUUUUAAAGGAGCUAAGCUAAGACUUUGAACGUUCUUAUACUUAACAGUCUCCAUGUUUUGUGCCUUUGUGGGAUCUGAAAUUUUAGACUCAAAUUUUAUAAACUACAUUAAAAUCGGCUGAAAGGCUUGACCACAGACCAAGCCGUUGUCGCCGAAGAGGAGGCUAAGUUAGCCAAGGUCCUUAACGUCUACGAGGCACGGCUUUAGGAGUUCAAGUACUUGGCUUUACUUUGACCGAUCUUCACCACAUUCCUGCGGUUCAAUACUUGCUUGAAACUCCCACCAAGAAGCUCCGAGCGUCCACGUGUUAACGAGUGGGUGGCUGAGAUCACCAAGAGGCCAGCCAGCUUCCCAGAAGAUCCUUCAGUGAGACAUUUCUAAAAACUAAAAAGAAAACAAAAUAGUUCUGCUUCAGUUACAGUAAUAAUGCUAAGAGUAAAUAAGUGGCUGCUUCAUUGCCCAAUUCCUCAGUACUCUGUUUUUUUCUCUGUUUUUAUUCUCAGUCAUGUGUGUGUUCUUGAGAGAUCUUUGUUCAAUCAAAAAUUAUCUGUCUAAUCUUCAAGCUCUUUUAUAAUAAAAAAUAUUGGUUACUUAAUUAAUACGAAGGUUGCAAUGUCUUAACUGCAGAGUUAUUACUGAGAAUAUUAUACAUCAUACAAAGACUUCCAGUUUGAGUUUGAUUAGUCUUUUUUUUAUGCACAGUUUGAUUAGUCUUUGCAAGUGUUUUUACUUUCUACCUUAUUUUCUCAGCAAAGAAGCUAAGCUAAGACUUUGAACGUUCUUAUCCUUAAAAGUCUCCAUGCUUUGUGCCUUUGUGGGAUCUCAAAUUUUAGAAUUAAAUCUUAUAAACUAUAUUAAAAAUUUAGGUUAGAUUUUUUAAAAAAAUAUGCCAAAUUUAUUGAAAAUUUUCUAAUUAAUUUUUUCUGUAUUCACAUUUUGAUACGCUGAAGGUAGAACUAAAGAGACCCAAAUGAUGCUAUAAAUUCCCAAACCAUAGUAAGUCAGUACUCUACUGAUGUAUCCAAUAUGCUUUUGACAUCUUGUAUACUGAAAGAAUCAAUUAUUUAGUUGUUAGAUGGUAGAUACAUUUGAAAGCAGGUUAAAAAUGUUCUUCAAUUAACAUUGAUUAUUAUUGAUUUCUGAAAUAUGGAUUAAAAAAAAAAGAAAAAAAAAAAGAGAAAACAAACUGAUGUCUAUGCACAAUACUUUUGCUUUCACCCAUCUUACAACAACAAGCAAAGACAUGAAUAUAGCUAGAAACAGAACACAAAUUCCUAAACGCCGCAGAUCCGAGUAUUCAAACUUGGUUGGUUUGUUGUACCUUUACAGCCUUAAACGCCGGGUGAAGCAACCCGAGCUCGUCUUUCAUCUCCAGCGGAUUGCUAGUCUCGUUCCUCACUCUCUUUACUUUGCGACUAGCCAAAGAUUUAUGAGUGAAACCAUAUAUUUGCAGAAUCUGGUUAUCCCCAAAGUUAAAGGCUCUGUCCAUCUGUUUUAGACACCGUUCAACCGGGUAGUCCCCAAACUUCCCGCAUGGUUUGCAACCGACAAAGUGAGUCACCAAUGGCCACCGGUGGUCACCUAGACCCGGGUGGUAGUUUUCUAUCAUUUCUUCGUAUCGGUCCACAAGUAUUCCCCAGUAACCGUGAAGAUAGUACCCAUUUUCUAGGUAUACCUAUAACAACAAUGCAGCAGCUCAAAUAAGAAUAAAGCAAAACCAUAACAAAAUGCAACUCGCAUUGUGAUCUGUGAUGAUAAAUAUGUGAUGAAGAAACGUUAUAAACAUAACAAGAUGCAACUCACAUUGUGAUAUGCAGUGAUAAAUUAAAACUUUAUGAUGAAACAAAUUAUAAACAUAACAAAAUGCAACUCACAUUGUAAUUUGUGGAUACAAAUUACAAUGCCUAUGUGAUCAGAGACGUUAUAAAACCACAAGAUGCAACUCACAUUGUGAUUUGGAUGAUAAAUUAAAACUUCUUGUGAUGAACAAACGUCAUAAACUGACAAUAUGCAACUCACAUUAUCAUUUGCGAAUACAAAUCCAAUUCCUAUGAGAAUAUGCAACUCACAUAGUGACUUGUAAGUGAAAAAACUCAUACUGAUAUGAUCAAGAGACGCUAUAAACCAACAAGAUGCAACUCACAUUGCAAUUUUAUGAGCGAAAAACCGAUCUUUAUGUAAUCAAGAGAUGCUGUAGAUUUUUAUUGGUUGAACAACUAAGGUAAUAUGUAUCUCAAAUCAAAUUUCUGCUCUUACCUUAUUACCCCAAGUGUCUCGCUGAGUAGCCAACAGAUAAACCAUAGCAGACUGAUCAUCAGCUUCGAAAACCGGCCUACCCUUAAGCUCACGGGUCAAAACCUUACCCGCUUCCUCACGGAUCUUCCCUUUAGGACCCAUAGGAGCCCAAGUGUCAAGCAAAUCAAGCGCCCACUGAUUAUUCCUAAGCAAGAAACUCCCAGUAUUCAACCCAAUCCAAUUCUUGUCAUCAUAAACCAUCUCAUUCCAUCCAUGCAUCACCAAGUUAUAAUCCUUAUACCUCUCCCACGGAAGCUCAAACGCCAUGUCCGUAAACAUGGCAUCACUAUCCAUCCACCACAGAAACUCAAUCUCGGGGUGAGACAGCAAAAGCUUCCUAAUCAACGGCAGCUUCGCCCAAAACCCAGCCAUCUCAGCAUCGAGCAGAGCCAUGUUGUAGAAGAUCUCGAUCCCGUGAAGCCUACAGUAAUCGAUCUUGUUCUUGAUCGACUUCAAGAGGUAAUGGUCUCCCACAGGAUUCUCACACGGCUUCGGAGCAGAACCGGUCACCAAGAGGACACGUGGCUUGUUUGGUCCGAUGAAGUUGGGGAAGCUAGGGUUCUUCCCUAACCAGUCGGAUCUUUGCUCGUCCCAAUCGGAUAUCUUGGGUCCGAGAGUGUACGGUUUAUUCGGGUCGGGUUUCUCUUCUUCUCCUUCGUCAACGAAUAUCUUGUUAAUGUCAAACGUCUCAUAGUUAUUGCUCCCGGCGCCGCCACCGUCGCCGGAAUCUCCUCCUCCGCCGCCGCCGGAUUGUAUUUCUUCGAGUACACGGUGAGGCUCAGCUCGUUUACGAGAUGUUUGGAAAUGCUGACGGAUCUCGUCCAGGUCUUGCUCCGGUGUACCGAACUUACCGGCGCCGAUUGUGCCACGUAGGACGACAACGGUGAGAACGAGGCAGAGAACCGUUACCUUUAAGUGGCGUAAAGCUCUUUGGAUUCUCCGGCACCGGUAAGCUCCUAAACAUCUCUCGAUCAUCUUUAUCCAAUCUUCUUCUUCUUCUUGGUAGAGAGAGAGAAUCUCUCUGUUUAUUAUUAUCUAAUUGAGGUCAAGAGAAGAUCUGAGUUUUUCCAUUAAUGAAAGAUUCGAAUUUGAUUAAUAUUUUUUCGGACACUGUUACUUGUCAAAGCUACUACAAGAGUUUGCGUUCGGACAGUACUACUGUUAGUAACUUUAAGUUGUCUGGUUUUUUACUCGGUUGUGUCGGUUGUGGUUGUGUGCUAGUGUAGUGUUUGUCACACGUGGCGAUAUAUCAGGGUAUGUGACUUGUGCUAUAUAUGGUCCUGACCGUUGAUGCAACAUGGAUCUAGAUAUCGGAGCGCGUUGAAAAGUCAACUCGUUAAUACUGUAGUUCUUUUUUCGUGCAACAGAAAUACUGUAGUUUUUUUCUUAUAAAUAGAAAAAAGGUUGAAAACAAAAGGGAACAUAAAUAGGAAAAACGAAUUCAACAUGUUGGAUAUGGUUAAACAGGGGUUGACCAAAAAAGGGCUAGAGAGGGCUGGGCGCGGAUCAAAUAUAUGAGUUUCUCGAGGUAUUCGCCAUCUAAUCCAUUUUGUUUGAAUAACCGACUAUUCGGUUAUAUUCGAUCCAUAGCUAUUCGAAUAUUCUGUGUCUAGAAUUUCUAGAAUUUCUUUUUGUAUUUUUAACAUAUAUCCGAUUCGAUUAGUACAAAUAAAAUUAAAAUUAAUAAAUAAAUAAUCCUAAAAUUAAGAUAAAUAACAAUUUUUAUUACAAAAAUAAAAAUUUCUUUACUUUUUAAAAUUAUAAUAACUAAUAUAAUAAAUAUAAUAUUAUAAAACUUAUAUAAAAUAUUAUAUUUACAUAUUAUAUUUAUAUGAUUAUUUAUAUAUAUAUAUAUAUAUAACCGAUCGGAUUAGUUAUCCUUCUUAAAAAUAUUAGUAUUUGUGAUUUAUCUCAUUUUUUAUAGAUAUUACAUAUUAAUAUUUGCUUUACUUCAUAGAAUUAUGGAAAUUUAGAUUUUUUUUAUUUGAGUCAAAAUAGAUAAUGAAUCGAACCAAAAUUUAUAGAUAUUUUGUCCAAUCUUAUGUUUAAUUACUAGUUAAAGUUUACUGUACUUCUUUUUUUACUUUAUUUAUUCUCCUGUUUUAGGAAUUGUUUUUUUCAUUUACACCAAAAAGGUUUAUGUUAUAAAAGUCAACUAGGAAGUAACCCUCGCCUUGCGCAGGAUGAAGUUAUUAAUUUUGUUAUUUUUAAGAUGUUAAAAUAUUAUGUCUGUUUAUUUUGGAUAUUAGUUCGGUUUUGGGUUGGUUUUUCGGGUUUUAAUAUCUUCUUAUAUAUAACUAAUUUCUAAAUUCAUAUUUAUUUUUGUUUGUUUGGUUAAAAUGGUUGAGGAUUUUUGGUUUUCUGGUGAUAAACCAAAGUCAAUUAGUAUUUGUUUGGUUUCAUGUUAUCAAAAUUUUAGACAAUCCUGAUGUCAACCAAUAGCUUCAUAUUAUAAUUUCUAAACGAAUUUAUAAUAAAAUCAAAUCUAGAUAAUUGUUAAGAAAAACAAAAGAAAAUUAUAAAGACAAAUCAUUUCGUUACAAUUAGGUUAAUGGUGAAUGAAGAAUUAAAAAUAAUAAUAUUCUAUAUUACAUCUGAAUUAGAAUCAUCACUUACGGUCAGUGGCGGAACUACAACAUGGGUAAGGGGGCAGCUGCUGCCCACCAUAAAAUUUUAAAAUUAGUGUAUUUUUGUACUGAAUUUUUAUAAUGCAAUGGUUGAAAAUUCAAAAUUAUAAAUAUAUUACAGUGUUUUAUAGUUCUGUUCCGGACAACAAUUAUUUAUAGAUCCUCCACUGCUUACGGUGAAUAUUUAGUUAUAUAGGUACUCACUUCAAUGUGCAUAUAAACAUGUAUGUAAAUAUUUUAAAAGUGUUUCACAAAUAUAUAAAGAUAUUGUUAAUUAAUAUUGAAAGAAAUUAUUGUUCAAUAUAACAAAGAAAUAUAAAAUUCUUAAAUAAAAUCUAUUAAAAAUAAAGUCAUUACCAAAUAAUUUUUUUUAUAUAUAAUGAAAAUCAAAUUGUAUACAUAAUAAUACAUAUACAAAUUGGGUUUGCUGAAUUUUAUUCUUACAUAGUGUUACACCUUGGCCCAAUCAGAUUUUAACAUUCAUACAUUAUGCUUCAACAUCUAUAUUAUUAAAACUGAAAUACAUUUGAGAAUUAUUUAGAAACAUGUAUAGUAAUAUACAAAAGGAGUAUAAUGUUGUUUGGAAACAUGGAUAACUGUAUAUUAAGAAAAAUAAUAAUGGCUUUUUGCAAAAUUGAUCUAGAACUCAAAGUUAAACACAAAACUAAUCUCCUUUCUUUUUGGAAAUUAGUUUUGCCCUAUUCACCCCACAAGUUCAUAUAAUUCACGAAAAUGUCAUCAAUUUUUUUUUUUUUCGAAAAUGACAUUUUUACUCUCUCACCCUCGUCAUCUUCAAGUAAUUACAAAAUUGUCAUUGUCAUCAAUACCCCAACCACCAUGAACAACCAAUUUGAAGCUCUUAAUACUCCCAAAAUCGAUUUACCCUUCUUCUUUUUCCAUUCUUAUGAACUAAACACAACAUCUCUCUUACUUUCUCUCCACAUUCAGCUAAAAAACCCAAGAUUUUGAUUCUACAUUUUUUAUGGUUCAUAGAGUCAUAGAAGCUAACGAUUAUGGGUGGAUCACUUUCGUUUGAGAUUAUGUGUGCUUGGAGAAGCCUUAUGUGUGCUAAGGAAGUUAUCUCACCAAUUUAAGGUAUGAAAUCGAGUUUUUUUUCCAGAUCUGUUCGUCCAGACGACUUCCCAGGUAAGUCGUCUGGCUGUAGAAAGACGACUUACCUGGAAGUCGUCUGGUCAAUGCAGAGGUUAUUUUUGCAAUUGACUAUGAAAUAUGUUUUCUGAGACGACUGAAAGUUAAGUCGUCUGCUUUUGUUUGGUUACAAAAAAAUCUCCAAAGAACCUAGGCAACUUACAUGUAAAUCGUCAUAGGUUAGUUUUGCAUUUGACUGGAUUUUGUCGGAAUUUUGACUUUCCUGGACGACUUAUUUUUCAGUCGUCUGGUAGAAAAUUGAAAUAUCAAUAUUUUAUUAAAAUUCGACGACUUACAUGUAAGUCGUCGUAGGUUAGUUUUGCCAUUGAAAAAUAAACUUCAAUAGUUAAUUAUACCCAGACAACUUACAAUUAAGUCGUCCGCCCGACGACUUACAUGUAAGUCGUCCAUAAUUUUAUUCCGAGAUUCUGGUCAAACCUCGUAAAUCCUGGACGACUUACAUGUAAGUCGUCGGACGGACGACUGAAUUGUAAGUCGUCUAUAUAUAAUUAAAUAUUGAAGUUUUUUUUCAAUUGCAAAACUAACCUAUGAUGACUUAAUUGUAAGUCGUCGAGUUUUAAUAAAAUAUUGAUAUUUCAAUUUUUCACCAGAUGACUGAAAUGUAAGUCGUCCAGAAAAGUCAAACUUUUGAAAUAAUUCAGUCAAAUGCAAAACUAAGCUAUGACGACUGAAAUGUAAGUCGUCUAGCCUUUUUGGAGUUUUUUUUUAACCAAACAAAAGUAGACGGCUUAUUUUUCAGUCGUCUCAGAUAACAGAUUUCAAAGUCAAUUGCAAAAAUAACCUCUGCGUUGACCAGACGACUUAUAUUUUAGUCGUCUGGAAGACUCAGAUUGAAGUGAUCUGCGUCGAUCUUUAAUAAACUUUCGUUUUCUUUGUUCUAUGUUUGCUAAUGUGUUUUAUUUUGACUUUUUCAGAUGAUGUGUCAGUUACAUGCAAUGUACGAAGAAUGGUUGUUGAAAGAUGGAUGUUGGAAUAUACAAGUCAACGAAAACUCUCUUUAUGGCAACAUGUCGUGUUAGUGGUUGUCAAUGGAAGAUCAGGGCAAGUGUGAAACAUGGUACUAAAACGUUUUGGGUAACUAAGUUUUACUAAAUUUGACUAAGUUUUUCAACACAAACUUGUAAAAAAUGUGAUAUGAUUUGACUAGUUACUAUUGUUUGUUUCCAUCUCUUAAGUAUUAUUGUUAUAGACAUCAAUGAUGAUUAUUGUUAUGAGUUGGAAGAAGGGUAAAAAUGCUUCUUAAAAUGUUAUAUCAAUAUGAGGCUACCAACAUUCUUGUUUACUAAGAUGGGAAGAAGGUCGUUGAAGUUUAUUAUUGCAUAUGGGAGAUCCAAAGAUAAGAAAAAAGCUAUUGAAGUAUAUUAUUUUAUUGAUUUGUAAAUGUGUAAACACAUAGUUAGCACAUAUAUUACAUCUUGGGAAACAUUAUACUAAUUUUACAAAAAAUUUACAAAUAAAAGAGUAGACAUACAAAUCACAAAACAAACCACAAACAAAACUAUUAUAGAUCUUUCAUCUACAAAGACAAGGUUGAACUCCACUUGAUAUGAAAGAAGACUUCCUGGAAGUCGUCUGGAAGACUUCCUGAAAGUCGUAUGGAAGACUUCUUGAAAGUCGUCUAGCGCAUUGUAUUUUAGACGACUAACAGGUAAGUAGUCCCAGAAGUCUUCUAGAUCUGAAAAACCUGUAUAUCUGAAAAACCUUCAUAUCAAAAAUCGUUCAAAUGGCUUAAAAACAGAGAAAUGAGUGAAAGAUUAGAUAAAUCUACCUUUAAAUGAGUGGAAGAUGAGAGCCAUCUGAUUAAAAACCUCCAAAAAAGAUAGAUUAGUGAGAAAGGCAUGAGACAAAACUGAAAAAUUCAUAUAAAGUUUGGUGUUUUCAAGUCAAAGAGAUUAGAGUGGGUUUGAAGAGUUUUAGUUUGAAAAAAAAAGUAAGAACUUUAUACAAUAUAAAGUUACCAAAUGAAGAAAAAACAGACAUAAAAACUUACCAAAACGGUCAGAUCUGUUAUGAAAUGGAGAGACAUGGGAGAAGACUCCGUCAGAUGACUUUCAGGAAGUCCAGACGACCUCCUGGAAGUCGCCUGGAAGACUUCCUGGAAGUCGUCUAGCGCAUUCUAUUUUAGACGACUAACACGUAAGUUGUACCAUACGUCUUCCACAUCUGAAAAACCUGCAUAUCCAAAUCCAGAUCUGAAAAAUCUGCAUAUCCAAAAACGUUCAAAUGGCUUAAAACAGAGAAAAUUAGUGGAAGAUUAGAUAAAUCUACCAUUAUAAAACACACAAAAAUACAUAUCUAAAAUUGAUAGAUUUACCUUUAAAUGAGUGGAAGAUGAGAACCAUCUGAUUAAAAACAUGCAAAAACAAGAUAAAUUAGUGAAAAAGACAUGAGACAAAAACAAUAAAUUGAUAUAAAGCUUAGUGUUUAUAAGUUCAAAGAGAUUAGAGAGAGGUUGAAGAGUUUUAAAAUGAUGAACAUUACAUUUUUGUUGCAGCCAUUUGAGAGAAUGAAAGAGAAUGUGUAAUUUUUUCUUUAUAUAGGGAGACAAGAAAUCCAAUUAGGUUAAAUAUUUUUGAUUCAGACGACUUCCUAUUCAGGCGACUUCCUAGACGACUUACUUGUAAGUCACCCAGAAGACUUUAAUAUUUUUAGCUGGAAACUAAAAUAGAAGACUUCCUAGACGACUUACAAGUAAGUCAUUUGGUUUAAAUUAUUUAAGCGGGAAAAUAUUUUUUCUUAAAAUUUUAGGCGGGAAUAUUUGGACGACUGAAAUAUAAGUCGUCUGAGUAAAAUUAUUCACCAGAAGACUGAAAUAUAAGUCGUCCACAUCCUAAACAUAACCCCUAAACUUAAUUAUCUAAUUAAACACUUCAUAAAAUCAAAUCAAACUUGAAAAGUGGUUACUAUACACAGAAAUAAAUAAAUAUAGGUGGAAAUUAAUUUUUGAAAAAAGCAUUUCAGCUUUUCCAAAUCUAACCCUGAGAAUACAUACAAUACUACAACAUAUGUUUGCCAAACCCCUAAACUAAAGAAUAUCAUGAUUCACUAUUUCCACUCAUCUAUCUUGAAAACAAAUCAAUUUUAUCAUAUCUUAAUUUAUAUCACUUAAAACUGUUUAUAAUUACAAGAUUUUUAUUUUUCACUCAUCAAAAUAUUUUUUACAAAAUUUAUAAACUAUUUUUAAGAUAAACUGGUACCAGACGACUUACUUGUAAGUCGUCCAGACUACUUCCAACAUCUCAGACGACUCAGACGACUUACUGAGGCUAUAUUCGUAAAAAUGGCUUCUGUUUUUUUGUUUGGUCACAAGAGGCUGAAUUGUAAUUUCACAAGGCUUUUAUGUUAGUUUUGCAUUUGAUUCAAGUUUGGGUAUAGAUUUGGGGUUAAAAUCAAGUUAUGGGUUAGUUUUGGCAAAUUCCCCAAAAAAUAAUGGGCUUAUGCUAUUAAGAAAAAUUGGAAGUCCAUUAUAUUAUGAAAAAUUAUCUAUUUAGGCCAACUUUAAAAUAUACGAAAAUAGUCCAAUCUAAUCUAUAAUAUUAUUUGCGAAGUAAAUUUUAACAACGGAGCUCUCACGUUGAAAGUUAGAACGGUUAAUAUCUAUACUACCCUUAAUGAAUUUUAUAUAUAAUUUAUUAUAUAAUCAAAAACGAAUUUUUAUUAAUAAUAUUUUUUAAAGAUAAUUCCUAUGUAUUUUGUUGUUAUCUUAAAAUAUAUUUUCAAUUAUAAAAUUUAAAAGUAGGAUAUAAAACAAUUUAAAAUAAAUUAAGUGGUUAAAUUCAAUGUUACCCUUAAUGAAUUUUAUAUAUAAUUAAUUACAUAAUUAAAAACGAAAUUUUAUUUAUAAUAUUAGAUUUUUUUUUAAAUAAGAUAAUUCUUAUAAAUUGUGUUGUUAUCUUAAUUUUUUUUUCAAUUAUAAAAGUUAGGAAAAUAACAUAUAAACAAUUCAAAAUUAAAUAUUAAUCAACUAAAUUUGUAUAAAGAUGUUUUUUGAAAAUAUUUCUAAUAUGUGAAUGUUUUCUUUUAAAAUUUUUUCACAAUAAUAAACAUAUAUAUUUUAAUUAAAUUUUUCGUCAUAUAUAUAUAUAUAUAUAAUUUUAUGUUUGAUUUAUUUUUUUGAAAAUAUAAAUAAUAAGUUAUCAUGUUGAUUUUUUAAUUAAUAAAAAAUAAAUUAAUAAAUAUUUUUAAAAUGAUUAAGUCCGCAUGUGCGGGCAAAACACCUAGUUACCUUAAAAUAUCUUUUGUUUAAAAUAAUCAUAAAACAAAAUUUUAAACUUUAUAUACAUAUUUCAAAUCAAAAUAAUAAUUUAAAAUUGAUUUAUAUCAAAAAUUGAUUCAAAAAUAUACAUAUGUUUAAAAAAUAAAUUUUACUAAAAUAUUUUCCAAUAACCAUUAUUAAAAAAAAUGUUUCAAUAUAUAUAAGAAAAAUACAAUACAAAACCCAAUUUUAAAUACCAACUUAAAUUAUGGUUUUUAUAUUUGACAUUAAGUUUUAAAAAUAUAAUAUAUAUGAUUAUUUAUAUGAUGAUAGGUAUAAAAUACUAUUAAAUUAUAUGAUUACUUAUAUAAUGAUACGUAUAAAAUACGAUUAUAUGAUGACACAUAUAUGAUACAUUAUAGUGACGUAUAAAAUAACAACAUAUUUUUCAAAAAAAUACAUUAGUGCGUGCGCACAUAUUAAAAUCUAUUAUAUUUUACAAUUGGGCUUGUGUAAAAUCAAAGAAAACAUAAGAUUCUAAAACAUGUUUGGACAUCAGGGCCCGUAACAAAAUAGUGAUGUACUACUUAAAUCUCAAAAACGAAGACCGAAAGCAUAUAGGGUUUUGUCCUCACCGCAAUAGACCACCUAACUUUGCAAUAUUUGAUAUGUUUAGUCGAUCCUUUUGAAUCAAUCACCACAAGUUAUUUAGGGCCCAUAACAAAAUAGUGAUGUAUUAGAUCUCAAAAACGAAGACUGAAAGCAUAUAGGGUUUUCUUGUAGUGCUCGUCUUCGAUGUUGUGUAUGUGUGUCAUGCGAGUUGUCGUGUGGAGUUGGGGCUCUUGCUUCGCCGGAUUUUGGUAGGUUAUUCUCUUUGCUUUCUUUGUGGUGUUGCUGAUGUGUUCUCUGGUGGUUGCAGCGUGUGGGGCUUCUUGGUGGCGGAGGCGUCGGUCCGCCUCUCCGUGUUCCCCGGUGGUAGCGGGUUGGUGCUUGAGCUACUCCGGUUCGCUAUUGCUCCGUCUUUUGCUCUGGUCAUUGCUCUGCACUUCUCGGAUCGAAUAGUGGUCGGUGAUAGUGGCAUGUUGCGUUCCUCACUCUUCUCAAAUAAUCUCAGCAGCUUUGUGUUCUUAGCUUGUGGUCAGUUACGGUUCAAGUGGGUCACUUGGUGCGUUAGUUGGACAACAAGUUUCAGAUUUUGGCUAUAGUUUUGUCUCUUCAUGAGGAUUUUCCGUCUAUGAUAUGUCAUCUUUAUAAGGGUUAUGUGUGAAGAUGAAGCAAUAAGAAACAAGAUGGUUGGUUAAGGUCUCAAGACAAUGGAGAUACCACUACAAGGGACAAGCAUGCAUGGUUGGUUAAGGUCUCAAGACAAUGGAGAUGCCACUACAAGGGACAAGCAUGCAUGGUGGGUUAAGGUCUCAAGACAAUGGAGAUGCCACUACAAGGGACAAGCAUGUAUGGUGGAUUAAAGUCUCAAGACAAUGGAUUAUUAGUUUAUCAUAUCUCAUCUACCAUUUGCCAUACUUGUAACCCUUAUAUAUAUGGGAUGUUCCCAUAAGCAAAUCAAUUAAGCAAAUAAGAUUCUCCUUAUUUACUCUAUCUCUCUCUACUUUCUAGAUUAAACAUCUCUCUCUCUCUUGUUCUUCACUAUGUUCUUCAAUUUCUAACAUGGUAUCAGAGCAUCCAAGCUCUUGAACACCAAACUGCUUCCGCAAAUUUACUCUAUUCACCUUACUCUUUCACUUGUUUGGUUUACUUUCUUCAUUUCUAGAGAACAUAUCUUGGCUUCCCUUGUUUUCUCUCUUGCCUAGCCUCAGAAAUUCAAAUUUCUCCUUGGCAAAUUUUUUAUUUUUUACCCGCUAGACAAUAGCAAGCAAAGAUGGAGCAGCACAAGCUAGUUAGGAUUCCAGUCAUCCUGAAAGGUCCUAACUACAUUACCUGGUCGAGAUUGACCAGGACAGCUCUUGGAGGAAGAGGUCUAUGGGAGCACAUCACCACAAGUGAGGCCCCAAGACAAAUCACCCAAGGAGAAGAUGGCAAGGAGGUUGUAGUGGUAGAUGAAGGCAAAUGGGGUCAGGAGGAUCUCAUGGUGCUGUCUAUCUUGCAAGGCUCACUUGAUACUCCUAUCAUGGAGUCUUACUCACAUUGUGAGACUGCAAAGAAGCUAUGGGAUACCUUACACAAGGUAUAUGGCAACACUUCAAACCUCACCAGAAUUUUUGAGGUUAAGAGGGCAAUCAACAACUUACAGCAAGAGGAGAUGGACUUCACCAAGCACCUUGGGAAGUACAGCCAGCUGUGGUCUGAACUUGAGAUGCUGAGACCAAGUACCACUGAUCCUAGUACACUAGAAGAGAGGCGUGAGCAAGACAAGGUCUUUGGAUUGCUUCUCACACUCAACCCAAGCUUCAAUGAUGUACUUAAACACAUAUUGAGAGCUAAAGAGCUUCCAAGCUAUGAUGAUGUGUGUGCUCAACUUCGGAAGGAGCUAGGCUCAGAUGGUCUCUUUGGUGGAAAAGGGGAACUGUCUAUGGCAAACAAAGCUGAGAAGAUGGAGAGUGCUUCAGUCAACAAAGCACACUUCAAACCAAGAAGAGGAGGAGACAAGUCUGUGACUUGUGAGCACUGCAAGAAUCUAGGCCACUCCAAAACCAAUUGUUGGAUCCUCCAUCCUCACCUCAGACCUGCUUCAACCAACAGAUACAACCAGGCCAAAGCACAUGAAGCAAGAGCUCAUGAAACCACAGUACCAGGCUCCAUGCGCAUAGGAGAAGAUGGAAGAGCUAUGAUCUCAACCACCCACACUGGUGGAUCCACAUCCCAUGCCAUGUCCCAGCCAUCCCCUGAUGAUGCCUUCAUCCGCAAGUCAGACAUUGAAGCCCUUAUCAAAGCUAUCAAUGCAAACUCUGGUAACAUCAGUGUCAAUGCUUUAAAUUCUAUUCACAGUGCUUCACAUACUACUAGACCUUUGAUCAUCGAUUCGGGAGCUUCUCAUCAUAUGAUUAGGGAUGCUAGACUGAUUAGUGAUGUUAAACCUGCUCUAGGGAGUGUAGUGAUUGCUAAUGGUGAUAGAAUUCCAAUUGAAGGAGUAGGAAACUUGAAACUGUUUGAUAAGGAGUCUCAAGCUUUUUAUAUGCCUACUUUCACAUCCAACUUAUUAUCUGUUAAGAGAGCAACCAAUGAUCUAAAUUGCAAUGUUAUUUUCAGUCCUAAUGAUGUGUGCUUUCAGGAUAUUAAGACCAGGAAGAUGCUGGGAAAGGGUGUGAGCAAGGGAGAGCUUUACUUGCUUGAAAACACCAAGCUUUCAAAUUUAUCUUGUGCUUUCAAUUCUGCUUCUGUGUUAGCUAGUGAUGUUUUAUGGCAUGCUAGAUUAGGUCAUCCUCAUUAUCGUGCCUUAGGACUGAUGUUACCUAAUCUAUCUUUAAAGAGUGGAAGUUGUGAGGCUUGUAUUCUUGGUAAACAUCAGAGAUCUGUUUUCCCUAAUUCUAAGACUAUUUAUGAAAAUUGCUUUGAUCUUGUGCACUCUGAUGUUUGGACAGCACCUUGUAUGUCUAGGGAGAACCAUAAAUAUUUUGUUACAUUCAUAGAUGAAAAAUCAAAAUAUACAUGGCUCACCUUGAUUCAAACUAAAGAUAGAGUUUUAGAAGCUUUUAUUAACUUCCAAAACUAUGUAUCUAACCAUUUCAAUUCCAAGAUCAAAAUUUUUAGGUCUGAUAAUGGCGGAGAAUAUACAAGCACUGCUUUCAAACAUCACUUAGCAAAACAUGGCAUAAUCCAUCAAACAAGUUGCCCAUACACACCACAACAAAAUGGAGUUGCUGAAAGGAAGAAUCGCCAUCUUAUGGAGGUUGCAAGGAGCAUGAUGUUCCAUACCAAUGUUCCAAAGAGGUUCUGGGGAGAUGCUGUGGUCUCAGCAUGUUAUUUGAUCAACAGGAUCCCCACCAAAGUCCUCCAAGAUAACUCUCCCUUUCAGGUAUUAAACAAAAUAAAACCUCCAAUUGAUCACUUGCGUGUUUUUGGGUGUGUGUGCUAUGUCUUGAUACCAGGGGAACAGAGAAACAAGCUUGAAGCCAAGAGUGUCAAAGGCAUGUUCAUAGGAUAUACUCAUGCGCAGAAGGGGUACAAGUGCUACAUACCUGAAUCAAGAAGAGUUAUGGUCUCAAGGGAUGUUAAGUUUGUGGAAUCAAAGGGAUACUAUGAUGAGAAGAGUUGGGAAAGCCUUCAGGAUCUCUCACAAGGAUCUUCAGAUAGGGCAAACAACUUGAGAAUCAUUCUGGAAAACCUAGGCAUCAGCCAGCCUCAAACAAGUGGCGUACCGAGCACUUCACAUAUACCUCCAGUUGUGGAUGAAGCUACAUCAAUUGAAGAAGCAGUCCAUCCUGAUCAUGAGGGGGGAAACCAACCUAAUUUGCAAGUUAUCCAUGAGGAAGCUAUCCCUGAAGAAGAUAUCCAUGACGAAGCUAUCCACGAGGAAGCUAUCCAAGAAGAAGCUAUCCAAGAAGAAGUUGUUAAUGAUCAAGAUGGAAUGCAACAAGAAGUUCAACCAUUAAGGAGGAGUACAAGGGUGAAGAAACCAUCUCAGUGGAUGGACACCAAAGUAUACUUCAACAACAAUGCAGUAGCUCAUCCUAUCCAAGCAACAUGUUCUUUUGCGAGACUAUCUGAAGAGCAUGUAGUCUUCAUCAGCAACCUAGAUCAAGAGUAUGUACCAAAGACUUAUGAAGAAGCCAUGAAGCAUGAAGAGUGGAGAGCGUCAGUUGGGGAUGAAGUUGGUGCCAUGAUCAAGAAUGAUACUUGGUAUGAAACUGAGCUCCCCAAAGGAAAGAAAGCUGUUACAAGCCGUCUACUCUUCACCAUCAAGUACCUUGCCAAUGGGAAACCAGAAAGAAAGAAAACAAGGCUAGUUGCAAGAGGAUACACCCAAGUCUAUGGAGAAGACUAUCUGGAUACAUUUGCACCAGUAGCUAAACUCCACACCAUAAGAAUUCUACUCUCAUUGGCAGUGAACUUGGAAUGGGAUUUAUGGCAGAUGGAUGUCAAAAAUGCUUUUCUUCAAGGAGAGCUGGAGGAUGAGGUUUACAUGAGGCCACCUCCGGGUAUGGAAGACAUGGUCAAGCCAGGGAAUGUCCUAAGGUUGAAGAAAGCAAUAUAUGGGUUAAAACAGUCACCAAGGGCUUGGUACCACAAACUGAGUACAACUCUCAAUGGAAGAGGGUUUGUAAAGUCAGAAGCUGAUCAUACACUCUUCACACUCACAAGCAAGCAAGGAAUUGUGGUGAUUCUUAUUUAUGUAGAUGAUAUUAUCAUCACAGGAAGUGACAAGGAAGGUAUUAUCUCAACCAAAGUCUUUCUUAAGUCUACUUUUGAUAUUAAAGAUUUGGGUGAGCUAAAGUACUUUCUAGGGAUAGAAAUAUGCCGCUCUAAAGAGGGGCUUUUCUUAUCUCAAAGGAAGUACACACUUGAUCUUUUGAAUGAGGCAGGAAAUCUUGGAGCGAAAGUAGCCAAGACUCCACUAGAAGAUGGGUAUAAGGUGCUGCGUGAGGGGGAGAUUGAAGACAAGCCCUAUACUGACGUUAAACACUAUAGAAGAAUUGUAGGAAAGCUGAUAUACCUCACCAUCACCAGGCCUGAUGUAUGCUUUGCAGUUAACCAAGUAAGCCAGAAUAUGCAAGCUCCCAAGAUACACCAUUGGAACAUGGUUGAAAGGAUCCUAAGAUACCUAAGAGAGGCGCCAGGGCAAGGAGUGUGGAUGGGAUGCAACAAAAAUACAGAGAUAGUUGGGUAUUGUGAUGCUGAUUGGGCAGGAGACAGAGUGGAUAGGAGAUCCACUACCGGCUAUUGUACAUUUAUUGGAGGCAAUCUUGUCACUUGGAAGAGCAAGAAACAGAAGAUAGUGUCAUGCUCAAGUGCUGAAGCUGAAUAUAGGGCAAUGAGGAAGCUCACUAGUGAGUUGAUUUGGAUCAGAAACCUACUUCGAGACUUGGGUAUAGAGACAUCAACUCCAAUCACCAUGCAUUGUGAUAAUCAAGCAGCAAUACACAUAGCUUCCAACAGUGUGUUCCAUGAGAGGACUAAACACAUUGAGGUGGAUUGUCAUAAAGUUAGGCAAGCAGUGGAACAAAGGAUCAUCUUACCCUGCUACACAAGAAGUGAGGAUCAACUAGCUGACAUCUUUACCAAGGCUGCAAGCACCAAGGUUUGCGAGUUCAUACAUUCCAAGUUAGGACUCGUAGAUUUUUCAUCACACUAAUCCUCUUAGCCAUGAAGUGUUCUACUCUUUUUCCUUGGCUUGGUUUUUAUCCCAUGAGGUUUUUCCAAGCUAAAGGUUUUAAUGAGGGAAUGCUUCAUGGUUUCCAAGUUUGACCAGUCCCUAUGGUCAAGCUUGGGGGGGAGUGUGAAGAUGAAGCAAUAAGAAACAAGAUGGUUGGUUAAGGUCUCAAGACAAUGGAGAUACCACUACAAGGGACAAGCAUGCAUGGUUGGUUAAGGUCUCAAGACAAUGGAGAUGCCACUACAAGGGACAAGCAUGCAUGGUGGGUUAAGGUCUCAAGACAAUGGAGAUGCCACUACAAGGGACAAGCAUGUAUGGUGGAUUAAAGUCUCAAGACAAUGGAUUAUUAGUUUAUCAUAUCUCAUCUACCAUUUGUCAUACUUGUAACCCUUAUAUAUAUGGGAUGUUCCCAUAAGCAAAUCAAUUAAGCAAAUAAGAUUCUCCUUAUUUACUCUAUCUCUCUACUUUCUAGAUUAAACAUCUCUCUCUCUUGUUCUUCACUAUGUUCUUCAAUUUCUAACAUUAUGGUUAGAUGGAUGUAUACGGUCGUGUGUUGGUUUCCCGCAUUGACCCCUAAACACUAGGUGGACUAUAGAUGAGGUAAUUUCCGGCUUAAACGGCUGAACAACGACUUUAUAGGCUUACAGCUUUUCCUUGUACCGCUGGUGAGUUCAUUUAUCUCGCGCGCCUGCUUUGGGCUAGUGCUUGAAUUCUUCAUUUGGGAGCGUUUUGUGUAGCUGUUGGAAGCUAUAGGAACCAUAGUAUUCAAGGUUAAAGGGUCUUUUUCCGAGUUUAUUCAUCUAGUUUCCGAGUUGGUAGGUCUGAGCCCGUCUCAUUAUCAAUCAUGUUAUCAUUGCGCUUUUUUGCUUUGGUCUAUUACUUUGUUGUUGUUUGUAGCAUUUUUUUUGUUUAACUGUCCGUAGUUGUUCUUGUAUUUUGUUAUUUUUUUUAUUUCUGCGACUGGUUCAAAUUUGUAUCGUCUGUCAAAACUCAAAAAUGUGGUAUAAUAGUUAACAUCUUACGGAAAAAAAAAGGAAUUUACAAAAGGUCACGUGAUGUACCAUGCAUGGAUCAAUGGAUGUAUACACGCACACGUGCCUAACACAACAACAACAGUUAGACGAGGCCAGACCCCAAGUGGUGUUCAUCGAGACGUGUGUAGUAGUGAACCUGUCCGGUUCUUUCCCGUCUAUAAAAGAUUCUUCCCGCGUUCGUGUAACUGGUCAUUGGUCAAACGUUACUGAUUUUACCCACUGAAAUUCAAAAUCAAUGUGUGACUUACAGUUGACUUUUUAUUUCAGCUAAAUGUUUUCAAAAAGAGUAGAGCUUGGCUGAGAUUUUCUUCCAACAAUCCACAUAAUUUUUAUUUAUUUUUCUUUCUUAUCGGUUACGCCUUUGUUGGAGUCAAAACCGGUCACGACGGAAUCAAUGCCUGAAAGUUCCCGGAAAACCAACUCUCGAUCGAUCCUUGAAAACUAGACAUUCCCAGAAAACGGUUAAUCAAGUACAAGACAGUUUUUCGCGGAUGCGAACCGAGGAAUGUCGAGAAGAGGAUCAGUCUGGAUGAGGUCUCGAUCGUAAGCGAGGACCGUCUCAACCGAGGUCACCUCGUUUAACUAUACGGGGAAUUGGAAUCCUUUCGGAAAAACCAACGGCUGUUUCUUAGGAAAAAUCGUAAAAACGUCUAAGUCCCAAAACGGCCCAAAAGGGGCCUGAACCGCGCUAAACGGCCCACUUACGAUUUUAGAACAUGAUCGAGCCUAAGGCUGAUAUGACGGUCUAUUUUUUAUUCACAAGAAAAGAUAAAUGUCAAGUUUCCGAAGAUAAUCAUGAAGGGUGACGAAAAAUGGAAAAGUCCGUCUCGCGACGAAUCCGGCCCAGGAAAAGGUACAGACCGACCUAGAGAGAGUAUAUAAGGAGGGCUUAAGGCGAGGAGCAAGAGAGAGCUUUCUCAGAGCAAACUUAAUAUUUAGAGCAAUUUAGGCAUUUUUUUCCGUUUUUACUAUCGAGCUGCGACUCGACUAGGUUAGAACUUAGGUGGCUAGCCUAGCGAACGCACCGACAGCUCUCGUGGCCUAGGAUCUUACCUGUUGUUCACGCUCAAACGCGAAUUCGGAAAUAAGACAUCUUUGUUCUCUUUUCGCUCUUUUACGAUUUAUUAGUUUCGACUCUUUCAUAUUGAUUGUGUUGUGUGUGACAAACAGAUAAUCGGGACCUUUAGAGAAGGCUAGGUUAACUUGGAUUUCCUCCGAUUAACAAAUCUCGACGGUGUAAAUUCCGGUUCCCACAGCCUUCAAACCUAUUUACCCGUAAAAAGUAUAUAUACAUAUCUCAACAUUGAAUGUCAGUGUUAAAAAAAAACAUUCAAAACACGUGUAUCUAUGUUUAUAUAAUGGUCUAGUAUGCUUAGAUAUAAAAGAAAAAGUUUUGACUACACUGAUUCAUUGUGUUUAUGUGGUAAAGUAAAAAGGUUUGACUUAGUGUAGUCGAUCUCCAGAAAAAGCAAGUAGAAGAAUCUUACCUUCUUAUCUGUUUAUAUAAAUGCAACGUAUUGCACAGGUGGAUCUAACUCUCGGUUUUCUUCUUGAAGAAACUAGUAAAAACCGAAUUAUUAGUUUCUUUUCUUUUCCCAUGGAAUCAUUGUAACCUAGUGAUUAAGAUUUAAAAGCUUUUAUAUCCAGGUUUGGGAUUCAAAUCCAGACUAUACAAUUUUUUUGCAGAUUACGGAAAAUUCAGGUUUCAAGUCUCGUAAAGAACGAUUUAUUAAACAAUUAUACACUUACAAAAGAUCUCCAACAUGGUGCAAGUAAAUCUGGUCAGACGUGAAUCUUAAUAGGACGAUUCAGGUGAUGCAGUUAGGCGUAGAUCUUCAUAAUACAGAUAGUGUUAUCAGUUGUCGAAUCGUAUAUGUAAUAUUUUUCAUAUCAUAAUUGUAAUAUCAUAAUAAAUCAACGUUAAAAAGAAUCAAUGAAAAAAAAAUCAAUUAUAGAAAGUAACAAUUGCCAUAGCAAUGACUUAUGAUGUACAAAUCAUAGCCAUCGAUUACUGUUAAGCUACACUUUAGCCUUAUUUUAUUUUUAUUAAUUGGAAAAACAGAUAUACAACAUCAACCACACAAAAUGAAUAUGGAAUAAGUUUUAAAAUUUUCUCUUACAUUGAAAUGAUAAUUGAACGUGUAUAUAUUGGAAUGGAAAACAUUAAAUUUAAAAUGUGGAUAUAAAGACGGUCAAGUUAUUUUUAUGUUUGACUAGUAAUGUAAUUUAACGCACAAACACAUAAUACAUACUACAUCUGUAGAAUAAAGCUGCAGGUUAUAUAAAUUGACCUUAGGAGUAAUCAUUUACACGAAGUCUCUCUGAUUAUUAUUUUUUUUCGUUUUCUCGAUUUCGUCUCUAUCCUUCUCCUUUCUCUCUAUCGGGAACAAGAGAGGCUGAGAAAAAAUCGUGAGAUAUGGUUGAGACGAGACGUAGCUCUUCCGCUUCCAAGCGUUUCUGUUCUUCUUCUUCAUCCCCUGAACCGUCGUCGUCGUCUCCACGCCCCACCAAGCGAUCUAAAGUCAAGAUCGACGCUGCUAUUGAAUCUGUACGUAGCUCUUGUUCCGAAUCUGAGUUUUUUUUUUGUUUUUAAUUUCGAAUCUGAUGUUUUGAUAACCUAGGCGGCGGCGGCGGAACCGGCGGGGUCUUCGUCGGCGAGCGAGGUUCCGAUUGAGAAUCAAGGACCCGUUUCGGAUCCUGGAUCGGAAUCUGGAGAGCCGGAGCUUGGAUCCUCUGAUCCGCAAGGUGUGGAUGCGGAGAAGCCUGUUUUAACUGAUGUGCCUGUGAUGGAGAUCUCUCCUGAAGCCGACGCUAACCCUGAAGCUGAUGUCUUGGCGACACCUACAGUAGCAGGUUUGAUGUUCUGUCUCAUGCUUUUGUCUAUUUCUUUUUUUUUUCAAGAAAGAAUUAUCCUUUCUAAUGUUUUUUUUUUUUUUUUUUCUAAUGUCUUGAUUGUGGUUUUAGGUGAAGUGGUGGUUUGGACUCUUUUAAUACUUUUUUUUUCUCUUGACUACGUUACUUUUGUUUCUAACUGUCCCAAUGCUUGUUUCUCUGUGAUUUCAGAACCCACACCGUAUCAUGAGGGGCCCUGUAUUCACUGUUGGACGCCGGGGAUGUGAUUUAUCUAUCAAAGACCAAUCUAUGCCCAGCACCCUGUGUGAGCUGAAGCAGUCUGAUGUAAGUACAUCUUAGUUGCCCCCUUUUUUUUUUAUCUCAGUCUCUUAAAAGGACAAAAGCUUCUUUUUUUUCUUACAAUAAUGAUUAUGCAGUACGGAGGUCCAUCUGUUGCAACAUUGGAGAUAACAGGGAACGGAGUUCUCGUUCAGGUGAAUGGCAAGUGUUACCAGAAAAGUACUUGUGUUCAUCUUCGUGGUGGUGACGAGGUCAUCUUCACCAAUUUUGGGAGACAUGCUUACGUAUCCUUUAUGAAGUUGUGUGAAAAUUUAUUAUAUUCGCUUUUAUGCUAUCUAUAAUGUUCUUGUCAUUUAUCAUUAGUCGGAAGACAUUCCAAACUCUUCCAAACUCGGGUCAGGUAGCCAAACUCGGGUCAGGUAGUGUGGUAACAGUCCAAAGCCGACUGAAUCAGCCGAUAGGGCAUAUAAAAAAAUUCAAUGGUUUCUCGGUAACUUUUCUUUAACGGAUUUCUAGAUAUUUCAACCUCUUAAAGAUGAAAAUCUAGCUGCUGCUCCUGAUAGAGCUUCUUCAGUGACUGUAUGUGAAGCUAGAGGUGCACCUCUGAAAGGAGUCCACGUUGAGACAAGAGCAGGAGACUCCUCAGCUACUGAUGGAGCCUCUAUAUUAGCAUCUCUGUCAAAGUACCGCAACUUCCAUCUCCUACCACCAAUUGCCAAAUCUGCUAAAAAGCAGCAGAAUCAGGAGGCUCCUGUGGUACCUUCCAGCUGCAACGAUUGCGUCUCAGAUACCGAGAUGAACGAUGCUGAUAGUAACAAUGAUCAUGCUGAUAUUGCUUCUGUGGAGAAAACUGCUGAUGCCAACGAGAAUCUGAAUGCCGAUGGGAGUGGAUUGGAUCCUUUUCAAGAAGCUGCUGAUGGAAAUGCUCCUGGUUCUGGUUAUGAGAUUAGACCAAUCUUGCGCCUCCUCGGGGAACCUUCUUCAGUUGAUAUAAGGGGCAUCUCCAAACUGCUGGAUGAGAGAAGAGAAGUGCGAGAACUCCUUAAGGAAUAUGAUCUUUCAUCUACCAUAUCAACUAGACGCCAGGCGUUUAAGGAUAGCCUGCGAGAAGGAGUACUCAAUGGUCAAGAUAUAGAUGUUUCUUUGGAGGACUUCCCAUAUUUUCUUAGGUCUUGCUGCUAUAUACAUUAUGUUAUAUCUCUACCAUAUAUUUUUUCCUAUGAUGGUUUUGAUGAUUUAUAGCCUAAACAAUUUGUGAAUUUUUCCUCAGUGCUACGACAAAGGAUGUUUUGAUAGCGUCGAUGUAUGUCCAUAUGGAGGUUGGAAGUAAGUUUGCAAAGUAUGCAUCAGACUUGUCUACUACAUGUCCACGUAUCUUGCUCUCUGGACCAGCAGGUAAUGAGGCUUUACUAUUAGUACUUGGUUUGAGAUGACUAUUAUUCUAACAACGUUUUACCUUAUGAAUUGUAUUUAGGAUCUGAGAUAUAUCAGGAAAUGUUGGCAAAAGCGCUUGCAAAAAGGUUUGGGGCCAAAUUGAUGAUCGUUGACUCUCUUUUGUUGCCCGGGGUAAUAUUCCCUUUUUCCCUUUACUUUCUCUUUAACGUUGUUUUAGUUGUUAAAAUAUUUCAUGUCAAGUUGGUUAUUAUUGGAUAGAAGAUUUUUGAUCCAAAAGCUACACUUUUAAAUAAAAAACCAAAAAAAAAAACAGAAUUUAAUACAUCAAUUUUCUAGAUUAGAUAAUUUUUAAUAUUAAUUAUAAUUUAUAUCUAUUUUAAGAUUUUUAAAUGUUUUUUUAAAAAAUUAACUUUAAAAUUAAAAUUUGUUGGAUGCAUAUUAGUCCGCGGUCUUCAUCUAGUUAUUAAAAUAUUUCAUGUCAAGUUUGUCUUAAGCGGUAUUACUGACUUUUCUUCCCAAAUAGCUUAAGAUGUUAUAUCUGUCAGUGUUUAUCCGUCAUUGAUUUGUGCUGUUUCUGGAUGGCUAUAGGGAUCACCCGCAAAGGAAGCCGAAUCUUCUAAAGACGGUUCUAGGCGUGAGAGGCUCUCUAUGCUUGCUAAACGAGCUGUUCAGGCCGCACAAGCAUUGCAGCAUAAGAAACCAACUUCAAGUGUGGACGCUGAUAUAACAGGUGGCUCAACAUUGAGCUCCCAAGCUUUACCAAAGCAAGAAGUGUCAACAGCAACUUCUAAAAGUUACAUAUUUAAAGCAGGCAUGUUGCUUAACAUUCUUUGGUGUACCAAUCUUCAUCUGUUACUGAACCUGCAUUUUUCUCAUUUUUAGGUGACCGAGUAAAGUAUGUAGGUCCUUCAUCUUCUGCUAUUUCUUCUCUUCAAGGCCCACCGCUUAGGUAUUGUUUACGAUUUUUUCGAAGUCUUUCACAGAUUCAAAACUCAGAUCUAACACUUCUCUUUGGUAUUUAUUAAUAGGGGACCGACCGUAGGUUUCCAGGGGAAAGUACUCCUUGCAUUUGAAGACAACUGCUCAUCAAAAGUUGGGAUUAGAUUCGAUAGGCCUGUACCAGAUGGCAAUGAUCUUGGUGGCCUGUGUGAAGAAGACCAUGGCUUUUUCUGUGCUGGUAUGCUAUUUCCAACUUUGACCCAUCAUAUUAUUUUUACUAAUAUCAUUUUGUGUUUGCAGCUACCUCACUUCGGUUAGAUGGUUCCUCCAGUGAUGAUGCUGACAAACUCGCCGUUAAUGAAGUCUUUGAGGUAUAUAUUUUACUCUCUCAGUUAUGUGGAGUGCUACUCUAUCCACUUGUUGACCACUUGACUUAUUUUAUAGGUCGCACUUAGUGAGAGUGAAGGAGGGUCGUUGAUACUGUUCCUGAAAGAUAUUGAGAAGUCUUUGGUUGGGAACAGUGAUGUGUAUGCAACCUUGAAGAGCAAGUUUGAGAAUUUACCGGAAAAUAUUGUUGUCAUGGCCUCACAAACCCAGUUGGACAGCCGAAAGGAGAAAGUAAGAAACUCAUUUAAAAUCUUCUCUGCUUCUAUUUUGUUUUUACUGUACUGUUAACUAAAUUUUUAUUGUUGUUUUUUCAGUCACAUCCUGGAGGUUUCUUGUUUACCAAGUUUGGUGGCAACCAGACAGCAUUACUAGAUCUUGCAUUCCCGGUAUGGACCUAACUUAACUUAUCUUUGUAUCUUUUUGAGAGGUUGAAACUGAUUUUGAGAUCAUCUUGCAGGAUAAUUUUAGUAAACUGCAUGAUAGGAGCAAAGAAACGCCUAAAUCCAUGAAACAGAUAACUCGGCUGUUUCCUAACAAAAUCUCCAUCCAGUUACCUCAGGUCUGAACCUUCUUCUUACUUUGGUACAUUUGUUAUUUUUUGUUUUCAUUAUCUUAUGCUCUCAAGAGAUAAUAGGAUGAGGCUUUGCUCUCGGACUGGAAGGAGAAGCUUGACCGUGAUACAGAACUUUUGAAGGUUCAGGCUAAUAUAACAAGCAUCCUAUCUGUGAGUAUCUUCUCAACAAGUCCUUCAGCGAUCUAACCGUUCCUAGCUUCUUUUUUUUGUUAAUGUUUUUUGUUAAUAAAUCCCCACAGGUCCUCACUAAAAAUCGUCUGGAUUGUCCUGACCUUGGAACCUUGUCCAUCAAAGAUCAAACCCUUCCAUCUGAAAGUAGGACUCUUAAUAUACCUUUUUUUUUUUUAUGAUUUGAUCUACUCCUUGGUACUAAACAAUUACUGAUAUGUGUGUUCUAGGUGUUGAGAAAGUGGUUGGCUGGGCUUUGAGCCACCAUCUUAUGAACUGCGCAGAACCUACAGUUAAAGACAACAAGCUUGUUAUCUCAGCAGAAAGGUAAGCAUCCUUGUAUAUACUGAAACACUGUAGCUAAAAUCCAGCUUAGAUUUUGCAAAUAACACUUUGGCAUGUGUUGCAGCAUUACAUAUGGCCUGCAGAUGUUACAUGGCGUUCAAGAUGAAAACAAGAGUCUGAAGAAAUCCCUCAAGGUAUUAUUAUGGAACUUCAUAUCUUUUCUUCUAAGUUAGUAAGUUACGGAUCUAAGAGUUGUUCUUUGCUAUGCUGUUUCAGGAUGUUGUGACAGAGAACGAAUUUGAGAAAAAACUCUUAUCAGAUGUCAUUCCCCCUAGCGAUAUAGGUGUGUCCUUUGAUGAUAUUGGGGCUCUUGAGAAUGUGAAAGACACACUGAAGGAGUUGGUGAUGCUUCCUCUUCAAAGACCUGAAUUAUUUGACAAAGGCCAGCUAACUAAGGUACCUUUCAUUGCUUUACGGUUUGUUUCUCUGUCUUUUUCUGGAAGUCAAAUAUAUAAAUUACGUUUUACUGCAGCCUACGAAAGGUAUCCUGUUGUUUGGACCUCCUGGUACCGGGAAGACGAUGCUGGCAAAGGCAGUAGCAACUGAAGCUGGUGCAAACUUCAUCAAUAUCUCAAUGUCCAGCAUUACUUCAAAGGUAUCUCUCCAACAGUGGUCUGAAUCUUUUGUUUAUGCUUUCUUUUGAAGAUUGUAUUUGACCACCUAACAAUUUGAAUGCUUUGUAGUGGUUUGGUGAGGGAGAGAAGUAUGUUAAAGCUGUCUUCUCUUUAGCAAGCAAGAUCGCUCCAAGUGUCAUAUUUGUUGAUGAGGUAUGUUCUGUUUCGCCACUUUGAAGCUAAGCUUUUAUGUAUUUUCUUAAUCUCUGAUGAUUGCUGAAAAAACAUUAUUAUUUAGGUGGAUAGCAUGUUGGGAAGACGUGAGAAUCCAGGAGAACAUGAAGCUAUGCGUAAGAUGAAGAACGAGUUCAUGGUAAACUGGGACGGUUUAAGAACAAAGGAUAGAGAACGAGUUCUGGUACUCGCUGCUACCAACAGACCAUUUGAUCUCGACGAAGCAGUUAUUAGACGGCUUCCCCGGAGGUAAACCUACAUUGUGCUGUGUCUCUUAAUGAAAGAUGAUUCCUCAUGUCGUAACUAUUGCUGAAUUGCAUACUUCUAUGUUUCAGAUUGAUGGUGAAUCUUCCAGAUGCGACUAACAGAUCAAAGAUCUUGAGCGUUAUUCUUUCUAAAGAAGAAAUAUCACCUGAUGUUGAUUUAGAAGCGAUUGCUAAUAUGACAGAUGGUUACUCAGGAAGUGACUUAAAGGUAUGUACUCAUCUCAUUGAAUCUCAAUCUCCUUGGCUUGUAAAAUGCUCACAUUCUCUCAUUUGGUUGCAGAAUCUUUGUGUAACUGCGGCACAUCUUCCAAUUCGAGAAAUACUGGAGAAAGAAAAGAAGGUUAGGUUUCCAACUUAGUGCAUUUACCACUGUUUUAAAAAUCAUUGCCGGCAAAUCAUUGUACGAAAUAACGUUUUUAGAAACAUUGUUAUAGGCGUCUGCCUAAACAAUAAUCCUUUAUAUAACACCUAAUUUCCUCUUAGAGAUACUUUGAACAUUUACUCAUUUACUUGCUAAACUUAUCAACUCAUCCUUCUCUAUAUACUGAGUGUUGUUUUGACUUCAGGAAAAAACCGCAGCUGAGGCUGAGAACCGUCCAACGCCUCCAUUGUAUAGCUGCACAGACAUUCGUCCACUGACAAUGGCAGAUUUCAAGGCUGCACAUGAACAGGUAGCUCGAAAAGAACAAUUGUUUUGUGUGCAUUGUGUUUAUAUAUAGAUGGAAAAAGGACUAAAUGAUCUUAAAUACAUGUAUAGGUAUGUGCUAGUGUGUCUACGGACUCAUCGAACAUGAACGAGCUUCAGCAAUGGAACGAGCUCUAUGGAGAAGGAGGAUCAAGGAAGAAGACGUCCUUGAGCUACUUUAUGUAGAAGAGACUGGAGUGAGAGAGGAGAGAUUUGUUGGUUUUUAAUCUCAUUUUGGUCCUUUGUUUAAUUUAUAAAAAUUUAUGUACAGAAGAGAGAAAAGAGUGUUGUUCGGUUUAUUUUCUAAUUCAUUCUCUUUCUCAACAUAAGAAGCUAAAAACAUUCGCUGUAUAAUCUAAUACAUGCGUAUGUAUAGAGGUUCGGAUGUUUUAAGGAUACAAACAUGCUUCUUGUUUACUUAUUUAAUUAGGCAGAUCUUAAGACCUAAUCUCAACUCUGGGAGAUAGAUAACCAUGGUGAAUGUUCGGUUAGCCGUAGAUGAGUUGUGCAAGUCUUGCAUCCCGAGCAUGCAGAUAGUCUGUGGAUGAUUGGAGAACCGUUCAUUAGUGGUAUAAUGAAGAUGUACGCUUCACCAUUCUUCUACAUGUCUUAAAAUGUCUCGGUAAAUCUUCUGUUUCCGUACAAAGAACAACAAAUUUUGUUUUUUUUUUGGGUUUUGUGGAGAUAGUAGAACAUUUGGAAUCUCCUUGUAUUUGUCGACACGGACGACCAACGAUGAUGAUGCAGUCAAGCUCCUUUUCAUGGUUAACAUUUGAAGGACCCUCGAUUAUAACUACGUUUUGUAAAUAUAAAAUUUAACCCUGUUCUAUUAUAUUAGUCAGUGGCAGAGGUUUCUAAAAAAAAAGUCAGUGGUUACAGCAGGUCGUCAAUCUAUUAUCUAAAUUUAGCUAUAUAUGAAUAGGAAAUGAUAAAUCGAAUUAAACCAUAUCUUGACAAGAAUACCAAAAUCAGUUAUACAAUACCAUCUUUCUUAUUAUAUAAAGCUUGGUUCUUCAAAAUUGCUAAUUAACAUGAAAUUUUUUUCUUUUUUAAAAUUCCUAAACAAGAAAUCUUAUUAUAUAAAGCUUGGUUCUUCAAAGUUGUUAAUUAACAUAACGAUGACACAUGGCAAUUAAAAAUUUAAGAUGGUGACAUGUAUUAAAAUCUAUCAUAAUUAAUAAUAUAAAUAUAAUAAGAUAAUAACACAAAAGAAUUAUUUAAUGGUAAUUUUCCUUUUUAAAUACUUAACAAAGAUAAUAAUAGCAAAAAAUUAUUUGAUGGUUUUUAGUUGACAAUAAUUUUCUUUUUUUUAAUUUUUUUCUUAAUAAUAUAAAUAUAAUAAGAUAAUAACACAAAAGAAUUAUUUAGUUAAAGCUGUCUUCUCUUUAGCAAGAGAUCGCUAAUUAACAUGACGAUGAUACAUGGCAAUUAAAAAUUUAAGAUGAUGACAUGUGUUAAAAUCUAUCAUAAUUAAUAAUAUAAAUAUAAUAAGAGAAUAACACAAAAGAAUUAUUUAAUAGUAAUUUUCCUUUUUUUAAAUACUAAACAAAGAUAAUAAUAGCAAAAAAUUAUUUGAUGGUUUUUAGUUGACAAUAAUUUUCUUUUUUUAAAUUUUUUUCUUUUUUAAAAUUCCUAAACAAGAAAUCUUAUUAUAUAAAGCUUGGUUCUUCAAAGUUGUUAAUUAACAUAACGAUGACACAUGGCAAUUAAAAAUUUAAGAUGGUGACAUGUAUUAAAAUCUAUCAUAAUUAAUAAUAUAAAUAUAAUAAGAUAAUAACACAAAAGAAUUAUUUAAUGGUAAUUUUCCUUUUUAAAUACUUAACAAAGAUAAUAAUAGCAAAAAAUUAUUUGAUGGUUUUUAGUUGACAAUAAUUUUCUUUUUUUUUUUUAAUUUUUUUUCCUUUUUUUAAAUUCCUAAACAAAAAAAUGUAUAAUAAUUUACUUAAUACUAAUUUUUCACUUUUUAAAAUCGUUUUUUAAAAUACUAAAUAAAGAUAACAACAAAAGAUUAUUUGAUAGUUUUUUUAGUUGACAAUAAUUUCAUUUUUAUAAUUUUUUUUUCCUUUUUAAAAUUCCUAAAAGAAAAUGUGUAUAAUUAUUUACUUAAUACUAAUUUUCGUUUUCUAAAAUAAAAAAAAAUAUAAUUGUGAAAAUUAGUUUGAUAGUAAUUAUCCGUUUAUAAAAUCUUCUAAAAAAAAAUUGUUAAAGAGUGUUUAAUUGUAGUUUUCUUUAUUUCUUCUUCAAACCUACAAAAAAAAGUAAAAUAAGUAUUUCAAAUAUUUUCAUAUAAUAAUAGACUAUUAUUUAAAUAGUAAAUUUUCUGUUUAAGAAAUCAUAUUGAAAAAAGGAUUACAAUUUUUUUUUGUAACUAAAAGGAUUACAAUUAUUCACAUCUAUAUAUAAUAUUAAACUCUCCUAUAUUUUAUCACCAAACAUAAUUGCUUAAUAUAUCAUAAUUAAUAAUAUAAGUAUAAUAAGAUAAUAACACAAGAAUUAUUUAAUAGUAAUUUUCCUUUUUUAAAAUUCUAAACAAAGAUAAAAGCAAAAAAAUUAUUUGAUAGUUUUUAGUUGACGAUAAUUUUAUUUUUUCUAUUUUUUUUCCUUUUUACAAUUCUUAAACAAAAAAACAUGUAAAAUAAUUUACUUAAUACUAAUUUUUCUUUUUCUAAAAUCAUAAAGAAAAUAUAAUUAUAAAAAUUUGUUUGAUAGUAAUUAUCCUUUUAUAAAAUCUUCUACACAAUAAAAUUGUUAAAAACUGUUUAGUUGUAGUUUUGUUUUUUCUUCAAAUCUAAACAAAAAAUGUAAAAAAAUUAUUUCAAAUAUUUCCAUAUAAUAAUAAACUUUCUUAUUUAAAUAGUAAAUUUUAUGUUUAAGAAAAUUUUAAUUUUUUUUCAUUUUAAUUUUUACUUUGGUUGAGUUUAGUUUAAAUAUUUAGGUAUGAGUGUUUUCUCCAGCCUUAAAUACAAAGUUGAUAACAAUUUACCUAUCCACCAUAUUAAAAUCAGAAUCUCUCUCAUACAAGAAAAACAUUAGGUGUGGUUUUUUAUUAUAUAACUUUAUAAUUAUCGUAAAAUAUGAUAUUAUUGUGCGUAAGUUAUUGACACAAUUAUGUGUGUUAGUUCCUAUAGACGAUAUAAAAUUGGUUAUUCUGUCAUAGUAUGUCAAUGUCAACAUCAAUUUAUUAUGUUACGUCAAAAACGAUUGAUCAAUGCAGUAUAAACGGUUUAAUAUGGUUAUGCGAGUUAGAUAAUAAUUUUAAAAUAAACAACAAUUGUUAUGAUUUUGAUUGUCAUUAGGGUUUAGUCAAAAAGUUUACUAGACACUUCUUACAAUAAGACUAUGUUUGAAAAAAAUAUAUUUACUAUUUUCUAACUGAAAUUGUUAUUUAAUUUGCUAUCAUGCAUUAUCAAGGAAACAAUGAAUUCAGAAGGUUAUUUAACACUAAAUCAGUUUAAAAUAUUAAAAGGUAAGAAAUUUGAAAAAAGAAUAAUGAACUUAUAGGAAGGGAUAUCUCAUACUUAAUAAAGGUAAUUAAAAAAAAAAUCUUUUAUAAAUUUUUAUUCAAAUUGAUUUUUUAUUAUAUAGGAAAAUACAAUCAAUGUUGUGUGCAUCAUUCUAUUCUUGAAAAGCUUGGAGAUGAACUAUGUGAAGGAAUUAUUAUCGACAUCUUUUAUUUAUAAUGUGCAAGAUUGAAGUAAGAACUAUAAAAUCUCUGAUCAUAAAUUUCAGAUAGGAGUGAUUGAGAGAACAACAACCUCAUAUUUGUGAAAUAACCGUUACCUCAAAUACUCUGUGAAAAAAAUUUGAUUUCAACUACAAAGAUUUUGCUCAACUUAAAGAUAUCAGAAACUAUUGAUUAGAUGAUAAUAUUCAUGCAUUUUAUAUAUAUAACUUUUUGUUACAGAUGUGUAGUUGGUAUAUCAAUAAUAUGAAUAAUCUGAUGUUCAAAUAGUUACUCUAACUUAAUUGUUAAGGAGGUAUUUUUCUAUAAAUAACUGUAGCACUUUUUCUCUAUGAAUUAUUAGUCCAAUUCCAUUAAGCAAUUUCAGUUUUUUUUUUCUACAAAAACUCUAUUUUAUAUAGUGAAAUUGAAAUACAAGCAACAUCAUGAGCUGGACAAGUAGAACUAUUUGAAGAUAUAUAUCGCGCUGUGAAAUGUGAUAAUACUGUUAUUAUCAUGAAAGUCUUUUAUCAAGAGAUAUCCAUGUGUAAUUUUUUUAUCAGCAUAAAAAAGUUUGGAUGUUUAUUUUAACUCUAAUUAGUUGAAGAAAAUUUAAUAUACUAAUUUGUAUUAUUUCUAUUAGUUUCAGCUAUGAUGAUGGUUGCUUGGUUAAUCUUGGCCAUAUGAUUGAAAAUCCUUAAAUGAGUAUUGAAGUUAAUGAAGUUUAUAUAUAUUUAUGUUAACUUAUAUGAGUUAACUAUAUUUAGUUAACAUAAAAUGUUUUUUAAAAAAUAAUUAUUUAUUUAUAUAUUUAUUAGAAUCCUAAAUUCUAUAUUCCUAAAACCUACCCCACCCUCUCAAUUCUAAACCCUUAGUCUAGAUUAGCUAACCUUAGGAUUAUAAGUGUUUUUUCUUUUUAAAAGUGAGAAUAAAAGUGGUAUUAAGAAUGUGAUAUUUUUGGUAAUUUCCCGUAUAAUAUUGUCACUAACUAGAUUGACCUUAUUUAGAUUUUAAUUUUUUUUCAUUUUAAUUUUUACUUUGGUUGAGUUUAGUUUAAAUAUUUAGGUAUGAGUGUUUUCUCCAGCCUUAAAUACAAAGUUGAUAACAAUUUACCUAUCCACCAUGAUUAUAAAUACAAAUACUAAUAGGAAUUUAUGUGUGUAAAUGAGUUUGUAAUUAUAAAAUAAAUAUCUCACAGCUUAUGCAAACACAAAAAAAUCCUAAAUCUAUAAUAAAAUGAUUUAUUAUUUUUAUGUUUUUACUAAAACAUCAAAUAAAACCCGUUGCAACGCACGGGCUUUAUCUAGUAAACUAAUAAACUUACUUUAAUUUUACUCACUAGUAAUGAAUUUAUAUAGUGAUUAAAACUUCUAAAAAUAUUUGAAAUUUAUGAAGUUGCAGUUAAUUUUUUUUUUUUGGAUGUCAAAUGGGUUAUCCACGUCUAAAUAAGCUUGUCCAAAUAAAUAAUAUUGGAUAUUGAUGGUUUUAGUUCAAAUAUUGGAUAAAAUAAGAUAUAGAACAAUUUAUAAUUUAAUAUUAAUCAAGCAAAAACAUUUGUAUAAAGAUGUUUUCUAAAAUAUUAUUCAUAUGUGAGUGUUUUCUUAAAUAAGAUUUUAAUUUUUUGUUUUUGAUAAAAACACUUUAUUUUUAUCCGGGCAUAAUUUUUUUACAAAUAUUUAUUGGUUUAUCUCUUAUUAAAAUAAAAACCAACAUAAUAAGAUAUUAUUUUAUGUACUUAACAACUUUAAAUUAAACAUCAAUUAUUUAUAUAUGAUAUUUUUCAUCAAAAUAUAUAUGUUUAUCAUUGUGUUGAAAUUUUAAAAAAAAAAACACACUCACAUAUUAAAAAUGUCUUAGAAAAUAUCUUUUAAAAAUGUUUUUACUUGAUAAAUAUUUAAAUAUGUAUUGUUUAUAUCUCACUUUUGAACUUUUAUAAUAGAACAAUAUUUUUUUUUCAGAUAACAACACAAUAUAUUUGAUGAAAAUACAUAUAUAUAAGAAUUAUCAUAUUUUUUAAAAUAUGUUUUCAUUUUUGAAAAUUUCAUUUAAUUAAUUUAUAAUCAAUUUUCAAUUAUAACAUAUAAAUCUAGUAAUAUUAACAUAAAAUUUGUUUUUAAUUAUGUUUUAUUUCUAGGUAUUUUGUUCAUACAUGCAUGUAUAAUCAUUUUACAGGAUGAUAGAUUGUUUUUUUAUGAUUUUAAUCAUUUUCAUUCUUUCAAUUUUUUUUGUUUCGAACACCAACUAUAAAAAAAAUUAUUAUUGCUGAUGUAAGAAAAAUAAGAAAGUGUAAUUUCGUCUUUUGAACCAUUAUUGUUUCUUUAAAUUACCUAUUUAAACUAGCAACAAGUAUUUGUUUUGUUUGUCAAAAACUAGCAAUAUGUAUAAACUACCAAUAACAUGCAAAGAUAAAAAAUUAAAAUAAAACAAAUAAAAAUAUUUUAAAAGAAAACUAAGAGCUUAAAUUUGUUUAGAAAAAAAAAUUGAAAUAUAAGUGAAUUAAGAUAAUGGUAAUAUUCUUGGUUACAGGAUAAAUAUAUAGGCAAACUUAUCAUAUUUCAUAAAUUUUAUUUUUUCAUGAAAGAAAAAUUAAUGAUCAUCAUCUGAUAAUAUCAAACAAAACAUUAUGAUCAUUAUAUAUUUCCCUUUCUUUUUGGCAAUUUUAUCAUAAAUAAUUAAUUAGUUAUUCUAUGAUCCAUUAUAAUGAUUAAAUAUAAUUACUUAUUAAGGGUAGUAGAAGAUCUGACCUGAAAACUGAAGAGCUAAAAUAGAAAAAAUAAAAAUAUAUGAUAUUCAUAAACCUUUGCAUCUUUUUUUAAAAAAUUUGAUUACGUACUUACAUACAUAAUUUUGUUAGCUUUUAUUUUGUAGUUUUAUGUUAAUUCCAAUAGUAUACAUAAUGAGAAUGAAUAAUAUAUAUAUAUAUAUAUAUNNNNNNNNNNNNNNNNNNNNNNNNNNNNNNNNNNNNNNNNNNNNNNNNNNNNNNNNNNNNNNNNNNNNNNNNNNNNNNNNNNNNNNNNNNNNNNNNNNNNGAUCUGAGGAUUGUUGGAUCGUAAGUUUUCUUAGUGUGACUGCUUAUUUACUUUUUGAGUUUUAUGGAAUUUCUUCAUGUUCCCUUUUCAUCUUCUGUUCUUUAGGUUGUUUUGCUAUUUUUAAAUUCUGUUAAUUCUUUGUGCGACAUGAUUGAUAGCCCAUUUAUUCUGUGUUUUAUGUGGCAGCAAUUCUCCAUAUAUGAAUCUAUUUAUGACCCUAUCAAAAAAAUGUCGUCUGAUAGAGCACCUGUGCUUAGUGAGCUAUCACCCCUUAGGUAAAAGCUUCUCCACUAAAUCUCGCUGUGGAGCUUAUUGUUUUUGUUUAUCCCAGGUUUUCUCAAGCUUGCCUAAUGUGUAACAGGUAAUAUAGACGCGUCAACAGCUUCACACUUGAUAGAGUUGGUGACCAAGUCCCCCAACUUAACUUCUCUAACACUCUUAUGUUUUCAACUAACCAAUGAAAUAGUCCGGAAUCUUGUUGAGGUAUGGCUUCUAUUCGAUUUUACUGCUAAUUUCUUCUCUCUCUCUUUUAUUGGAUUACUAUCUAUGCUUUUAUACAACAAGGAUAACACCUGCAUGUUACUUCCAGAGUUCUCGAAAACUGAAGUACCUGAAUCUGUCCAGAUCACCUAAAAUCGAUGGUCGUUUUUUGAGGUGCAAAUACAAAAAAUGUUAAAUAGCGCGCAAUUUCAUCCAAAAGUCGUUAUUAUCAUAAUUUCACAUAGUACAAAAAAUAUUGUUGCUGGUAGGGAUUUGGGAAAUAGCUGCAAAGAGAGUCCACUCGAGACUCUAAUAUUGCGCAACUGCGUUAAACUAGAGGAGGUAAAUGUUUUUGAGUUGUUACAUCAGGUCUUGCUUGAUCGAUCCUUACACUCACUGACCUUGAUGUUUCAGAAAGAAGUCUUGGAACUCUGCAACUCAUUACUCAAAGGAAACUUCAAAUUCAUUCGUCACAUUGUAAGUUUUUCUUAGAGAAAAUUAUAUUAGCUUUGUUUGUUUUUAAUCGUCGUCUUAUUGGUUUGCUCACUCUAAUAGGAUGUUUCAAGCAAUAACGGCUUAGUUUCUGAUGAUGGCCGGAGAUCUUACAAACCAAAGUAACUGACUGAUCCUUUCAUUGUUAAACAUCUUACCAACGGCUCAUUGAGUUGUGGUGUGUUGUAGGUUUCCUGUGGAGAAGCUGAAAGAAGAAAGACCAGAUGUGACACUUGUUGCGGAUUUUCCAUUAGAAAGGUCUUCUUCUUCUUCAUUGAUUACUAUCUUAGACUUUUACAGUAAUUUGAUCAGAGAAUACAAAUGCAGGUCAGGGAAGCGUUAUCAUGUCGGGGUUGAAGGGGAUGACGGAGAGCUGAGGGAGAUAGAGAUGAUGGAAGCCAAGAACGAUGAAGAGGAGAAUGAUGAUGAUGACGACUCCUUUGACGAUGAUGAUGAUGAUGACGUUUAGCUUUGAUGAUUGGAGGAGUGGUUAAUCAAUCAAUCGUCAAUAUAUCCGGCACGACCGACAUAUGAAUGUUCUCCCAAAGCUCUUUGCAACGUUGCUAUGAUGAUGUUUCUUCCUACAUCCAAAGCCCCAAUCCUAGUUCCCUUCUUGUUGUUCCGCUACCUUCUCAUUCCUCUUUGUUUCCUGAGUGCCCUUCGACUUCUAUUAGCUGCUGCUCCUUUGAUCGGGCGCUUGGUCAAGCUAUCUAUCUCAUCUGCUUCUUGUAGACACUCUUGUGCGAACUCUUAUUAUGAGUUGGUAUAUGAAGACGUUUUUUGCACUGCAUAUCUUCAAAACCAUCAGCUACUCUUUUCCCAAUCAUUUCUAAAUACAAUUAAAAUACCAAAUUAACAACCAAAAGAACAUUUGAAAAAAAUGUAACCUCAAUUUUAUAAUAAUUUAAAAAAACUUCUUGCUUAUGUGUCAAUCAGUUAUGUAGUUAAUUAGUCAUAUGUAUCAGCUUUACAUUGAAAUUGAAAAACAUGUAGGUCUAAUUCAAUUUUUAUAUCUCACUAGAAACAUUUAAUAUCAAUUAUAUGAUAUCAUAUGAUAUUAACUAAAUUAAUGUGGCUAUUUAUUAUAUAUUAUUUCUUAAAUAAAACCUACGGAAUUACCUAAUGUGAUUAUGAUAUAUAUAGUAAUUAAUGAUUUUAAAUAAUGAAGAUUUGUUAAUAAUUUGUAUGCUUUAUAUCAUUUUUGUUUAAUUCUUUACUAUUAAAAUAGAAUACACAAUUACAUUAAUAAUAUAUUAAAAUUUUAGAUUUUUUUUGUAUAUGUUAUAUUUUGAAUUUUUCAAAACGAGUAUAAAUUACUAAAACUGUUAAAAGUCUCACAUAAACUUUUGUGAUCAAUGUUUAAAUUUUUUUCUAUAAUAAGAUACAAUGAUAAUAAAAUCAUAUAAAUAAAUAAUUUUAUUUUAAUAGGUGUUUAUGUUAAUAUAUAUAUACACUUCACAUCGUUUAAAUUUAAUUAUAUAUUAUAUACGAUAGAUAAGAUUGAUUGUUUUGAUUUAUUUAUUCUAAAAUGAUUGCGAAUAAACAAGAACGGUCAUUUGAUUUAUAUGUGCAAACCAAUUUAUUACAUAAUAGUAACUGAUUUCUUAGUAUGCAGAAAAAUAUAAAAUAAAUAGUUAUUCUGCAUAAGGCCAAAUCUUAACCUAAGUAUGUAUAUCUUUAAUAAUUUUGAAUCUUAAACAUUUUCUAAACCUCAGGCCAAAAUAAAAGAAAGAAAUGAGAAUAAACUCAAAAAUCAAUAUUUAUAUCGAGCAAUAACCAAAAUGACACAAAAAGGAGAAGAAUAUCGAAGAUAGAUAGGAUUGGCACGUGAACGUAAAAUUUUCAUAAUCAUAAUUAGUUUUUAAAUUGCUAAAUCAUGAUAUAAAACCGAUGUGACAUUAAUUUCAUUGUAACCAAAUAGUAGGCAUGAGAUUCUUCGGUCUAAACGUUAUGUUUUUAUACGAUUUAGUAGUAAUUGUUAAGAGGUUAAUAUUGGAUGCAAAGAUUAAUCGAAAAUCAUGGUAAUGUUAGCAGCAUAAAUUUAGCCAAUCACAAUAAAUUUUUGUUUUGCUUUAAUUUUGGCUGAUACGUCUCUCAUAAUUAUUAUACGAAAUCUAUACAUUAAAAUAAUUGAUGUUUAUAUAUAAUUGAUAAAGAUGAAAUAUAUUCACAGUAACGUAAUCUAAAAAUAUAAACGGAGAUGUUUAUUUUCUAAUAUUAUUGUACCGUGUAAUAUGUGGAUUUGAUACAUAUUUGGAAACUCUUAUGUAGCAUAAAUGGACAGAAUAUUUGGAAAAUUAUAUGUUUACCAUAUGGUAUCACUUUUCAUUUUUACCACCACUUUUGAUUUUGUAAUGAAAUAUUUCUUAUUUAUUAUUUUUUUUAAAGCUAAUGGCACAAUCUGUACAAUAGAAAAUUAAGAGCAUGUUUAAUAGAAAUUUUUAGAUAGGAUAAAUAUAAAAACCUUUAAUUAAAGGAAAAAUGAUUGCUGACUACAUGAAGUAUUGGCCAUCACAUGGCUAACCAUGCAAACUAAACAAAUGUAUACUUAGCUACACGAAGUAUGUAUUAUGCAUGACAACAUCCCUCAACUUUAUGAUGUUAUGUAAUUAGCAUCACGAGUUUAAUUUCAUAUCCAAAAAAUGAUUGUAUAUUAGAGACCGUUUAAAUCUCUCGUUACAUCAACUAAAAUGUGGCGUACCUGACGGUAAUUUACCUAAUUAGAUUUUGACAUGUGUUUUAAAAUCAUAAAAAUAUUUUUAACAAAAUCUACUUUACAAAAUCAAUAUGUUUUAUAAAUUUUUAUAAGUAGUGUUUUAACAUUUUUAUUUUACUGUAUUUGAAAACAAUAUAAUUAUAUUAUUUUUAUUUAUGUUAAAUAUAAAGUUAUACUUCCUCUGUUUCAAAAUACAUGAAGUUUUAAGAUUAUGCACAACUAUUAAGAAACUUGUUUUUUAUCUUAAAAAUAUCAUUAAAAUAUAAACUAAAAAUUAUUCAACCAAUCACAAAACAGACUACAAAAUAUCAUUGGCUACACAGUUUUUGAUAAAGUGAAAAAGUGCAUUGAGAUAUGAAAACAUCAUAUAUUUUGAAACAUCAAAAACUCCUUAAAACAUCAUCUAUUUUGAAACGGAGGGAGUAUAAGAUAUUAUUUAAUUAGUUUUUUUAAAUUCUUUUAAUCUGUUUUGGUAUGAAUUUUUAAUAAAAUUUAUGUAAUUCAUUUGAUUAAUUGUGUGAUAUAUACUUAUUUGAUAAAAAAAUACAAUAAAACUUCUUUGAUGUCAAUUUAUUGACUCUAACAAUUUAUUUGUUUAAUAUGAAAUUAUUAAGUUAAUGAAUUAUUUUAUAUAUUUUUUUCAUAAACAAAAAUUCCAUUCAUUUAAACUAAGUAAACCUUUCAUAUUAGAUUCUUAUUCUUUGAUUACUUUUAUUCGUAAAAAUAUAUAAUUAAUAAUUAUAUACGCAAGAUUAUGUUUGGUUUAAUUUGACAUCAAAUAAGUUUUAAACAAAUAAAAUUUUUGAGUUAGUAAAUUGACAGAAAAUAAGUUUUAUAAUUAAAAAAAUUAUCAAAGAAUUAUAUAUCACACAAUUAAUCAAACGAAUUACAAAUUCUUUAGUAAAAGUUCAUAACAAAACAGAUUAAAAUAAUUAAUAAAACAAACAGAGUAAUAAAAAUAAAAAUAAUAUAAUUAUAUAGUUUUAAAAGACACAAAAAUAAAAAUGUUAAAACAUUACUUAUUAAAAGUUCAUAACAAAACAGAUUAAUAUAAAUAAAAUAAUACAAUUAUAUAGUUUUAAAGUACACUAAAAUAAAAAUGUUAAAACACUAUUUAUCAAAAAAUGUUAAAACAUAUUUAUUUUGUAAAUUAGAUUUUGUUAAAAAUAUUCUUACGCUUUUAAAAUGUGGGUCAAAAUCUAAUUUUAUUAAAUUAUAGUCGAAUCGGUCAUAUUUUAAUUGUUGAAACAAGAUAUUUAAACGAUCUCUAACAUCCACAUCAGUUUUUGGAUAAAUGAAAUUAAACUCGUGAUGUUAACUAUAUAACAUUAUAAAGUUGAGGGAUGUUGUCAUGCAUAACAUAUACUUCGUGUGGCUAGGUAUAUAUUAAUUUAGUUUGCAUGGUUAGCCAUGUGGUGACCAAUACUUCACGUAGGUAGCAAUCAUUUUUCCUUAAUUAAAAGCUAAGAGAAAGUUUAUUAUAUUCAGCUAAAAACUACAUCCUAAAAACUCGUCUAUUUAUACUGGAAGAAGAGAAAACUCUUUCAACUUAAGGCUUCAUGGAUUCUCCGACGAGCCCCACCCAAAACUCUAGCUCCGUCCACGCCGAUUCGAUUAUCUCAUCCCUCCUUUCGUUUCCAGAUUCCUCUCCGCUCUCCAUUGCCUCUUCCUUCCGUCGAGAGCUCGAACAAGCUCUCGCCUCUGCUUCAGAUGACGCCUCUGUUCAGGAACGUCUCGUGGAUCGAACACUCCAGCUCGUAUCUCUUCUUCUAGAAUCCACUAAACGGUCCUUCCGCAAGCGAGCUACCACUCACAACUCCAGUGCCUGGUUCCUCCCUCCCGAACUCACCGUCAAGGUAAUCAAACCGACUGAGAGCGUUCAGGAGACGGAGUUUGAUGAGAUAUGUUAUUUGAAUUAGUUUAAGUGGUUGUUCAGGUGUUUUCGAUGGUUGAUACAAAGUCUCUAAUGCGCGCGGCUGCUUGCUGCACCAUGUUCAACAAAUGUGCUAUGGACCGUUUUGCAUACGCUCACGUCGACUUGACUACCGCUACUAGCCAAGUUGACAGUAAGGUUGUGUGUAACUUGAUCCAUAGGGCUGGAAAAGAACUCAGGUAAUCUUUAACGUUGUAACUUGUACUACACUCAUUUGUUAGUUUUUGUAUUUGAAUAGGGUUUUUAUAUUUAUGCUUGUAGAUCACUCAAGCUUGGCAGUCUUGCUCGCACAUAUCCGUCUGAUUGUAAUCCAUCUUUGGUUAACGGACCUUUUCUUUCCACACUAUCCCGUAAUCCUGAUUUUAUUGGGUAUGGCUUGCUUGCUUGCUUGAUUAUCAGUUUUUAAAUUUCAUCCUGUUAUUUUUAUCUGCCCUACAUAUGCUGUUAAAAUAAACAUGUUAGAGUAUGUGUUGGACCCAGAUUUGUACCAAAUCUCUCCUCCAUAUAUUAGUGCGAGUCCAUCAACUUUGACCCUCAUUACAUAUGGAUGUUUUUCUCAGGAAUCACGUUAUUUCUUCACUAAUCUUUAUAAACAAAUACUAUCAAAUAAGUAUGGGUUUUAGGAUCCACAGUAUGGUUUCGUUGGAUAGGAAAUAAUAUAGCAGGGAAGAUAUCCCAAUACAUUCUCAUUUAAUCUUCUUAUUUGGUAUUAUUAUCCUUUUCCAUUCAACCAGGAAUCGCUUGAAAAGCCUAGGGCUUUACAAUAUCAGGUCGAUGAAUUCCUCAUUCGAGGUGUUGUCAGUUUGUUCGAAUCUCACUGAUCUGAGGAUUGUUGGAUUGUGAGUUGUCUUAGAGUGCCUUGCUUAUUUAUUUUGGGACACACAGCCCUCUUUUUUUUUUUUUUUUUGCCUUAUUCUGUGUUUCAUGUGACAGGAACAAUCCUUUUAUGCAUUUAUUUAAGAUUCUGACAGAAAAAUGUCGGCUGAUAGAGUACCUGUUCAUAGAGACCUACCAACUCCCAAGUAAAGAUUCUCCAUUAAUCCGGUGUUGAGCUUAAUGUUUUGUUUACUCCCAGGCUUUCUCAAUGUGUAACAGGUACCAUAAUAGAUACUGUAAAAGGUUCACACUUGAUAAAGUUGGUGACCAACUCCCCCAACUUAACUUCUCUACGGCUCAUUCGUUUUCGACUAACCGAUGAAGUGGCACGUAUUCUUGCUCAGGUAUGUCUUCUGCUCGAUUUUACUGCUAUUUUCUCUCUCUUUUAUUGGAUACCAUCUAUGAUUUUGCAGGGGUGGAUCUCAAUAUUUUUGGGUUCUAAACAUUGUUAAGAAUUUGUUUUGUAAAUUGUUUUAAAAAUAAUUUAGAAAGCUAAAACUAUGUAAAAAAGUCAAAACAAUUUUGGGGGCCAAAACCAAUUUUUCAUUGGCUUGGCCCAAACCCCGGCUUUAGCUUUUACAGAACUUCAAUAGUAUUUUGAUGUUCUCUGCAGAGUUCUCGUACACUGGAGUACCUGAAUUUGUCUAGAUCCCCUACAAUCAAUGGUCGUUUUCUGAGGUGCUAAUGCAAAACUUUUACAGUGCAAUUUCCUCCAAAUGUCCUUAUUGUUAAAAUUUCACAUAACAAGAAAAUAUUGUUGGUAGGGAUGUAAGAAAUAGGUGCAAGGAGAGUCCACUUAAGACUCUAAUAGUGCGCAACUGCCUUAAACUGCAAGAGUUACGUAAAAGACUCAUAACACGUUUUGAGUUGUUUCAUCAGUGUUACUUGAUCGAUCCUUACAUUGAUGUUUCAGAAAGAAGUGUUGGAACUCUGUAACUCACUAAUCAAAGGAAACUUCAAAUCCAUUCGGCACAUUGUAAGUCUUUUUAUAGAAUCAGUGCCCCCCAAAAAAGUAUAAGCUUGGUUUACUCUAAUCUUCGUCUUCUUGGUUUAUUCUAAUAGGAUGUUUCAAAUAAGAGAGGCUUAGUUUCUGAUGAUGGCAAGAGAUCUUACAAACCAAAGUAACUGAGGGACCCUUCAUUGUUUACAUCUUAGCAACUGCUCACUGAGUUGUAUUCCAAAAAAAAUUGUUGUGUGUUGUAGGUUUCCUCUUCAGAAGCUGAAAGAAGAAAGAUCAGAUGUCACCCUUGUGGCGGAUUUUCCAUCACCAUGGUUCGUGUCAGUCGAUUACUACCAUCGUUAAAAAGUUUGAUUAAAGGAAUCCGAGAAAGGAAAAUGAGGGGGGUUUGUGUCUUGUAAAAUGCAGGUCAGUGAAGCAUUGUCCUGUCUGCCAUGAAGAAGAUGACGAAGAGCUGAGGGAGAUAGAGAUGAUGGAAGAUGAUGCCUCAUCCUCGGAUGCCUCAUCCUCGGACGACUCAUCCUCGGACGACGAAUCCUCAGAAGAUGACUUAGGAUGAUGAUACACAAACCAAGAGGACUUGGGACUUGGGAGAGAAUCAUGACGUUUAUCUUUGAUGUUUUGGCUGAAGAAUUUUAAUUUUUUUUUUUUUGAACGAGUAGUAAUUUAAGUCAUGUGCUACAAACAAGCUUAUGUCAGAUUCGGAGAGACUUUCCCAUAGGCUGGACCGUUCGGUAUUAGUCCGGGUAAUUCAGAUUUUCGGAUUUUCGGUGUUAUAUUCAGAAGUACCAUUCGGGUUUUACUAAUUACGGAUCGGUUUCGGUUUGGUUCCUUCCGGGUUCGGUUCGGAUUGGAUGUAACCAAUGUUUAAAAUCGUCCAAAACUAUUUUUUUUUAAACCUUAAAAUUGACAAAAAAGUUUCAAAAUAUAUAAAUUGUUUACAAAUCUAAUUAAAAAUUAGUUAAACUAUCUAAAUUAACUAAAAAAUAUUCAAAAUAACAAUUAAAACAAACUAGAAAAUAUUUUGAAUAUCCUAAAAUAUCUAAAUCAUCUUAAAUAUAUAAAAACAUUAACAUAUUUAACUAAUUUCGGAUAUCUUCGGAUGUCGGUUCGGAUGUCGGUUCGGUUCGGAUUAUAACCAAACACCAAAGUACUAAUCUCAUAAGUCUCGUUCAGAUAUUUUUAUAUAACAGUUUGGAUUUGGUUUUGGUUUUUUGGGUUCGGGUCUAGAUAAGUACUUUGGGUUGAGUUAAAAAUGGUCAGGCCUACUUUUUCACCUGAAGGUGAGAAGGAUAGAGGGCUCGGUUGACUCUAAUCAAAAAUUCGUGGUGCUCUGUAAACAAAGAAACAAACUGUUCGAUAGUCUUAUUGGGCCUAUUAAUGCGUCCAGAAAAGAAAAGCCCAUAUCUCGUCCGAUUGUUGUUGGCGGCUAAGAUUCUAGGAAGGGGGUAGCAGUGUAAAUAAACGGAAAUCGAGGUGGUGUUUUGAUCUCAAACUAGAUAAAGAUAAGGGUAAUACCGUAAAUAAACUGAAAGCGAGAGAUGCGGGCACGUGAGACGAAUUUCUGACUCUCCAAUCGACCUUAUCCACCUUGCGAGACAUCAGAUCCAAGCGCCACGUCAGACUAAGAUCAACGGACGAGAUCUUCCUGGUCGCCUUUAAAGUCAUUACUCUCUGCAACGUUUGUGAGAAGAAAGAAACAUUACUUGCGACCAAAAAUUACAGAUUCUUGAAACUAUUAGUGUUGAUACUUGAUAGAUACCAUGGGCUUACUAGAUCAUCUCUGGGAUGAUACCGUCGCUGGUCCUAGGCCAGAGAACGGCCUUGGCAAGCUUCGGAGACACCAUACCUUCAGUUUCCGGCCUAGCUCCGGUAAUGGUACGCCGUGUUUUUGCUAUCUUGAACCGGUGGCUUAUCAUUUUGUGUAAAUGAAAAUAUAAAAAUAAAUAAAUCUUUAAACGUAAAAAAUAUAUAGAUAGUAUCAUUGGCCUGAUCUUCGAUCUGGUGUUCUUUAGAUCAAUCGGACGGUGGUAGCGUGAGAUCGUACGGUGAAGAAUCGCCGGAGGAGGCCGUGAAAGUGACACGUAGCAUCAUGAUAAUAAAACCACCGGGAUACCAAGGCGGUUCAGCUNNNNNNNNNNNNNNNNCGGUUCAGCUCCGGUUUCACCAGCCGGUUCACCCCCGCCAGUAUCUCCUUUCUCUGGUGAGUUUUAUUAUAUUAGUUACCAUUUUGUUUUGUUCAAAAAAAAAAGUUACCAUUUUGUUUCCAGCAGUAACUAUUUGGUUAGGUGAAAUAGAAAGUGUACUGUACACUCACUGAUUACGUUAAGGGUAAUUUCGUCUAUACGUUAAAAAAAACUUUGACAGGAUUAACAUGUUGACACUGUGACUUAUGUGAUGCAUGCAGCAUGAUCCUUGAUAAGAUGAGAUGUGACACAGUGAACUCCAUCUAUGAUAUCACUGAUUAUUAUUGCCCCUUGAUUGAUAUAUUUGUUAGGUGAGCGUCUAGUCAAAUGUUGUGAUAUGCUUAAAAGACUUGGUCAUAGAUUAGGACCGUAUUCAAAACAUGUUAUGGUUUACUAACGAACUUGGAACCUUUGGGAUGGUUAACGGAGCAAACGCAGGAGGAAAGGAACCCUUUCGGUUUAGGAGAAGGUCGACGUCGGACGCGUUCGAUAAGGGAGCAGGAUCAGAGAAUGGACCAAGGAACUCUCCUCCUACUUACGGCCUGUGAUCUAUAACUCAAAUCUCAAUAGGGAGAGAGAAAAGAAGAAGAGUAGCCCCCAAAACGCUUUCGAUCAAGUGGUCCUUGCAUGCAGAGUUCGUGUUGCUUCCGUUUUGUAGGCCAAAGAGGUUCUCUCUUUUGUGUGCGUGUAUGAGUUUGUUUUGUGUGUUUGUGGUUACGUCUAUGUUUUUGUUUUUGUAUGUCAUCUCGUUUUGGGAAUGCUUCUACGUGUCUGUACAUAUUUUGCUGCAAUGAUAAUAAAAAUGUGUAGAUGCUUAACAUCACUUCUUUUUGGACACCACAGUCUCUUUGGAGGCCAUAUUGAGAGUGACUGCAAAGACACUUUACUCUUUUCUUGAAUUGAUAAAUUAUCUCCAAUCCAAAUUGUCAAAGCCUAGCUUGAAAAAAAGAGGAAAUUGACAAAUGGCCAAUUGUGUUUAGUUGAGGAAGCUUGCAGGGAUUAUGAUGUGGAUAAUGUAAUAGAUAUGAGAUCAUUUAUUUUGAACCAUACAAUAUUCUUUAACAACAUUGAGUUUAGUCCGGCUACCACAGCACAGAGAAAAGCAUGAUAAAGCACCUUCUUCCUUGACACUUUACCUAUCUUUUGUGAGUCAAUGCCUAGUAUGCUGUAAUUGGAUUAGACACAACUGUCCUAGUAGCAUCAAUCAUCAAAUAAAUCCAGUUUCUUCCGAACCAAGGCAUACAUAGAUCACUGAAUUAGUUGCUGAUGUGAUUAAGGAUUGUUCCAACUUAGAAGUGGAUUUUUACUUUUAUGAACAAAUUGUAUAAAUAUUUCAGUCCUUGGAAGAUUUUUCAAACCAGAGAUAGAUAUCACAUAUGAAGUCACACUUUGUUUUGUAAUUACCGCUUUGUUUCUGUUAAUGAUUUGGUUAGGUGAAAUAGUAGUACACUCACUUAUUUCGUUUAGGGGUAGUUUCGUCCAUUUGUUAAAAAUAACACUGAUAGGAUAACAUUUAAGGUUUUGACAAUUCACAGAGUGUGACUUUCUUAUGUGAUGCAUGCAGCAUGCUGCUUGGUAAGAUGAGAUAUAAUAUCAUUGAUUAUUAGUGUUCCUUGAUGCAUGCACCUUGUUAAAUGUUGUCAUAAUAUAACAUAUUGUUUUCGACUUUUCGUGGCUCAUGUCCCCUUGAAAGACUUGUUGUGAUCUUAUUUAUAGUUUUAGAGAUAUAUGGUUGGAAGGAGUCAUAUGUUAUGGUUGUGAAGUGAAUGUAUGAGGUUAUUUUACUAACGAACGUGGAACCUUUGGGAAUAUUAACGGAGCAAACGCAGGAGGAAAGGAACCUUUUCGAUUUAGGAGAAAGUCGACGUCGGACGCGUUCGAUAAGGGAGCAGGAUCAGAGAAUGGACCAAGGAACUCUCCUCCUACUUACGGCCUGUGAUCUCUAACUCAAAUCUCAAAAGAGAGAGAGAAGAAACAGAAUAGCCCCCAAAACGCUUUCGUUUUGACGACACAUCAAAGUGGUCCUUUCCUUGCAUGCAGAGUGCGCGUGUAUGAGUUUGUUUUGUGUGUGUUGUGAAUACGUCUCUGUUUUUACUCUUUUGUUUUUGUACGUCAUCUCGUUUCUACGUGUCUGUACAUUUUUUGCUGCGAUGAUGAUAAUAAAAAUACAUAGAUGCUUAAUAUCAGUUCUUUUUAUCCGUUGAUCCAGUACACUCUUCAGUGUUCUUUGUGUGGACAUAACAGUCCCUUCGGAGGCAAUGUUCAUUUUCUAAAAGAAAAAAAUUAUAAUACUAAAUACUAAAAUAAAUUUCCACAAUGACUGCAGAAAAACACUUUAAACUUUUCCUGAAUUGACACAUUAUCCCCAAUCUAAAAUUUUAAAAACCUAAAUUGGAAAAAGAAGAAAUUGACAAAUGGCCAAGUGUGUUUAGUUGAGGAAGCUUGCAAGGCCUAUGAUGUGGAUAGUGUAAUAUAUAUAGAGAUAUAUGAGAUAACUUAUUUUGAACCAUACAAUAUUCUUUGGCAAAAUUAAGUUUAGUCUGACCAUUGCAUAGGUGAAGCAUCCUUCUUUACAACUAAAAUUAAAGGACCUUCUUCCUUAACACCUUACUAUCUUUUUGUGAGGCAAAGCUAAUAGUUUGAGGUUAAGGUGUUGAAUAACUUAGUAAGCUGUAAAUGGAUUAGACUCACCUGUCCUAUAAUAGCAGUAAUCAUUAAAUAAAUUCAGUUUCUUCCGGUCCAAGACAUAGAUUUGCUGAUAAGAUUAAGUAUUGUUCCAACUUAUAAAUGGGUGUUUACUUUUAUAUAUGAAUAAAUUGUAUCAGUAUUUCCUUUCCAGUCAGUGGGAAAAUUUAUGAAGUCACAAGAGAAAGAAAGAAAAAACAGUAACGCCAAUCGUUAGACAAACAAACAUUGGAAUAUAAACCUAUUCGAGGGAGAAGUAGGCCUUCCAUGUCAUCAGUUACCCCAUCUUCAUCGACAAACCUAAUUUUCUUACACUUGAAGCCUUCCAUGUUAUUAAUAUCAUAUCAUAUGAUUGUGUAUUUGUGUGCUACUGUAAUGUGAUGUUCAUAUGAUUGUAUGUGCGCUAGUGAGUUUGUUGACGAAAGGAGAAGCCUUUCUUACUCUGAGCUAUGGGCAGGACCUACUUAUUCCAACUCUCCUCCACCUACUUCUGUGCCCAUUCCUAAGUUCUCUCUCCGGCAAAGAAGGACGGUUUCUUUAACCUUUCCAUCUCCUGACUCUGCUGUUGAUGUUCUUGAAGUUGCUAAGUCUGCUCCUGUUUCUCCAACCUCAUCUUGUGACGACGACAACCCGUUCCACAGUACUGUCUCUGCUACUAUGACACUGCGCCGCAUGCUUAACCUUGAGACUGCUGACGAAUGAAGAUCAGGAGGGUUUAGGGGAACAUGGAUUAGUUUUAGUUUUCUGCACAUAGUAAUAAUAAGGUGUAAGUCACCAAGCUAGUUUAAAGAACACAGAGGCAGUCUUGACACAUAGCUGGUCAUCAGCUAUUGUGAGUAUAAACAUUCAGGAAACAGAUUGAAACUGCAUAAGGGAGAAGACUUGGUUCUUGGUUAGCAUUUAGCAGCAUAAAGGAUGGCUGGUGAUGCUUUGAGUAUUAGCAUUUGUUCUUUGUCCUUUGUAUAGUUUAUCUUUAGAGCUGUCUUUUUUUUUUCUUCCUUUGGCUUCUUUACUUAAGUGGGUUAGAUAGAAGCUAGGUUUAUGUGUCUACGCUCGAACGCCUCUUGGGAUCUUUGUCUUCUUACCUUUUCUCUCGUAUCUCUUCCCUUGUCCAUAUUUUUUCUAUUAAUCUUUUCUCUUCCGUCUAGUUCAUUUUGUUCAAGCCUUAGAGAUGUAAAUCUUACUACUUUGGUUAAGUGAUCUUCCUCUUCAGCUCUUUUCCUGAUUUUUUUUUUUGUAAAGGAAGAAGGGAAUAGGAAGUUCUAGUAACACUGAUGAGUUUCAUCCAUCUUGAUACCUGAAACACACUAAGUUUCCUUGGAGUUUCUUGAUCCUGCUUAAUCUGCUCACCAGGUAAAUUUUACAGCAAAAUCUCCCAACUAAUGAAUCUGGAUAUGUAGCUUUACACAAGUUUAUGACUUUGUAACAGGGACCUAUAGUAGCUGCUGCUCUGCUCUGCUUUAUUAUGGUUUCUUUGUCUCCUACUAUCUCUGGUUAUGUUUGUUACGCAGUGAUAACUAUUUUCUGCAGUUAAAAAAAAAAAAAACUAUUUUCUGUGUUUGGAACUGUUGUGUGAAGCUUUUUACAAACGUAUGUUUCUUCUUGUCUUUUAGUAGUUUGUGACAGUAGUAGACGUUUUGAGUUUUAAUGUUGAAGAGAAAUGUAUCCCUUGUUCCCUAAAUUAUUAUCAUUCUGUAUAUUUUGAACUUUUAUUUAUUUUUGUAGUGAGAUUUGGCGACUGUACUUGUAGAUUAAAGGCUGUUUUGGGUGUCAAACCAUAUCUGAAAGAUUGAAGCUCAAAUGGGCGUAUGUAGAGUUAAUACAACCAACAUAUGAAUUGAUAAAGCAUUUUACACAACUAAAAAAUCAAACUAUUAAUUAAAAUUUGUUGUUCAUUUUAGGAUUUAUCCAAUUUUCAAUUAUUAAAGAUUACAAACGGACACAAUGAAUUUCCUGAGAAGUAUCUAUCUCUCCUAAUCAUGUACUCUCUUAGUUCCAAAAGAUGUAUGUUUUUUUCUAUAUGGAUUUACCUUUUUAAUUUCAAAUAUAUCCACGUCUAACUAAUGGAAGAUGUCGAUGGUUUCAUCAUAAUUCGAUGGUGAACCAUUCGAUUAAUAUUUUGCCAUAAAGGGUUGGUAUUUGCCGACACUACAAGAAUUUUAAAUUUGGAUAUAAUUUAUCUUGUUUGAGAGUUUGCCAUUAGUCAAACACUCAAAUCAUACUAUUUAUUACGGUAUUAUACUAAAUCUAGAAAGUAUACAAUAAAAUCUGGAAAUUGAUAAACAAGAAACAGAAGAUUAAGGUACACUAAAAGCUAAAGAUUGGAAAAUUAAAGGACCAUCGAAACUAAUUGUUAUUGUAAUUUAUCAAAAAAAAAAAACUAAUUGUUAUUGUUUAGUGUGGAGAUCUCUUGAAAAAAGAAGAGAGGCCAUAGUGCUGGUUACUGUUGAGUGUUGAGAUCUUCACCAAAAGAGAAAAAGGAUAUGAGAAAAAAAAAAAAGAAAAAACUUUCCCUUGUACCAAUGAAACAAAACAGGUCUGAGUACUGAAAAAGUGUGAAUUUGGAAAUCUAUUUCCCACUCCCUUUCACUUCGAUCUCCUUAAGCUCAAACUUGAAAUAAUCCUCCCACUCUCUCUCUCUCUUUCUCUAGGCCUUCCUCUUUCGCCAUUUCGAAAUUGCAGAAACUCGCGCAACUCCGGGGGGUUCUCUUACUCAACUCUCUUCUCUUGUCUCACUGGUUAAAGACUCUCACUUUCUGAUGCCCUAGCCUUCGUAGAUUUGUGGGUUUCUCUUUGACUUUUCUGGGUUUGCUUCAGUUCUCCUGGAGGGAGCCACUAAGAUUAUGCUGCAAGAUUAGGGUUUUCUCGAGAAAGCUGUAAUCUUUGUGCUCUACACUUAAUGGGUAUCUGUUCUUUGGCGAUUUCGAUUGAGUUUUGUGCUUUAGAAAUGAUUUAGCUUUAGGUGUUGGAAGAUCUUGUAAUUCAAAGUUUAGAUUUUUUUUUAGCUUUAGGGUGUGUGUACUGUGAAAUAGAGAAGAAAGUAGUGUAUUGAUUAUCCUCUGGCUAUCCUGGAGAUCUGGGAUUUGUUUCAUCUCUUAUGUCAGAUGAGGACUUUUUACCCAUCUGAUUCUUGUAGUAAAGAAUCACAUCUCAAUUCCUUGAAUCCACAGUCAUGGCUUCAAGUUGAGAGAGGGAAGCUAUCUUCCUCUGCUUCUUCUUCUGCGUAAGUUUCUCUCUCUUUCCUCCUGCUGCUUUCAUUUGGUUAUCUUUAAGCGAUGGAGUUAACCCUUUGCUUUCUUUUGUAGUCCAUUGUGCAGAGAAUCCUUCAUCAAAGUCCCUGAGCCGCAGAUACUGCCUCACUAUAAGCCUCUUGACUAUGUAGAAGUUCUUUCUCAGAUUCAUGAAGAACUUGAGUCUUGCUCUUUAGAGGACAGAUCGAGUCUCUAUCUGUUGCAGUAUCAAGUCUUUAGAGGUCUUGGAGAGACCAAACUCGGACAGAGAAGCCUUAGAUCAGCUUGGCAAGAAGCUACAACUGUCCACGAGAAAGUUGUGUUUGGGUCUUGGUUAAGGUACGAGAAACAAGGAGAGGAAGUCAUCGCCGAGUUGCUUUCUUCUUGCGGUAAGUAUUCAGAAGAGUUUGUGCCGUUGGAUAUUGCAUCUUAUCUCCCGGUUACUUCCCCUGAGGCAGCAUCUGUGAAGGUGAAGCGCCACAUUUCAAGAAACGUUGUGUUUAAGAUAGAACAAGAGAGAAUAGCUUGUGACAGAAGGAAGAUUGCUAGCCUUUCGGCUCCUUUCCACGCCAUGCUCUAUGGGAGCUUCACGGAGUCGCUUCUUGAUGAGAUAGACAUGUCAGAGAACCAUGUAUCCCCCUCAGCUAUGCGUGUUGUAAGAGACUUCAGCGUUGCUAAUGUUCUAAUCGGAGUCUCCAAGAAUCUUUUAAUAGAAGUUUUGGUCUUUGCUAACAAGUUCUGCUGCGAGAGACUCAAAGACGCUUGCGACAGAGAGCUAGCUUCUCUGGUCUCCUCCAUGGAAUGUGCCGUUGAGCUAAUGGACUUUGCGUUAGAAGAGAGCUCCCCGAUCUUAGCUGCGUCGUGUCUGCAAGUGUUCCUUUACGAGUUGCCUGAAAGUUUAACUGAUGAGCGUGUUGUCGAGGCGUUGACUCGUGUCAACAGAUCUCAAGUCUCAACCAUGGCAGGGAAAGCUUCAUUCUCUUUAUACUCUUGUCUAACCGAAGUCUCCAUGCGUUUAGAUCCUCGUUCCGACAGAACAUUGUCUUUCUUGGAGAAAGUGGUUGACUUUGCGGAGAGUGAUCGGCAGAGAAUGUUGGGGUUUCAUCGUUUAGGUUGCACAAGGCUGUUGAGGAAAGAGUACCGUGAAGCAGAAGAAGCAUUCGAAACCGCGUUUAAUCUAGGCCAUGUGUAUUCAGCAACUGGAUUAGCGAGAAUAGGUUACAUCCAAGGCCAUAAGCUUUGGGGCUACGAGAAGCUAACCUCUGUGAUCUCCUCCGUUUCACCUCCUCUCGGAUGGAUGUAUCAAGAAAGGUCUUUAUACUGUGAAGGCGAUAAGAAACUCGAGGAUCUUGAAAAAGCAACUGAGCUGGACCCGACUCUGACGUAUCCUUACAUGUAUAGAGCUGUCAAGUUAAUGUCUGAACAAAACGCUGAGGCUGCGCUCGAGGAGAUCAACAGGAUCUUGGGGUUUAAGCUCGCGUUGGAGUGCUUGGAGAUCAGGUUUUGUCUUUAUCUCGGUAUGGAUGACUAUGAAGCUGCGCUUCGUGAUAUCCAGGCUGCUCUUACUUUGUGUCCGGACUACAGAAUGUUUGAUGGGAAAGUAGCUGCGAGGCAGCUGAGGACGCUGGUCUAUGAGCAUGUGGAGAGCUGGACGACGGCGGAUUGUUGGAUGCAGCUUUAUGAGAAAUGGUCUAACGUUGAUGAUAUUGGUUCUCUUUCUGUGAUCUAUCAGAUGCUUGAAGCUGAUGCUUGUAAAGGUGUUCUCUACUUCAGGCAAUCUUUGCUUCUCCUAAGGUAAACUAAGUUCUCAAUCAGUUUCAUCCUAAGGUGGUAACCAUGAUUCUAAAAACUGGUCUAUGCAUUAUUUUCUUAAAUCCGUUUUAUACUACUCAAAUCAGUUUAAACCAUUAUAAAUCAAUUUAAAAUAGUUUAAAUAUGUUAAAUUAAGUAAUAAUGUUAGUACAAAUCCACAAAUUGGUCUAAUUUAUUUUGUUUUGUACAACUAAUUUUGAUAAUUCAUCAAAAUAAUCUUAGAAUUAAAUCCAAAAACUAAAAUAUAUUUUCUCUAACAUUUGUGGUAACUGAGCAUCUCAUGUUCUUUUGACCAGGUUGAAAUGUCCUGAAGCAGCAAUGCGUAGCUUACAGUUAGCUCGAGAGCACGCCUCUAGUGACCAUGAACGUCUGGUGUAUGAAGGGUGGAUCUUAUAUGACACUGGUCACUGUGAAGAAGGGCUUCAAAAGGCUAAAGAGUCCAUAAGAAUCAAGAGAUCAUUCGAAGCCUACUUCCUCCAAGCUUAUGCCUUAGCAGAGUCUAGCCUUGAUCCGUCUAGUUCUUCAACCGUUGUUUCUCUUCUUGAAGACGCUCUUAAAUGCCCCUCUGAUAGGUUGCGGAAAGGCCAGGUACGCCUCGUUCACCACCACAUAGUCAGGACCAGGCUAUAAGAUAAUUUAAUAAGAAUUUAUAUAAUUUUUUUAUAAAAAAUUUAGAGGUCUCUCUCUAUACAUGUAAAUUUUUCUUAGAAUUUUGGGGAUCUAGGCUAAUGUUUCAUUAGUCUAUGUUCAGGUCCUGCACUUACUGCACUUAGUACGGAUUCAGAGUUGCUUUAUAUUGUUUGUUUUGUUUCUAGGCUCUAAACAAUCUUGGGAGUGUGUAUGUGGAUUGUGAGAAGCUAGACUUAGCUGCAGAUUGUUACAUAAACGCUUUGAAAGUGAGGCACACACGUGCGCACCAAGGCCUAGCUCGAGUCCAUUUCCUUAGAAACGACAAAGCUGCUGCCUAUGAAGAAAUGACCAGACUUAUCGAAAAGGCUCAGAACAAUGCAUCUGCUUACGAGAAAAGAUCAGAGUACUGCGACCGUGAACUCGCCAAGUCUGAUCUUGAAAUGGUCACACGGUUAGACCCUCUCAGGGUUUAUCCUUACCGUUACCGAGCCGCAGGUUUGUCUUUAACUCAGCUCGUACGCUCUGUUUGUUGUUUGGUCAUCUUGCUGAUAGUGUUUGGUGUUUGAUAGUGUUGAUGGAUAGUCGGAAGGAGAAAGAGGCAUUGAGGAGUUAUCACGAGCUAUUGCCUUCAAAGCUGAUCUCCAUCUACUUCACUUAAGGGCGGCUUUCCAUGAGCACAAUGGUGAUGUUAGUAGUGCGUUGCGGGACUGUCGUGCGGCGCUCUCGGUUGAUCCUAACCAUCAAGAGAUGCUCGAGCUUCAUAGCCGUGUUAAUAGCCAUGAACCUUGAGUGUCAAGAAAGCUUGAGAUGAUGGUAAAGUGUGAACAGAUUUGUAUUCAUAGUUGUAAACUUAUAUUCUCUCGUUACUCUUUAUUUAUUUUUGUUAUUGUUUUCCUUAAAAUCGGUAUUAAAUUUUCAACCUAUCAUCUUAAACUUCAAAUUUCUGUGGCCUAAAAAUGUGAAAACAAAAGUACAAACAAUGUGAUAGACAGAAAAGUAAAAGUAAAAACAUCGGAUUUAGCUUUACAAAAUCGAUGCCAAUUUAUCAUAAUUUGACUCCUAUUAUUUAAAUCUAUAAGCCAUAUUUUGUCAAAAAUACAAGUGUAUUUUUAGCAAUGGUAUCUCUCCGUAUAUGUAUAAUCUUUUGUAAAUAUUUUAUAAAUUCAAUAAUGUUGAAAUUUUAACAAUUGAUUAAUUUAUAGAAAACUUGUUAAUUAAUAAAAUAAUAUUUAUUAAUUUUAUAGAGAAAAGUCUUUUAGUUUAUAAUUUUAUGAAAAAUUAAAGAACUUAUUUCUAAAAAUAUUUAGACAAAAUUAAAAUAAUAUUAGCGAUUAUAAUAUAGUAAAUUUCUAUGGCAUAUUGGACUAUCUAGAUGACAUAAUCCUAAGUUCAAAACUUUAAAUCACGGUCUCAAAUAUUUAUGAAGUUGAAAAUGAUACAAUAAUAUGUUUUCGGAUAAUUAAGAGCAAAAACUCAAUUAUAUAAUAUGUGUUGAUAUGGGUUUCAAUAACAUUUUAACUUCAAUAAACAAAAAAAACUUGAGUUAUAUUUUAGUAUACUAUGUUAAGUUAUAUUUUUUUUUCUUUCAAAUCUCUCACAUCUAAAAUAAUAAAAAUUAGAAAAAGACAAAGAUAUAUAGGAAAAGACUGAAAGAUACAUAGAUGAGCAUUUCUAAUAAAAAUAUUUAAAAUAUAUAGAAAAUUAUUAAUAUUUAAAUUAUAUGAGUUUUUUUGAAAAAUGCAUACAAUAUUUUCUCAAGUUAGAUAUUUUAAAGAUUUUAGUGUAGAUUUUUAAAAAUUUAGAAGAUUCAUCCAAUUAAAUAUUGGUAUAAUAGUUUUAUUUCAUUUCAAUUUUAAAUACUCAUGUAAGAAGUUAUUCCUAUUAAAAAUGCUCCCAAAAAGGAAAAUAAACGGUGUUUGACUGUUUUCCUUGUCUUUUUGUUUUUUUGUUCUUGUCACGGAAUCUUAAAUUUACAGAAAAGAACAUUAUCUAUUUUUAGGGAAAUGAAAAUAAAGAAAAUAGCGUGAGUGAGGGAGAGAAAGUGAGAAGACUUUGACUUUGUUUUGAAGCGAGAAACAAGGCGCGGAGAAAUGAAGACGAUGAGAAACAGCUGCUGAAACAUAUCACACACCCAAAUUGCAGAAAAAAAAAUGUUCUUAAUCUUAAUCCACCAAUGAAAUAGUUUUUUUCUUUUGUUCCUCGUUAAAAUUAUUCAAAAAUAAAAUCUCGAUUUUUCGUGUCACCUCUCAAGAUCUGUUUCCUUAAUUAUGAGAUUAAAGGAUAAAUCAAAUUCGAAGCGUUGUUGUUCGAAUCGAUAAUCGCAAUUGGGGGUAUCAGAUCGAAGAAUCGGUUCUGAGCAACGUCGUCUCGAAACGGUGGAACGAUGAACUGGGGAACAUUGCUCAAGGACUUCAAGGAUAAGGUCGGGUUAGCUGACGGCACAACCGCCGGAGACGCUUCCCGUGACCUCAUCCCUCCGCCGUCGUCUCCACCAUCGCCUUCCUCGUCCUCGAGCUACGCCGCGUCUCCUCAACGUGACCUCACUUUAUUAUCUCCCACAAGGUAGGCAAUGAAUUGAUUAAUGUUGGCAUAAGCAGUCAAUCAAUGAGUCACUUGUUUAAUUUAAUAGCCGAGAGAGAUAUAACUUGGAGCUGGAGUUUAGGAGAUACUGGGAAGAGUUCUCUUCCUCCACCUCCGAACAGGUUCGUGCUUUUAUCAUUUGUUCAUUGAUGAUAAUCAUUUAAUUUAUAUAUUGUCACACCAGGAGAAAGAAGCAGCCUUGACUAUGACUGUGAAUACGUUUUGUACCAUAGCGAAGCAGCAUGCCAACAUAGAUCAUUUAGUUACCAUGUAAGCCACCCUCCCCUUUUCUAUCUCUAUGGAUUCAUAUUUUUUAUUCAUAUUGAGCUAUUUGCAGGUUAGUAGAAAUACAUGUAUUCUCCUUUGUCAUUGGGAGAGCAUUUGUGACAGAUAUUGAGAAGUUAAAGAUUAGCAGCAAGACAAGGUCAUUGGAUGUAGAGAAAGUUAUUAAGUUUUUUUCUCAAGUCACCGAGGUUUGCCUCUCCUUGUGAGUAUUAGUGAAUCAGGACAUGUUACCUUCUCUUCUAUUUUAAUCCAUGAUUUUGUUUUUUUUUUCCUGCAGGAAGGUAUAAGUCACGGUGAAAACCUUUUAACUGCUGUUGAAGUCCUUGUAUCUGGGGUACCCUUUUUUACUUUUACUUGUCUUCCUUCUCUUGACCGAAUGAUUGACAACACUUAACUAUGAGUUUUAAGUUUUAGUUGUUUACCAAAAAAAAAAAAAAACUACUCGAGUUUCAAUAUUUGAUAGCUAACUGGUAGUUACCCUCACCAAUUUUGGAGGACGUGGGAAAUAUUUUAGGGUGCUGACUCUUUUAUGGUUUGAAUGCUAUAGACUGUAUUGGUUUAUAUACUCAACCUUUCAUGUGUUUUCUUUUUAGAACAUUGACAAACAAUCUCUACUGGAUUCUGGGAUAUUGGGUUGUCUUAUACACACGCUCAACGCGCUUCUGAUGUAUAGUGUAGCCAGUGAAGGUGAAAAAUCUGUUAGCUUGGAAGAAAAGGUAAAUAUGGCAGAUGUAGUACUCUUUAAGCUAGUCACUUGACGUUCUAUUUCAAUGGUUUUCAAUACAAAUCUGACAUAAGUGUUUCAUCCUUGGUACUGGCCAAAGUGUUUACUCUGCAAUGCCUUAUCUUUGAGACUUUUAACGCAUCCUCAUUCUUGCAGGUGGAGGAAAGCGUUAUCCAUAUCAUGAAAGCACUGGCAAGCCAUCCUUAUGCUGCACAGAGUUUGAUUGAAGAUGACUCCCUUCGGUUGCUUUUCAAAAUGGUUGCCAAUGGUUCCGUUGUGGCUUUCUCUCAAUACAAAGAAGGUCUAGUUUCAUCCCGUAACAUACAGCUUCAAAGACAUGCAAUGCAGGUAAUUUGUUGCUCCCCUGUUCUAAAAAUUGGGCAAUGUGUUUUGAAGCUGAAACAGCUGCGAACUGCACUUUAGUAUGAUCUUUGAAAUUUGAGCGGAUGUUGUGAUGCUGAAAGUUUCAUUAUUGAUUCCCUUUGGUGUCUCGUUCAGAUUCUUGGGCAGCUUCUUGUCAAUGAUAAUGGGAGCACAGCAAGCUACAUACGCAAACACUAUCUGGUAUGCCAGUGGAUUCUGUAGAUAGCCUCUAUGUGGUAUACCGGUUCUUGUAUCAUGUAUCGUAAGAUGUAACCCUGAACAUAGGCCAAUCAUAUCGAGCUUAUCUUCAAACUAUCUGAGGUCUCUGUGAUAAGAAAUUUGGUUAUCAGGAGAAUUUAGUGAAUUUUACUAGUAGAGCCUGAGACUCAAACUAAUGAUAAGUAUUGGUUUUGUGCAUAUACUUUAGUUUGCAAUCUUGGCAGUGCCCUAUAUAUCUGCAGUCUGGUAUUUAAGAAGGUCUCUUUUGUGUGCUUAUAGUUAUUUUACCAUUCCACAAUAUUCCUUUUCUUAAAUUAAGGUGUUUAUAUGAAUGCGUGUCCUUGUUUUUUCUGUGAACUUUAAGAUGAAGGAGAUCAGUAAAAAGUGUCACUGGUAGAUCUUGUAACUAAGUACCACUUUUUGGAUUCUGUUUAGUGUGAAAAAGUGGGCGUAUGAAACGUUGCUUUCCUGAUUUUAAUUUUGCUUGCUCUAUUUUACGUCUUCGGAAGUAAUUCUUUGGCUAAAUUCUCCUGCAGGUAAAGGCUCUCCUAAUGGCUAUCAAAGAUUUUGAUCCAGAUUGUGGGGACUCAGCCUAUACAAUGGGCAUUGUGGAUUUGUUACUUGAAUGUGUGGAACUAUCGUACAGACCUGGUAAUUUGGCUUAGAGAAAUACACAAGAACUCAAAAUAUGUCAAUGCCUGUGGAAAAUGUAGCUGGAUAGUAUAAACAUUAGGCAGUCAUCUUCUUGCUUGUGGAUUUUGUAUAACGGCUCUGAGUAUGGUUGCUGAUCUUUUUCAAAUUUGAAUAUGUAGAAAAUGGUGGGGUCAGGCUAAAGGAGGACAUACGAAAUGCACACGGUUACCAUUUUCUUGUACAGUUUGCCCUGGUUCUAUCUUCCAUGCCGAAAAAUAUGGUUUCUGCCUCCAGUCAUUUAUCUCAACACCAAAAUAGUGGGUUGGAUGACUCUGAACUACAGUCACCCCAUUCAGUGAAUAGUAGGCAAAAUGAUGAGUUUGGAUCACAAAGUUUCUCCCCUUCACUAUCAAGAUUGCUUGAUGUUCUUGUCACCUUGGCGCAGACUGGUCCCAUUGAGUUAUCUGGAGGAAGUACCUCACUACUGCCUCAAACAAACCCCACUGGGUAUGAUGAAACAUGGGAACAAGGAAGUGGUAAAGUAAAAGACCUUGAAGCUGUCCAAAUGUUGCAAGACAUCUUUCUGAAAGCAGAAAACAAGGAUCUUCAGGCUGAAGUGUUGAACCGAAUGUUUAAGAUAUUCUCAAGCCAUAUGGAAAACUAUAAAAUGUGCCAAGAAUUAAGGACUGUUCCACUUCUCGUGCUGAACAUGGGUGAAUUUCCUUCCUCACUGCAAGAGAUAAUCCUCAAAAUUCUUGAAUAUGCUGUCACAGUUGUAAAUUGUGUUCCAGAGCAAGAGCUGUUGUCACUUUGUUUCUUGCUUCAACAGCCAAUCAAUUCCGAGUUGAAACAUACCAUACUUUCGUUCUUUGUAAAGCUGACAUCUUUUGAUGUGCAGUACAAGAAAGUCCUAUGUGAAGUUGGUGUUUUGGAAGUCUUACAAGAUGAGCUGAGGCAGCACAAGCUUCUCAUGGGUCCAGAUCUGUAUAGUGGUGUUUCCAAUCAUUUGAAUCGGUUACCUAGUUCGCCUAGCUUCAAACAACACCUAGAUAAUAAGGAUGCCAUCAUUUCAUCACCAAAGCUAAUAGAAUCUGGUUCAGGAAUGUUACCUAUCUUUGAAGUUGAAAGCACUAUAACGGUUGGUUGGGAGUGUAUGGUCUCUUUACUAAAGAAAUCUGAAGCUAAUCAGGAAGCUUUUCGUUCUGCCAAUGGUGUGGCCGUUAUUCUUCCAUUGUUGAUCUCUGAUGACCAUCGUACUGGCGUUUUGAGAAUUUUGUCAUGCUUAAUCACGGAAGACGCUAAUCAGGUAAGUUUACAUUACAGUAAAAUGUAUCUUGAUUAUUCCUGUUUUACCGUUUAUCUGAUGAAUUAAUCAAAUGAGUUAUAUUAGUUUGGCUAGGUGUUUUAUUCUUUAGAUUAUGCCGCCACUAGUGAGGUUUCUGUUGUUUCGGUAUCAGAAAUCCUCUGGUGUCUUGUAAAGAGUAACUCGUAUCUUACCAUCCAAUCAGGUCCAUCAUGAAGAGUUACAUGCUGUUAUCGACGUGUUGAAGAGUGGAGUGGUCACUGGAAUCUCUGGGCAUCAAUACAAGCUUCAUCACGAAGCCAUAUGUGAUACCAUGGGUUCUCUGUGGCGUAUUCUUGCGGUUAAUGGCUCUGCUCAAAGAGUGUUUGGUGAAUCCACUGGUUUCUCUCUUCUACUGACCACCCUUCACACGUCCCCGGAAGAAGCAUGCAGGGAUGAGUCUCAUUUGAUGGUUCACAUCAAAUUGUUCAAACAUGUAUUGCGCCUCAUGACAUCUGCAGUGUGUGAGAAUGCUGUGAAUAGGAUGAAACUGCACAAUGUCAUUAUAUCUCAGACAUUUUAUGAUAUUUUCGUGGAGUCAGGUUUGAUGUGUGUUGAUCUGGAAAGACAGGUGAUACAACUGUUGUUAGAACUUGCACUUGAAGUUUUGCUUCCACCUUUUUUGACAUCAGAAUCUAUGGCCUCACCUGAGAUGGCAGAAAGUGAAAAAGCUAGCUUUCUUGUAAAAACCCCAUCUGGGCAAUUUAGUCCUGACAAGCAGAGGAUAUAUAAUGCAGGUGCUAUCAGAGUUCUGAUCCGUUCACUGUUGUUUUUUAGUCCAAAAAUCCAGUUGGAAUUUCUGAAUCUUCUGGAAAGGCUUGCACGUGCCACCCCAUUCAACCAGGAAAAUCUCACGUCAGCUGGUAAGGUCUUAUGUCUUAGAGUUCCUUGGGCUUAUAUUGUAAUUAGCUAAGUCAACUUUUAAAUCUUGUUGUGCACUCUUGUCGUCUUUACCUGUGAUAUGAAUUAUUAUUGAGCAGGUUGCGUGGAACUUCUGCUGGAGAUUAUCCACCCAUUUCUUCCGGGUUCAUCUCCAUUUCUUUCUCAUGUUUUAAAGAUUGUUGAAGUUCUUGGGGCGUAUAGGUAGUUAACAUAGCUAAAAUCUAAUACAUAGUCUUAAUGUGACUAAAUUUGUUUCGAGGCUGAUCUUAUUCGGUGUUAUUCUGGUGCAGAUUGUCCCCUUCUGAGCUCAAAAUGCUUUGUAGAUAUGGUCUGCAAAUGAGGGUUAAGAAUUCAGGUCAGGCGAUAGUUGGUAUGAUGGAAAAGCUAAUUCUCAUGGAAGACACAGGAUUGGAACAUGUUUCGCUGGCUCCUUUUGUAGAGAUGGACAUGAAAAAAACUGGGCAUGCUUCUGUUCAGGUGUCCCUGGGAGAAAGAUCUUGGCCUCCUGCUGCUGGUUAUUCAUUUGUUUGUUGGUUCCAGUCUCGUAAUUUUUUUGCAACCCAAGGAAAAGCAGCAGGAGAGUAUGAAGCUGGUGGUUCAUCAAAGACGCAGGUUUUGAGUGGGCAGCAAAGUGAACAAAAUGUUUUCCGGAUAUUUUCUAUCGGUGCAAGUAACGAAAGUCCAUUCUAUGCGGAACUUUAUUUUCAAGAGGAUGAUAUUCUGACCCUUGCCACUAGCAGUUCAAAUUCUUUGUCAUUUUCUGGAUUGGAAAUUGAGGAGGGCAAGUGGCAUCACCUUGCUGUUGUCCAUAGUAAGCCUAAUGCUCUUGCCGGACUCUUCCAAGCUAGCAUCGCAUAUGUUUACAUUGACGGAAAACUAAGGCACAUGGGUAAAUUGGGUUAUUCUCCUUCACCUGUUGGAAAAUCAUUGCAAGUAACAAUUGGAACUCCAGCUACUUGUGCCAGGGUAAGCGAUUUGACGUGGAAAAUACGCUCAUGCUAUCUUUUCGAGGAGGUGCUUUCAUCAGGCUGCAUUGGUUUCAUGUAUAUUCUCGGUAGAGGGUAUAAAGGUCUCUUUCAGGAUGCAUAUCUCUUACGUUUCAUGCCUAAUCAGGCUUGUGGUGGGGGCAGCAUGGCUAUCCUUGACUCGUUAGUCACUGACAUGUUGUCAUCGUCCAAUAGCCAAAAAUUUGAGGAAAGUAACAGACAAGGGGAUUCCAAGGCAGAUGGUAGUGGGAUUGUAUGGGAUCUCGAGAGGUUAGGAAAUCUUUCUUAUCAGUUAGCUGGUAAGAAACUUAUUUUUUCAUUUGAUGGAACAUGCUCAGAGUUCAUGCACGCGGCUGGAAAUUUUAUCCUCCUCAAUUUGGUUGACCCAUUGUCCGCUGCUGCUUCUCCUAUUGGAGGUAUACAAUGAUCCCAUAUAACUGUAGUUUAUAUUUUACAUUUUUCCGUUUUAGUCUCAGUUGUGUUUCAUUCUACGUUUCUCAAUUAUAUAGGAAUACCUCGUUUUGGGCGCCUGGUGGGAAAUGCAAGUAUCUGCAGACAAAAUGUGAUUGGCAACACUAUCCGCCAUGUGGGAGGAAUGGCUGUUGUAAUUGCACUUGUUGAGGCUGCCGAAUCUAGAGAUAUGUUACAUAUGGCUCUUUCAUUGCUUGCCUGUGCCCUUCAUCAGAAUUCACAGAAUGUGAAGGAUAUGGAAACAUACAAGGGCUAUCAUUUACUAGCUCUGUUUUUACGUCCCAAGAUGGCGCUUUUUGACAUGCAAUGUUUGGAGGUAUUUUUCCAGAUUUCUGCAUGCGAAGCGUUCUUUUCAGAGCCAAAAAAAUUGGAGAGGGGACAGAGUACCAUUAGCAUGUCACCUACGAAGAAUAUACCUGAAAACAACUAUGAGGAUAUUAGUGUGUCAAAGUUUCAAUAUGAAACUUCUUCAGUUGGAUCUCAUGGAUAUAUGGAUGAUUUUUCAGGGCCCAAAGAUUCUUUUAGUCAGUUAUCUGAGCUAGAAAUUGGAGAUAUUCCUGUUGAAACUUCAAACUGCAUCGUCUUAUCUAAUGCAGACAUGGUGGAACAUGUACUCCUGGACUGGACUCUCUGGGUGACAGCCCCUGUUUCCAUCCAGAUCGCCUUACUUGGUUUUCUGGAGAAUCUGGUCUCAAUGCUUCGGUACAGGAGUCACAAUCUUACAAUCCUGCGCCGAAUCAACCUGGUAGAACAGUUGUUAGUAACACUUCAACGAGGGGAUGUGGAAGUUCUUGUCCUAGAAAAAAUAGUUGUUCUUCUUGGAUGCAUCUUAGAAGAUAGAUUCCUUACUUCUGAGCUUGAAAAUGUGGUUAGGUUUGUGAUUAUGACAUUUAAUCCACCUGAAAUAAAGUCUCGAAACUCACCAAGGCGAGAGUCAAUGGGAAAGCAUGUAAUUGUGAGAAACUUGCUUUUGGAAAUGCUUAUUGAUCUCCAGGUAACCAUAAAAGCAGAAGAACUGUUGGAGCAGUGGCAUAAGAUGGUCUCAUCAAAAUUAAUAACGUACUUCCUCGAUGAAGCUGUGCAUCCUACUAGUAUGAGAUGGAUCAUGACUCUACUCGGUGUUUGUCUCACUUCUUCCCCAAACUUUUCUCUUAAGUUUGUUACAAAUGGAGGUUAUCAGGGGCUAACACGGGUACUUCAAAGCUUUUAUGAUUCCCCAGACAUAUAUUACAUUUUGUUCUGCUUGAUAUUUGGGAAACCUGUUUAUCCAAGACUACCCGAGGUCCGGAUGUUGGACUUCCAUGCACUAGUGCCGAAUGAUGGAAGCCGUGUAGAGUUGAAGUUUUUAGAUCUGUUGGAUUCAGUGGUUGCCAUGGCUAAAUCUACUUUUGACAGAUUGAUCAUGCAAUCAAUGAUUGCCCACCACUCUGGAAACCUUUCCCAGGCGAGCGCUAGCUUUGUAGCUAAGCUUGUCGAGGGAAAUGUCGAUAUGACAGGGGAGCUUCAAGGAGAUGCUUUAAUGCAUAAAACAUACGCGGCACGGUUGAUGGGUGGCGAAGCAUCAGCUCCUGCUACUGCGACAUCUAUUAUCCGUUUCAUGGUUGAUCUUGCAAAGAUGUGCCCUCCAUUUUCAGCUGUUUGCAGAAGCGCAGAAUUUCUCCAACAUUGUGCUGAUCUUUACUUUUCAUGUGUCAGGUUUGCAUCACGUGCCUAUUAAGUAUAUAUAUAUAUUGAGUACCAUGUAAUUAACGUAGAUGUUUACACACAUUUGUUAUUCCGGAUUCAAAUUAUGUUUCUCCAUCCCGAUUUAUGACAUAGAUGCAACAGAUACAGGAUUUUGUUUUUUGGUGUUGUAGUUAGAUAUGACCUGAAAGAUAUUUUGCAAAUUUUGACCAAAAGUUGGGUUGUGUUGUAGGGCUGCUCAUGCUGUGAAGAUGGCCAAACAGCUCUCAAUGAAAACAGAGGAGCAGUGUAUAAGUGGUGGGGAUGAUAGCAGCGCACAAGGCGUUUUCUCUAACUUGCCUCAAGACCUGGACCAAUCCACAAAAACCUCCAUCAGUGCUGAAAGCUACCCUCAAGAGCAGGUCAGUGUGAGUUCUGAAGGCAUGCCUUUACCUUCAGAUUAUGUGGUUACUGAUAAGGUGGAGAAGAUUCUUACAACACCGUCAGGGGCUUCAGCAAAAUCAUUUCAAGAUCGUGAGUAUGUUAAGAAACUGGAUGGUGAUCGUGUUAGCCCUGUAUCAGCUUCCAGUGAACUGGAAUUUCGAGACUGUAAAGGUAAAUCAAGUCAAAUUCAGCCAACAGAUUCUCAGAGUUCUGAAUCCUUCUCGAUGCUGGAGUCUCCCGUUGUAUCUGAAAAAUCAAGUCGCAAAGGUCCAUUCACUUCUUCGCCAUCUCCGCUUCCAUCGCAUAUCUCAGUUAGUGAGUUUGAUGCAUCUUCAGAUCACAAGUCAGGUUCACAAGGUUUAUCUGCUGCCCAUACAUUGUUUAAAAUUAGCCCAAAACUUCUCCUCGAAACUGAUGAAUCGGGGUAUGGUGGUGGGCCGUGUUCUGCCGGAGCAAGUGCGGUGCUGGAUUUUAUGGCAGAGAUAUGUGCCGACUUAAUGACUGAGCAGAUGAAAGCGGUACAGACUUUGGAAAGCAUUUUAGAAAUGAUUCCUUUAUAUGUGGAUCCUGAAUGUGUUCUAGUAUUCCAAGGCUUAUGCCUUAGCAGAGUCAUGAACUAUCUUGAGAGGCGUCUCGUGCGUGAUGAUGAAGAGGAUGACAAAAAACUAGACAAAAGAAAAUGGUCUGCAAACUUGGAUGCAUUUUGCUGGAUGAUUGUGGAUCGUGUCUAUAUGGGCGCUUUUCCUCUGCCAACUGGAGUCCUUAGAACCCUCGAGUUCUUGUUAUCAAUCCUGCAAUUAGCUAACAAAGAUGGUAGGGUUGAAGAAUUCACUUCUUCAGGAAAAGGUCUGUUAUCCAUUGGAAGAGCAACCAAGCAACUAGAUGCAUAUGUUCACUCAAUCCUGAAGAACACAAAUAGAGCAAUACUGUAUUGCUUCCUACCAUCGUUCUUGACAACUAUUGGAGAGAAGAACCUGCUUUCACGUCUGGGCUUGCUUGUUGAAUCUAACGAGAGGCACCCCUCAGAUGAGGAAUCUGGAAUUGAUAUCUCAACAGUUCUUCAGUUGUUGGUUGCAAACAAGAAUAUCAUAUUAUGCCCAAGCAAUCUUGACACAGAUUUGAAUUGCUGUCUGUGUGUGAAUUUAAUCUCUCUGCUCCAUGACCAGAGGAAGAAUGUGCAAAACAUGGCAUCUAACAUUGUCAAACAUAUGCUGGUUCACCGAAGGUCUGCUUCUGAGGAUUUGCUUGUCAGAAAACCACAUCGAGGACAAACCCUCGAUGUACUACACGGAGGUUUUGAUAGAUUGCUGACUGGAAAUCUUCCAGAAUUUUCUAAGUGGCUUGAGAGCUCAGAAGAAACUGUAAAGAAAGUAUUGGAUCAUGGUGCUGUGGUUAUGUGGACUCAGUACAUAGCUGGCUCGGCAAAAUUUCCUGAUGUUAGGAUGAAAGGCAUGGAUGGCCGCCGUACGAGAGAGAUGGGAAGAAAAUCACGAGAUAUUUCUAAGUUAGACGUGAAACGCUGGGAGCAGUUAAAUGAGCGAAGACAUGCACUUGACAUAGUGCGUGAUACAAUGUCCACUGAGCUUAGAAUUGUCCGGCAAAACAAAUAUGGUUCGAUACUUCAUGCCGAGAGUGAGUGGCAAAAUCAUCUCCAACAGCUUAUACACGAGCGUGGUAUAUUCCCGUUGCGUGUUUCCCAGGGAUCUGGAGAUCUUGAAUGGCAACUCUGUCCUAUCGAAGGUCCAUACAGAAUGCGGAAAAAGCUUGAACGAUGUAGCCUGAAAGUUGAUAGCAUCCGUAAGUUACUAGAAGGGAAGUUGGAACUUGAAGAAAUUGAACUACCCAAACCGAAAAACGAAGAUGGCAUAGUUAUUUUUGAUAAGGAUUGUGAGCCAGAUUUCCUGCUAAGUGAACUUUAUAGCGAGUCCUUUUUCGAAGAAGCUGAUGCUCUUAAGGAUAUUCCUUCUGCUAGAAAUGGAUGGGAUAACGAUGGAGGCAGUAGUUCAAGUGAAACGAGUCUUCAUAACGCUCUUGAUUUUAGUGCCAAGUCUAGUGGUACAAUAUCUGUUCUAAUCAGCGAAAAUACAGAUGAAAAAUCAGAGACUGGAUCUCCAAGAGGGUCAUCUUCUGGUAAUAUGGAUGAAACAAGAGAUGUGGAGGAAGAAUCAGAGAAGGAACUGAACGACGAUGGUGAGUAUUUGAUCAGACCAUAUCUGGAACAUCUUGAAAAGAUUAGGUUCCGAUACAAUUGUGAGAGAGUUGUUGGUUUAGACAAACAUGAUGGGAUUUUCCUGAUAGGGGAACUAUGCCUAUAUGUUAUAGAGAAUUUUUACAUUGACGAUCAUGGCUGUAUCUGUGAGAAGGAAUGUGAAGACGAAUUAUCCGUUAUCGAUCAGGCGUUGGGUGUGAAAAAAAAUGUCACCGAAGGCUUGGAGUUCCAGUCCAAGUCUAGCCCACUAUGGAGUACAAAUAUGAAAACCGGAGCAGUAGGGGCAAGAGCAUGGGCAUAUGGCGGUGGGGCUUGGGGGAAGGAAAAAGUGCGUGUGACCGGUAACUUGCCACAUCCUUGGCGUAGGUGGAAGUUGGAUAGUAUUCAUGAAAUUUUGAAACGUGAUUACGAGCUGCGUCCAGUUGCUGUUGAGUUAUUUAGCAUGGAUGGAUGUACUGAUCUCCUUGUGUUCCACAAGAAAGAGAGGGAAGAAGUCUUUAGAAACCUGAUUGCCAUGAAUCUUCCAAGGAACCGCAUGUAUGUCAUCUCUUUUUUUUUUUUUUCUCAAUCAAGAACUGAGCACUAUGCAGCUUACUUCUCCACAAGGCCCUCCAAAAUCUUGAAGCUGCUUGUUUAUUAUGUUUGCCAUUUUUUUCUUUAUUGCAGGCUGGAUACAACCAUAUCAGGAUCAGGGAAACAGGAAAGUAAAGAGGGUAGUCGUCUUUUCAAGUUAAUGGCAAAGUCUUUCACCAAAAGAUGGCAAAGUGGAGAGAUCAGCAAUUUUCAAUACCUAAUGCAUCUCAACACCCUAGCCGGACGUGGAUACAGUGAUCUCACACAGUAUCCGGUAUUUCCAUGGAUUCUAGCGGAUUAUGAUAGCGAGAGUCUUGAUUUGUCAGAUCCAAUGUGUUUCCGGAAGUUUGACAAACCAAUGGGUUGCCAGACGCCUGAAGGAGAAGAAGAAUUUAGGAAACGGUUUGUGAUGUGCCUCUUAAUCUUUGUCUAAUGGUACUUAUGAUUGAUUGUGUCUUCAUCAAGUCAUAACUGGAUUAUAUUUUUUCCUUUCUACUUUCUCAUUUCAGAUAUGACAGCUGGGAUGAUCCAGAGGUGCCAAAGUUUCAUUAUGGUUCUCACUAUUCAAGUGCAGGCAUUGUUCUCUAUUACCUCAUUCGCCUCCCACCGUUCAGUGCUGAAAACCAGAAGCUCCAGGGUGGUCAUUUUGAUCAUGCUGAUAGACUUUUCAAUAGUAUUAAAGAGACUUGGCUAAGUGCAUCUGGGAAAGGAAAUACAUCAGAUGUGAAAGAACUAAUUCCUGAGUUCUUCUACAUGCCCGAAUUCUUAGAAAAUAGAUUUAACCUUGAUUUCGGUGAAAAACAGUCGGGAGAAAAGGUAAGGUUAAGUAGUUCUAAUGGUGCUUGUAUAUGUACCUUUUAGCUUCUCCGUUCGUGAGCAAGUUCCUUGUUAAAUUUCAGGUGGGUAAUGUCUUUUUACCUCCUUGGGCUAGAGGGAGUGUUCGUGAAUUCAUCCGCAAGCACAGAGAAGCGUUGGAGUCUGAUUAUGUUUCAGAGAAUCUGCAUCAUUGGAUAGAUCUCAUCUUUGGGUACAAACAGCGAGGAAAGGUACAUUACAUGUUCUCCUUCUGGAUCAUUUGCUUCGUGAAAUAUUGAAUCUUACAUGUUCUCAUUAUUUUCAGGCUGCAGAAAAAGCAGUGAAUGUUUUCUAUCACUAUACCUAUGAGGGGAAUGUGGAUGUAGAUGCAGUUACGGAUCCUGCCAUGAAAGCAUCGAUACUAGCGCAGAUUAAUCAUUUCGGACAAACGCCUAAGCAACUGUUUCAGAAACCUCAUGUUAAAAGAAGAACAGACAGAAAAAUCCCUCUGCACCCUCUGAAACACUCGACGCAUCUAGUUCCUCGAGAUAUACGUAAAUGCUCAUCGUCUAUAAACCAGAUCAUCACUUUCCAUGACAAGUUGCUUGUUGCCGCCUCAAACUGUUUCCUGAAACCGAGAGGCUAUAGGAAGUACAUAAGAUGGGGUUUCCCAGACAGGAGCUUGCGAUUCAUGAGCUAUGAUCAGGACAAGCUCUUAUCCACACAUGAAAAUCUCCACGAAGGCAACCAGAUCGAGUGUGCUGGUGUUAGCCACGAUGGGCGCGUUGUCGUCACUGGAGCAGACGAUGGUCUACUCUCUGUGUGGAGAGUCAGCAAGGAUGGUCCGCGUGGCUCACGGCGUUUACGGUUAGAGAAAUCCCUUUGUGCACACACAGCCAAAGUCACUUGUCUACGUGUAAGCCAACCUUACAUGAUGAUUGUGAGCGGUUCAGAUGAUUGUACAGUUAUCAUAUGGGAUCUCAGCUCAUAUAAUUUUGUGAGGCAGCUCCCUGAGUUUCCAGUUCCUGUUUCCGCAAUCUACAUAAAUGACCUAUCAGGAGAAAUCAUAACUGCUGCUGGAACUUUACUCGCGGUAUGGAGCAUCAAUGGAGAUUGCCUUGCUGUGGUUAACACAUCAUCACAGUCACCAUCUGAUUUUAUAGUAUCAGUAACAGGCUCAACGUUUUCUGAUUGGCUGGAAACAAAAUGGUAUGUGACUGGUCAUCAAAGCGGGUCGCUUAAAGUGUGGCAGAUGGUGCAUUGCACUGAUCCGGUCGGUGCUGAGAUCAAAUCUGCUAGCAACAGAACAGGAUGGACAAAUCUUGUGCCGGAAUACAAGUUGCUUCCACACAAGGAGUUGGAUUGCCAUAAGCAACCGAUCACAGCUCUGCAUCUCACGGCCGACCUGAAGCAAUUGCUGAGUGGAGAUUCGGGUGGACGUUUGAUUUCAUGGACAGUUCCAGACCAGAUACUAAAAGCUUCACUCAAAAAUGCUCUCAUAGCUCAGAAUCUUAAGCAUCAUCAUCUAGAAGCUAGGAUUGGAAUCUAAAGCAAUCACUAAUGGUAGAUGAAAAUCAGAAUGUAAGACCUCAGGACAAACGGUUGGCUUUGUGUGAAUCUCUUACCUCAAGUAUUGAUUCUACCUCUUCUGUUUUGCAGGUUUACUGUUUUCUUAAAUCGAAAAAUUGUGAAGCAACAAAGGGAUGGAGAAACUGGUACAAUAACUUACAGGCUUUUGUAUUGAGAAUUUGUGUAGAUAGAGCUAAUAGGCAAUUUAUGUAAAUUAAUAGUACAGUCCCAUCUCUAAAUUCUCAGAUGAAAAUUUUGUAACCAUUUUAAUGUUUUUUGUUUGUAGCUUAGGAACUUCUAACUUGAACAAUGGCUUCAACAUUAAUGGUGAUAUUUCUGUUUUUAAACUGUAAACCAGACAACAGUUUCAUGUUUUUCUGUUUUUAAACUGUAAACCAGACGACAGUUUCAGGUAAUGGAGUCAGUGAAUGACCUUGCACAGCACAGGUAAUGAAGGACUUAUCAGCUCUUGUGAUUGACCAGAACAUACUUCAUAACACUUUUUUGGUUUAAACAAUUUAUCUCACUAGAGCUCUCUCAACGAAAUGAAUACAAUUAACAUAGCAAAUGUAUGUCUCUGAAGUUCCAAGCAACUUCAAGUUGAUAGGGGUAUAUGCCCUGAAAAAUCUCUCUCUGUGUUCGGUGAAAAUCCAAGAAAACUCUUGCGAAACUCUAUCAAAGAGCCAAUAACGAUCCAAAUAUGAUUUGACACCAAAUCUAUAUAAUUCUGGUGAAAAUAAGCUCUUGUAGCGAUUCUAUUGAUGAUGGAAAACUAGUAACUCUUAGUCUGGAUUUAUAGUGUUAGCAAGCUAUAAAUAAAUUAGUAUGUGAACUCGGAUCUAAGAGUAUUCACAACGGUUAGCACAGUAAUAUACAUAUCUAUUCUAUUAAAAUAGAAGUCAUGAAUUUUUCCAUGUGUGAUUUUUUUAAUUUGGACUAUCCUUUAAAUUUUUUAUUAAAUGUAUUUUAUUAAAACUAGUAACACAUACACAUAGAAUCUAUUCUACUAAAAUAGAAGUAAUGACUUUUUUCAUGUGUGAUUUUUUUUUAAUUUGGACAAUCCUUUAAUUUUUUUAUUAAAUGUAUUUUAUUAAUAACACGUAGAAUCUUUGAACUACUUUAAUCAUAAUAUAUUCUUAUAUCUUUUUAUUUUAGAUAUAAAAAUAUAUAUAUUUUUAAAAAAAUCUAACAAAUCUGUUUGAAAAUAUAUAAAUAAGAUCUUAAUUUUAAAAAAAUAUAUGUACAUAUUUUCACUAAUUUUGUAACUAGUUAUGAAAUAUUAUAUAUAUAUAUAUAUGUCAAUAUCAAUAAAGUUUAAUUAUAUACCAUAUAAAAUAAAUAAAAUGAUUAUUUCGAUUUAUUUACCAAAAACAUGAUUGUAAAUAAACAAAAGAUAUUGGUUUUGAUUUCUGUGUUUACUCUAAUGUAUAUAUUUUUUAUGCAUACAAAUUAUUUUUUUUGUUUUUUGAAACUCAAUCUCUUUAGAUGCAUGGUGUUCUUCUCUAUUACAUUUGAAGCGUAAAUCAUUUUUUAAUAAUCUAAAAUCAUUUUUGAUAUAUAUUACUAAUGAAAUCCAUAUCCCCUAUAUAUUAUUUGAUGAUCAUUUAAAAAAUUGUAACAUCAAUUUUGUAUUAAUUACAAAACGAAGUUGCUGAGGUGUUAUCUCCAAAUUUCUUCUUAAUGCUUAUAUGGUACCCUUACAAUGAUUUUGGAUAAACCUUCGUCUUAUUUAUUUUUCCGUAGAUAAAUUUAUUAGCAUUACAUUAACUAAAACAGUCCACGAUUAUAAUAGAAGACGUUUAUAUUAAAGUUUUAUCUAACGUUUAUAUUUUAACAGAUUGUUAUAAAAUGGAUUAUCCCUUAUUUUAAAAGUAAAUCUAUUUCAUAAUAUAAGGUUGAGUAAAACUCAACCAUUUAAAUGAAAUGAUAUAUAAAACUCAACAUAACUUGCAAGAACAAAUCUGGUUGUAUAGCCCUUCUGACGGUUAUUCAAAUUUUCUUCACCAUUAGAAUUAAUGUAUUAUGAGCGCCUGUUAACUACUAAUUAAGUAUAAUUCAAAGGAGAAAUUACCUACACCGAAUAGAAUAGUAGAACAUCCUGUUUUAUGGUAAAAUUGGUAUCUUCCUUUUACAAACACAUCUAUAUUUCACAAACCGAGCAUUAACAAAACUUUCACUGGUGAUUUCUUUUUUCAUAGAUACCAAAUUCAGUCUAAACCUAAAGCAUAAAAACAGAACCAUGAACCUCGGUCUUUCACUUUUGAUGUUCUUCAAGUCGAGAUUAUAAUCAAUUGUUACACAUAAAUAAUCAAGGUAUGUUUUCAAAGGUUCAUUGUUAGUAGGUCCAUGACAUUUUUUGAUGAGAGAAUCUCUAUAUCAUUUGAAUACUAUAGUCUAUUGAACUAUCAAGUAUCCAUUUUAAAUAUAUACUCGACAGUUAACUAUAAACCGUGCAAUUAACGAGUUAUUUCAGUUUUUCUCUAUUUGUGGUCGGUUAAUAGUCUACAUUAUUUCAAUUGAACUGACGGAUACACAAUGCACAAUUUGGUCGGUAUAAUAAUAGUCUUAGAUGCGAUAUGUAAAUUAGCGUGAUACACAAAUGAAGAAUCAGUCUCAUAUGGUAAGUUUACUUUAAUUGUUUCUCCGUUUAUAACAAUGUAAAUACACUAUUAAUACUUGGCAUAUGGUACGUGAAACUUUGUCACCAAUUAUAUUGUUUCUUACGAAUAUUUUUUCUUGAUAUACAAUUUGGUAUAGGUGCAAUAUGGUAAGAUGAUAUUAAAUGUUUCUAUCGCAUAGUUUAAGAAACUAAGAUAGUUUGUCACCAAGUCUAUAUUUCAGCCAUAAAUUUUCUUAUAUAGCAUACAAAAUCUUAUUAUGCGAUAUUUUCAAGUUGCCAAAUAUGUAAUUACAUAUUUAUUGAUAUUUUACAGAAAUAUUUUUUCGUUGACAAUAAAAAGAUAUGGUUUAUAUUUUCAAAUCUAACUAAUAACCUAGCUCCUAAAAUUACCGACGAUAUAGAGGUAUAAAUCAUCACAUCUCUAAUUCUUACGAUUAAAGGAAACAAUAAUGGCCAGUAUGAAUUAUGUUGCCGAUUUGAGACCAUUCAAAAUGAUGGGGAAUAAUAGGGUUAAAGUAAUCCGACUGUGGAAACGGUACUCAGCUACUGCUGGUGAGAAAAUGUAUGGUCCUGACGUUAGGUCCUUAGAGCAACAUUAUCGGGCGGCCCUUGGCCCGUCCCGAACACUAUUUGGGCUAAAAAGAAAAUCAAAAAGAAAAGAUUUUGUUUGGUCCGGGUCUUAAUUAAGGUCUUUUUUGACGCGUCCCGUGAGCAACGUGGCAGCACAGGAGAGGGAGAUGUAAACGAAGUCGAUGAAACCUAUUCCGUGUGUUUCUCCUCUUUUGUCGAAACUGAAGCGAAAUCGAUUCACCGCUGUCGAUCUGAUUCGCCUCAAUCCGCUUCUCCUCGAUCCGUUUCUCUUCGCUCUGUUUCCUCUCCGACAUCGAUUCAGUCCACCUCCGAACAGUUUCCUUUGGACAUCGAUUCAGAGUCGACCCAAACUUGGGAAGGUAUGUGUCUAACCUCCUUUGUAAUUUUGAGAAACCGAGUAGGGGUGUGUAGAUUCAAUGGUUGUUUGUUGUUUGGUUGUUUGUUGAUUAAAUGAUUGAUUUGAUUCGCUCUUCUCGUUCGUUGUUUGAUAUGCUCCGCUCUUGUGAUUGAAGUGGUUGUGAACGGAAUAGAUAUAUAAAAAUGUAUUGAUUCGUUGGUUCUUUGAUGCUUGCAAAAACUUUAAGAUUGAAUGGCUGUGAAUGAAAACUCGUAUAGAUUGAUCGAUAAUUCGUAUAGCUUCUAAGCUCGGGUCUUCUGUAUAUAUUUGAUGUAAUGGUUGUUUCAUAAUUAAUAUUCGUAUAGCUUUAUUGAAAAUUCGUAUAGCUUCUCUACCUUUCAAAAUCGGAUAGGUUGAUAGAAUUCUUUGGUCUGUUAUCAGUUAAAAUUUGAAGUAUUUUAAACAACUUAGAAUUAUGGUUUACAUCUCUUCACUCUUUACUCAACUAGAGUGACACCUCCUUAAUUUCACUCUUUAGUCUAGUAGACUCACACUUCUUUACGUCUUUACUGAACUAGACAAACUAGUUCUACUGUCGUCGUUACUUGAAACCGUAGAUAGGUUAGUAAUAAGUUCAGAUUAGACAUAUAUGGUUUAUGGUUAGUCUUUAUGUAGAAACUUAAUACUCUUCACCAGCUAAUAUUAAACUCCCAUCUCAAUCCCCUUAAAUAUACACACCUGCCUUCUCUCUUCUAUCCAUCUCCUAAUCUACAACUCUCUCUCAAAUAUUUAUCUUGUAAAAGUCGUAUGGGUUCAAGAAAUUUUCAAAGUCAGUCCUCUAGUUACGUAGGACUGCUUAACAGUCAACAAGGAAGUCGUGUGAAUGAAAACUUUCCAUAUGAAAGUUUUCAUUCAACUGUCAACUUUGGAGAAUCGGAGAUCCCUCCCUUUAGUUCACAACAAGCUGAACAGACGCCAGUAGACACAUCAGUGGACCGUAAUGCUAGACGCAAAUGGGGCCCAGCUGAUGACGCGGUUCUAAUCUCUGCUUGGCUUAACACUUCGAAGGAUGCCGUUGUUGGAAAUGAGCAGAAGUUGGGGGCCUUCUGGAAACGGGUUGGAGAUUAUUAUGCUGCAAGUCCUCAUGGGCAACAGGAGGGUGAAAAGAGAGGGGAUCUUACUUGUAAGAAGAGAUGGCACAGAAUAAACGAUCAAGUUACAAAGUUCUGUGCGGCUUACUCCGCGGCAGAGAGACAAAUUGGGAGUGGUGAGAGUGACACUGAUGUUCUAAAGAAGGCUCACGACAUCUUCUACUCAGAUCAGCAAAGCAAGUUUACACUUGAGCAUGCUUGGUGCGUGUUGCGCUUUGAACAAAAAUGGCUUAGCCUAAACACUCCUAAAGCCACUCACACUUCAAAGAGGAAGGAUGGUGAGACAGAUACAAGCGCCGCUGUCCCUGAUCACGAAAUCCGGCCUGAAGGUUGCAAGGCGGCUAAACAAAAAAGGUCGACUGUUCAAGGCAAGUCUGUUGCUUUCUAUGAUUUAAAUAAAAUGUUUCUCUUAUUUUAUUUAUGCAUUUUGUAAUUUUUUUCCACUCCUUUGUAUUUUAAUUUUCAUGUUCUACGUAUUUUAAUUUUCAACUUUUCUUUAUAAUGUCAUAAGUUAUUCGAUAAUUUGUAUUCAAUUAAUAAAAAAAAAAUUAAUUCACUAAGGGACUUUCAUAAGUCCCACCAAUAAUCUAAUUUCUAAGGGAAAAUCCCUAAAUAUGACCUUAACUCACAAAUAACCUUAAAAUAUUCAAAGGGCCAAAAAAUCAAGUCCCACCUAUAAUGUUGCUCUUAUGCGAUAGGUGAUCUUUUGACUUAAAAAAACUUUAAAAAAAGAAUCAUCCCAACAAUACAGUACACAAAUUACAUAAUUAACAAAAAAGACAUUAUUGUAUUUUGGCCAAAAAAAUUAAUUCGAUCAAAUAUAUAAAUUUUAAUUUUCUAAACAACAUAUUUUAAAUAAUUCUUAUAUAAACUCAUCAUGCGCAAGACGCAAAUCUUAUCCUAUUUUUUAAAUAAAAGGUGAUUUCAAGGUUUUAUGCAAAUAUCAUAUCCAAUAACCUUUGAUUUGUAAAAUUUUUUAUAAAUACCAUAUUCAAUAAGGGAGGGUUUGGAUAAAAUCUAAUUUUUUUUAUAAAAUACCUAAUCCAAUAAGCCUCUUUAAUCCUUCAUAGAAGGUCUAACUACCACCGGGAAGUUUUAUAAACAUUGAUAUAUAAUAUAAUUCAAACUACAGAUUGAUAUGAAGAAGAGUAUAAACACGGUAUAUAUGUUAACUAAGAAAAAACAUGAUCAUAUUAUACUUGAUCAAACUGCUUUCAUCACAUGACGCAAUAAAAUACAUGAAAGGGGAACAGUAAGCACACUACUAGCCCACUCAACGUUAGCCCAAACUUCUUCAUCACCAUUCCGCUUCUCAAACGCAAUCAAAGCACACCAAAUAUUCGUCUUCUCAUGGCGAAGACGAGCAUUAUACACAAACUCGUCCCAAAUUAUCAAGAGUUUCCCACCGUAGUUAGCCAUUUCAAUAUGACCACUACCAGCUCGGCAAUGCCUCUCCAGUACCGACAAACCGUUGACCCUUCUCGAGCCAUUAUGCUUCAUACCGUACCAAAUAAAAUUUGUACCAGUGUAACAGUACCUUACAUAGUCUACCACAACACUAGACUCAAACAUGCGUGCUACAACUUCCCAUGUACCUUCUAUGGUAUCAUAAACAUCAUACACAUCCCAAUUGUUGCUUGAAAUAUAGAUCUUUUUCCCCAUCACUUCCACUUUCCUAAGUGUAGAAACACGUAGGAAGCCAGGGUCAGGUAAAGAUUCCCAAGUUUGAGUGUUUGUAUCGUAAACCUCACCCCAAUUCUUGGAUUCAUCUUCGCUACAACCUCCCAUAACGUAUAUUUUCCCAUCAAGGACACAAGCAAUGGGAUCCUCUCGAGCCACAGUCAUCAUUUUGGGGACUUUUCGCCAGAUGCCAGUUCCUAAUGUAGUGACCGACAGAUCGAAAGAUGGAUUACAGUAUCGAUUGAUUGCGUAGCACUCUGAACCAACCUUACACAUGAACGUUGGUGGACGACGACAAUAAGAAGAGGGUAUUGGUACUAACAGAGCAUUCCCGGUAGACUCUUCCUUCUUCUCCAAGUCAUUGGUUAGGGCUUGGUUAGGUUUUAACCAGAGACUGAACCAGGAAGGACUAGGACUUUUAGUGGGAUAAUGAAAACCGACAAGAAGGAUUUUUUCACAUGUUUUUUGAAGAAACCUAGUAUCUUUGAGCUUGGACGAUGAGAUGAGAGAGGCAAAGGUCUUGCUGACUAGAGAGAGUUUAGGGUAGUACGAUGGUGAUAUCCGCGCCAUGCAGUUCAGAAGGAUGUCAUUUGGAAGAGAAAAUAACGAAAGAGAUGGAUUCAAAUUCUUCUUCUUUUUCUCUGAUGGUUCAGAUUCGGAGUUCAUAGCUGCAGAGGCGGCCGUUGUACCACAAGUAGAGGGAGUUUUGUAAAACUAGGGUUAUACUAAAACAUUAUAUAAGUGCUAGAUUUUUUAUGCUAAGGCUCUGAUUGGGGUUUGGCUUUAACAGCUUUGAUUUAAUUUUAAAGGUUUUUAUGUUUUUUUAUUCAUUAAUAGCAUAAUCCUUAUACACUAAGGAAGAAACAUUGUAAUAAAUAUGUUCACACUACAAUAGACACGUGACAGUUUCACAGCGAUUUGAAAAUGAACAUACUGACAUGUCACGUGUAGAGAGAUUCUCAACCAAACUCUACAUAAAUGUGUUCACACUAUGUAUUUUACGUUUUGUUUUUAAAUAUAAAACUCACAUGUAAAAUUCCAAUAAAAUUCACACUAUCCAGAUUUUUCGAUUUGAAUCGAAAGUCAAUUAUACAUAGAUUAUACAGAUAGGCUGAGCAAAAUAUUUGUAAAUUUUAUAUUCGAUUUGUUAUUCAUUUUGAUUCAAACUUAAACAAAAAAUCAGGAUAUUUGUAGUCCUACGAAACCAUAAAACACUAAAAUGCAAUAUCUGUAAAAAAAAUGAAGCAAAUCACAAAUACUAAUAUUUUUAGGAACAAAUGUACAAUUUGAUCCAUUAUAUGCAUAUAUACAUAUAUUUAAAGAAUUAUAAAUGUAUAUAUUAUAGUUUAUAUAAUUUUUACAAUAAUUUUAUGUAUUAAAUUUAUUAUAUUAGGCAUUAGAAUUUAAAAAGUUAAAUAAUAAUUUAUUUUUGUAAUGAAAUAUUAUUAUUUUAUAUUAUUUUUAGAUUUUUUAUUUAUUUUCAAAAUUUUAUUUUAUUUACGGAUCAAAACCGGAUAUCCAUAAGAAAAUUUUAAAAUUUCCGGAUAUCUGAGACAUCAAUAUUCGGGUGGCUACAUAUCGAAUCGAUACUAGUACCUCCAAAUACUUGGAUAUCAGAUCCGUGUCAACCCCUAUUUACGGAUACAAUUUUAUUUUCUUUAUAUAAAAGAAAAUUCACUAAUUUCUAGGGUUAUUUUUUUAGUUAGUUUUAUUUUAAAAUUUUUAUCUUUCAUGUGUUAUUUUGAAUAAAAAAUAUCUUUAUAUAUUUACCAACCGCUUUUAUAUACUUUACAUACACAUACAUGUGGACAUUGACGUGAGUACCUAUAUAACUAAAUAUUCACAACAACUGAAGUAUUUAAUUCUCUUGGAAGUUGAAAUAUUUCUUUUUAAAUGAUUCUUUCACUAUCCACCAAAUUGUAGUGAAAUGAUUUAUUUUAAUAAUUUUAUUUUCUUUUUAUUGAAUUAUUAUAUUUUAUAAUAUGAAAUCAUUGGUUCGACGUAAGGACUAUCUAAAAUUCAUAUAACCUGAAACCAAACAGAUAAUAAUAAUUUUUUCAUAUAACCUAAAACCAAACAGAUAAUAAUAAUUUUUUCAUAUAACCUAAAACCAAACAGAUAAUAAUAAUUUUUUCAUAUAACCUAAAACCAAACAGAUAAUAAUAAUUUUUUCAUAUAACCUAAAACCAAACAGAUAAUAAUAAUUUUUUCAUAUAACCUAAAACCAAACAGAUAAUAAUAAUUUUUGGUUAGCACCCUGAUAAUCACAUUCUGCGCAAGGCGCGGGUUUUACCUAGUUGUAUAUUUAUAAUGAAACAUUUCAAAUAUUGUUUACUGUUUUUAUGGUUUUGAUUAUUAAUUUUUUUUUCAAUAUUUAAAAUAGUACUAACAGUUUUAACAUUCAAAAUUUCUACAGCCAAAAGCCUAAAUUAAGAGUGUAAAGCGCAAGUUCAUACCAAUCGAACCCUAAAUUUUAUUUGACGUCUUUUACGCUAAAUUUUUUUUUAGAAAAAAAAGGAAAGCUACCUUUUUGGUUCAAAAAUGUACUUCCUUUUUGGUUAAAAAAUACUUACUUCACAUAGGCACAAAGUUUUUAGUUUGGUUCAAAUAGUCUUUGUAGAGUAUAUUGUUUUUUUAAUUGAUGGCAAAAAAAAAAAGCUCCUAUUGCGCCAAACUAUAACUUUAUUAACUUGAACAUACAAAAUGAGAUACAAUAUGUGUAUGUUAAUCAAAGAGCUGGGUAAACACAAAAGAAUAUAAAAUUCCUUUAUUAGCUAAUUGACAGAGUUGCGGGAUUGUGAUUUUUGUUUGACAAAAAUCAAUGUUAAGCAUCUGAAUUUAGACUCCCACAACUUGAUAUGGUUAAUAUCCACAAAUGAUCCAUGUAAGAUCUUAGCCAGGAGCUGACAAGACCCCUUCUAAGGAAAGGCAACCACGUUGAAACCCAUGCAUGAUGCCAUUGUGUUUGUGUAUACUGCAUACCUAUUAACAAAUUGCUACGCUUCAAUGCUUGGCGAGGCAUCCGGUAUUUUUUUUCUAAUAUGAAAUGAUUAUUAGAAGAGGGGGGAGGGGGGGGGCAGUAAUGUUAUUAGGUGGCGAGAAGGAGGGGUAAUAUAGUCAAUUUAGUGUUUCUGACUUUCAAGAUAGUGAUUACGAACGAAUCUGUCAUCAAUCAAAUCCAAGGAGGAGGAGAAAGGUAAAUGAGCUUUGUUCUCCUGAGCUUGAUUUUUCAGAUGAGGAAUUGAUUAGGGUUUGUUCUACUGUGUGUGUGGUGUAGUUUUGAAUCGAAAUAUGGCUGGGAGAGCUUCGAUCCCUGCUCGCAACUCUGCCCUCAUCGCCAUGAUCGCCGAUGAGGUAUAACCAAAUUAAAUCAUCGCUUUGAUUCAUUAGAUCAAUGUUAAUGCUUGGUUUGGAUCUCUGAGAUGUGAUCUGAACUGUAUCAAAGCGUAGAGAGUUAGUUAGUUAGUUAGUUAGUUGGUUUGCGAAAGUUGGAAUCUUUCUGUUAAGUGAAAUAAUUUUGAAGAUAGUUUGACCUUACUUGUCUCUAAAAUGGUUGAUGUUUGUGUACACAGGACACCGUUGUUGGCUUCUUGAUGGCUGGAGUUGGUAAUGUUGACAUCAGGAGGAAGACUAACUACCUCAUCGUCGACUCAAGUACGCUUUCUUUUUUCUAUUACUGUAGAAUUGUAUUAUUAAUUGAUUUUUCCUUUGUCUUUUAGAGACAACUGUGAGGCAAAUUGAGGAUGCUUUCAAGGAAUUCUCAUCCAGAGAUGAUAUUGCUAUCAUCCUCAUCAGCCAAUAUGUAAGUGCUUUCUUCCAAAUCCAGUAUACUUGCACUGUUAUAUUUACAAAACAUUAACGGCUGUGCCUGUGUGGUGUUAUUUGUGUCGUUAUCAGUGAGGUCAUGGCUUGCUUCACCUUUUAAAUAAUGGAUCAAAGUUACUGUUAUUGUAGGGUAGUUUUUGUUAUCUUGUUCCCAUUAGCUGUGUGACUGAACAUAUGAUGAGGCCACUUUGCAUCAGCCUUUUAAGACAUACUAUUCACGAGUUUGAAAUUGAUUGAGCUCAUAACUUAUUCAAAGUCUGUUUCUUUCUUUAGUGUCAAAAAAAACAUGAUGAGAAAAUAUGGCAUAUGCGUGUAGGUUGCCAAUAUGAUCAGGUUCUUGGUGGAUAGCUACAACAAGCCAGUUCCUGCAAUCCUGGAGAUCCCUUCCAAGGACCAUCCCUAUGAUCCUGCUCAUGACUCUGUUCUCUCCCGUGUCAAGUACCUCUUCUCUGCUGAAUCUGUGUCACAGCGUUAAAACAUUUACACAUUCUGCAAAGCUCGCCUGAGCUUUUAUAUCAUUUGACAUUCUUGUAUUUCUCAGUUUUCAAUAAUGUCUAUCUCUUGGUUUUUGUUUGGAAAUGGAUGUUAUAUCAGUAAGAAGCAAUGAUAACACCAUCUGGUUCUUUUUGCAUUGAAUAAAGAGAGUGAGUCAUUGUGUAUUCAAGAGACUUUAAAGAUUUAAGUGAAGACUCCAUCUAUGUGAAGCAUUUUGAGUCAGAUAAGCAGAAGCAACCAAAAGGAAGUUCAGAUCAGGUCCACCUGGAUUUAAGAAGAAGAAUAUAAGUACUUGGGUUCGCUAUGACUAUUACCAAAACACAUGUUAGUCAGAUAGAAUCAAAAAUUGUCCUAAUGUUUUAUUUAUCAAACAUCCAGGCCUAUUUGUUCUUGGCAACCACAAAGUUCCAGCCCAUUUACUGUUAUUUAUUGUUUCUGGAAGAAAAAGAAGAAAUGGCAAAAGUGAAAUAAUCAGAAAAAGCAAGGGCCCUUUCACAAAAAUAAAAAGAUGAAUUUUAGAAAAACAGAGCAUAAAGUUUGACACUUUUGUUCUGCUCCUUUCUCGUCUCUGUCUUCUUCGUCCUCAUUCAUCUUAAAGGCAUCACUCACCAAACAGCUUUAGAAUUUUCUCUUUCAAAACUCAAACUCGCUACUCAUUAAAAAAAAUCCAUUUUUAAAAAAAAACUCAAAACCAAAUGGCUAGUAACAACAACCCGCAUGAGAACCUUUCAGACCAAACACCUUCUGAUGACUUCUUCGACCAAAUCCUCGGUCUUCCCAACUUCUCCGCUUCUUCCUCCGACGGUGGGUUAGGCGGAGGAGGAGGAGGAGGAGCACCGCCGAUGAUGCUACAGCUGGGCUCCGGAGAGGAAGGAAGUCACAUGGCUGGGUUAGUAGGAGGAAGUGGACCAAGUGUGUUUCACAACCAGAUGUUUCCUCUAGGGUUGAGUCUUGACCAAGGGAAAGGACCUGUCUUUCUUAGACCUGAAGGUGGUGGUGUUCAUGCAACUGUGAAUCGAUCUUCUUCUUCUUCUUCUUCUUCUAUGAAAGGACCUGUAAGGAAUCAUUUUUUUAGUGUAAAAAGGUUAUGCUUUUUCUUAUGUGUUCUUACAUCUUUUGUCUUGUUGAAAAGGUGUUCCAUGGGCAGCCGAUGCAACAGCCAGCUCCAGCAGCGCCACAUCAGCCUACAUCAAUCCGUCCUAGAGUUCGAGCCAGGCGUGGUCAGGCUACUGAUCCUCACAGCAUCGCUGAAAGGGUAAAACUUUUACUUCAGAUUCUCUUUGUGGAAGGGGUAAAGCUGAAAGAUUUGAACUUUGUUACAGCUACGUAGGGAAANNNNNNNNNNNNNNNNNNNNNNNNNUAGGGAAAGGAUAGCUGAGCGGAUCAGGGCGCUUCAAGAACUUGUACCCACUGUUAACAAGGUCUCUCUAUCUUUCACCUUUAAAUAAAUUGUCUAGGCUUUGUAACAUGUCUCAUUUCUUGAAGUUUGUUAACACUUGUUGGUUCUGUUGUCUUAAUUUGCAGACAGAUAGAGCUGCUAUGAUUGAUGAGAUUGUGGACUAUGUAAAGUUUCUCAGGCUCCAAGUUAAGGUAAUAUAACCCAGCCAGUUCUUAUUCUUUCCUGUCUGUUCAUAGGAUUAGAGAUAUAAAAAUCAUGUCUUUGAAAUAACUUAGUUAUGUUAAAUUCUCCAUAUUGAUUUUUUUGGUCUUAGUUAUGGUCCCACCAUCACCUACCCUUCAACCCAAAUUUCAAUCUUGUUUUUUUUAAUGUGGUAAAGAAUAAUAUAGAAGUCCAAAAUGCUUUUGUUUCUUUUUUCUUUGGCACUUAGUCUAUCUUGUAAACACUUUUUGUUUUGUCAUAUAGAGAAGGCUAAUCAUGGUUUAGGAUUAAAAUAUCUGUAUAAUCAUCAUGCUCAGAUUAUAAUAUAAUCUCUUAGAUCAAACGCUUCUUAAUAUCAAAAUGCAGUCGGUUGCUUAAAGAUAAUGGAGACACUUUAGUAUGCAAUGAUGGAUUUCUGAAAAGAUGUUGACAAAAAAAGGAUUUCUGAAAAGAUAAUACAUUUUUUAUUUAUUUUGUGUGUUUCUUAUGAAAACCUUCCAUGCUCAUCUGAUAGUGGAGAAUGCAAUGAUGUAUUUCUGAUAAGAAUAAUAAAUGUUAUUUUUAUUUUAUUUUGUGUGAAAUCUUACAUGCUCAUCUGAAAAAAAAAGUAAAAAGUUUAUUUUCAUGGGAUAAAGCUUAUCUUUGGUCAACUUUUGGUAGGUUUUGAGCAUGAGUCGUCUUGGUGGAGCCGGUGCGGUUGCUCCACUUGUUACUGAUAUGCCUUUGUCAUCAUCAGUUGAGGUAAAUAAAAGAAAACAUCAAAACUUUUUAGCAAAGUGGGUUUCGACUCAAAACUGAUUAUUGUAAUCUCUCUCACUAGGAUGAAACUAGUGACGGUGGAAGGACACCACAGCCUGCGUGGGAGAAAUGGUCAAACGAUGGGACUGAACGUCAAGUGGCUAAGUUGAUGGAAGAAAACGUUGGAGCUGCUAUGCAGCUUCUUCAAUCUAAAGCUCUUUGUAUGAUGCCAAUCUCAUUGGCCAUGGCUAUUUACCAUUCUCAGCCUCCAGAUACGUCAUCUGUGGUUAAACCAGAGACUAAUCCUCCUCCACAGUAGGAUUUUUCGUGCAAGCAAGGGUUUGUACAGCAACUCAACGGGGUCUAAUAUGGCUUUAGUUUCUACUACUACAUCUCAUGACUGCUGGUUUCUUGCUGUUUCGUCUCCCUCCCACACCCACUUGUAUGGUAUGAUUGAAAGGUAAAACAAAAGGCGUUGGAGAUGGAAUCAAUGUAGGAUUUGCAAGGGAGAGUUUGUCAAAAAGCUCACUUGAUUAAAUAUGAUAUGUUAUCAUUUUAGGUGGACUUUGAUGAAAGCACCUUUUUGUUUUCAUGACUUUAGUGGGAGGUUGAGGAAGGAGCUUUAAGGGGUGUUUUAGUUGUAGUGGUGGUGGGAAGGGUGUGGGACCUGGUUGAGUUUAUGUACAAAUUAGAUGAAUAAUAAAAUAUUUGAAUUUGUUAACCGUUGUAUCUUAUAUAUUAAAAGAGAAGUCACAACCUUGAUUCAUGUGUGAUUUUUUUAAAAUUGGACCUAAUGGACCUAUUACUAGAAAAUCAUGUUACAUUUAAUUCUAAUAUUAUCAUUAUUAUAGAUCUAAAUAACUCAGUUUCUAUAUUAUAGGAACUAAAUAAUAUGUCUACUACAUUAUAGGAACUAAAUAACUAUCAAUCUUUAAAAAAAAAAUGAUCUGGAAACAACCAAUUCAAUACAAAAAAUAUACGAUAAAAUUAUUAUGUUUUAGAAAAUGAUAGACACUCAUAUAUAUUAAUAUAUACUAAUGUAGAAAUGAAAAGCAAUCAAUUUUACCGUGAUCUCGACCAUUUGAACAUAGCUAGAUCUCACAGGUAGAAAUAUUAACCCGGUUGAAGAUUAACAUAGGAUAUAAUUCGUUGAAGAUUAACAAAGCUAGAAAUAUUUAAAAAGAUUCUAUGAAGAUUUUAACAAGAUUUUGUUAGAACAUUUUAAAUAUAUUCAUUUGUAUUUCAAAUGAAAAGAUAAAGAUAUUAAAAGAUAUAAUAAUGAACUUACGUAAAAUAUGAUAUUUUUUAGAAAUGGUCCAAACUAAAAAAAACACACAUGAAAAGAAGUCAUGGCUUCUGUUUUAAUAUAUUAGAUAUAAAUAAAUAUAUACACAUAUAUAUAUAUAUGUAUAAUUUUUUAAAUAUAUAUUUUGAAAAUAUUAUAGCAUUAUCUUAAUUUUCAAAAAAUUUAUGUAAAUAUUUCAACUAAUUUCGUAAUUAGCAAUGAACUAUUAUUAUGCAUUAUAUAUAUAUAUAGUAAUCAUUUAUAAAAUAAAAAAAAUACAUUUUUAUCAUUUUAUAAUAAUAAUAGUUCAUAUUAAAUGAUUUUAUUAUAUUGAACUAAAUAUGAUAACAUUAUAUUAAAUUAAUAAAAUUAUAAAAACAGUUUUUAUAAAUAUAAAAUAUUUAUGCUAAAAAUAUAAUACGAUGAUAUAACGACUUAACAUUCAAAACUAUAUAAUACAUAUAUAAAAUCGACAUAUCUUAGACUUUUGUAUAUAUAAUAAUAUAUUAUCUGAAAUAAAUAAAUGUAAAAAUAUUGCUAAUAGAAAACUUAGUUUUCAAGGUCUGUGGAUCAAAACUGAAUAUAAUUUUAAUACAAAAAUAAUAUUUAAUAUGUUUUUGAUGCAUAUAUUAAUUUGUUAAAAAAUAUAUAUAUACCAUAAAUGAUGUAAAAAAAUAUUUAAAAUGAAAAUAAACACCCGCACGGUUGUGCGGGUCGAGAUCUAGUUAUUAUUUUAUUUGUGUGAAUUGGAGUGUAAUAGAUGAUCAAAUAAUAUCACUAGUUCCCUUUACUAAAACAGUAUUUUUGUUGAUGAAUUUGUCAAAUUUAUUGCUAUAGAAUUAGUCCUGUUAUAAAAUCAUAGAUAUAAAAAAAUUCACAAUCUGCAACAGAGUGAUAAAUCAAGAAAAUAGAUAAUCAAAUAAUAUCACUAGUUCCCUUUACUAAAACAGUAUUUUUGUUGAUGAAUUUGUCAAAUUUAUUGCUAUAGAAUUAGUCCUGUUAUAAAAUCAUAGAUAUAAAAAAAUUUCACAAUUUGCAACACAGUGUGAUAAAUCAAGAAAAUAGAAACACUUACAAGUCUUUAUUACAACAAUUUUAAUUUCACCACAAACCUUGGAAUCUUGGAAGUGAGAUGAUAACAAAAGAGAACUCCUUUUGGUCAUUUGUUUUAAAAUGGGGUUUAACCUCCAAAACCAAGAAGACAGACUACAAAGAGUAAGCAAACUCAGUUUGAUGCUAUAGGCUUCAAACAUUCAUUAUGGCCUUUAGCGUUGUUAUUGAACCACAUAAAAAUUGUCGGCUUAAAAGAACUUAAGCUUAGCAAGCGUCAAGAUCACGGAAUUGUGGUGGCUUUGGCUCCCCAAGCAAUGUCUUGUUUCCCCCUUCAGGUCCGCACUUGAUCCUCUUUGGGUUUUGAGUUCCAUGCUGAAACAAAAGUUACAUAAUUAGAAUUUAGAUUUGGGUUUUGUGUUAAACAAAGAUUAAAGUAUACAAAUGCAAUGGGUUACUUCAAUGUCUUACCGGUGGCUUCUCUCCCUUUCUCAGCUUCUCAACAAUCUCUACAACUUUCUCAGGUGUAACAUCUUCCUGUUUAUUGUAGCAAUAAGACACAUGUGAAUACCAUUUUAACUCUUUGUCGUCUUACACAGUAUAAACGAAGGAAAAUAAUGCGGGAUGAAAGAGAAGUUAUUGGACAUACGAAAUAGUUAUAUGUAUAUCCUUCUGAUCCAUUGGAGUAAUCUGCCACAGUGAUCAUGGGCGCAUUGACACAGCAUCCCUGUCAAUAAAACCAAUUGUACAUGAGAUCAAGAAGUAUUAAUCUCGGCUAUGGUUAUGAAUUUACGGUUUCAGGAAAGUAAAGAGGUGAUAAGUAAUCCUUACCAUGCAUUCCAUCUCUCCAACAGAGAACAAACCAUCCUUUGUGACUUCUGCAACAUACAUGAUAAAAGCCAUAGAUCGUUAUGACUCAGGAACCAUAUGAUUUUGUUCAUGAAAGGUUGGUUAUUAGAGCUUUACCACCGCGCUUCACUCCCAAAUGGUCUAGCAAAGCUGAUUCGAUAUCUCGUGAACCACGGAUCAUGCAAGGUGUUGUGCCACAAACUAGGAGGUGGUACUUUCCGACCUGUAGGAGCACAAUUAAAGUGAAAAAAUGAGGGUGAGGGUGUUUGAGGAUUAAAGUAGAGACUUUACCAGAUGGGUAGUAAGUACUUCUUACCUUUGCCCUGUUGAACAUGGAAUAAAAUGUUGCAACCUCAUAAACACGAAUAGGAGCCACUUCUAUAACUUUAGCAACCUGCAAAAUUUUAUUGUGUUGUCAUUCAUGAUGGUAAAAUCAUAUCAACAGAUAUUGUAUUCCCAAAAAAAAAAAGAACUACAGAAAAUAAAGCUAACAGCUACAAUCAAACAAAAACGGAAAAUGGAAAAGAGAAAGAUAAUUAUAGAUGGUAAGAGUAUAGCUGAAAAAAAUAAUAACAAGAACGUACGGCAUUCAUAGCUGAAACAGGGAGCCAGCCUCCAUGCUGUUGUUGGGCGAGAUCCAGAAGGGGAAUCACAGCAGACUGCUUGUAGUUUGAUGGAUAGUAAGAGAGUAUCUCCUUAACCUAGAGAGUUUGAACAAAAUAAAAGAACUUUAGUAAAUCAUGUGGAAACAAAUUUCACUUGCUAUGCAAGAUUAGUGCAGCCAGACACGAAAGAAGAGUAAACGGGAACUAAAUGCAGAUGAAUAGAUUAGUAUUUUUUUUAUACUCUCCCAACAGUAUUUCCCCUACUUAUGUAAGUAGUUCCUUCCAAAACAGCCAAUUAAAAGCAAGUCAGUUAUUUCUAUCAUUUCUAGGGAACGCUAACUCACGGGAUCGUGAUGCCUGAUCAGAAGCCAGGGACUAUGUAUAAGAAGGGUACUGAAAAGCAUGUUAAACAUAUUCAGAGCUGCAUCUGGUCUGAGAUAACUAUUAGUAUUUUACUCUCCACAAAACCAGUUUACUAAUAAUCCCACUGACAGUCUUUCUUCUUUAUAUAUCAGUUCCUAAUUGUCAGAAACUCCCAUUACUAUUUUAUGAUUUAUGUAAGAGGGAACUGAAAGCAGGUUAAACAUAUUCAGAGCUGCCUCUGGUCUGAGCUAUGAGCUAUCUAAUCAGUAGGGAAUGAGAGAGCUCAUAGCUCAGACCAGAGGCAGCUCUGAAUAUCUAUCUAAUCUUUAUAUAUCAGUUCCUAAUUGUCAGAAACUCCCAUUACUAUUUUAUGAUUUAUGUAAGAGGGAACUGAAAGCAGGUUAAACAUAUUCAGAGCUACAUUUAUCCUAUAAAGAGUAAAAACAUUAUUUCCCCAUCUAUACUUUUUUUUCUUCUUAAAACACGAAUUUGGAUAAAAUUGCAAUUAGUUCAACAACGCAAAGUAACCUUAGAUUUGUUAGCGUCAGAGAACUCCCAUGGAAGAUCCGGUUUGUUGUCAGGAGAAUCCAGGUGCUAUAAUCAACAAAAAUAAUCAGAUUACUUAAUUAAUUAAUUAAAAAAAAGGAUAGAGAGAGAGAUCAAUCAAAAUAUCACCAAGACUCACGUAGUUCAAGGCUGUCGAGAAGCUUCGAGACGCCUAUGCAGAUAUAAAACACGAAACCUGAGGAUGAGAUCGGGAAAACGACGGAGAAAAAAUCUAAGGAAAUUUUUAAGAAAACCUGAGUGGGAGGUUGGCGGAUCUCGAGAAGACGCUUCGCAGCGAGCCUAGCCAGCAUUUUCGACGACUUUGACAAAACGAGAGACGAACGAACGCCUGGAUUUGAUUUGAUUGAAGAAUAAGAAGAGCCAAAGAGGGACACACGAGGGAGCUAGCUCACUAUCAUCACCUGCCUCAGGAGGAUUGACCACAUAAAUUUGGGCCUAAGCCCAUUUCUAGUUUCACUGUCAAACCUACUACUAUUGGAUUAUUAUUUCUUGGGUAUUCUAUUCAUUAUAGCCUUGUACGCCCAUUUGUAUUUAAAGAUUAGUUUAUUGAUUUUUUAUAAUUCUAGCACCUCCUUGUGAGCUUAAGAAACACUUUUGCGUCAAUGAACGUGUUCCUACCUUUGUUCAGUUAUGUCUAGAUAGGUUAAGCAUAUGAUGAGGAGGAUAUUUGGACCAAAGUUCAACUUAUCCCCAAAAGAGCAGCCAAUACCGAUUACUCUCUGUUCCUGAGUUUUCUAAUGAAGCUUAAGGGCAUAAUUUCAUCUUCCUCUUCUGUGGAGUUGGUAACGACUAACGAGGCGCCACUGGCUUCUGAAAUUUCUGCUAUCGCUUGUAUUUCACUUAGUUACGCAAAGUGCAAUAAACUCCAAACAACAUUUAUCAAAAAGGGAUAUGAACGUAGCUAAAAGCAGAUAUUAUCAAAUUCAUUAAGCCAUCUCCAAAUUCAUAUCCAAGAAACCAAAACCCCCCACAAGGUAGUUUGCAUCCCAAGAAAAAAAAAAAAGCACAAGACCGAAUGUCAAGGAAAUAACCAAAAAAAAAAAUUAAAAACAAAGUUUUUACUUAGGGUGGAAGUAUCCAAAUGAGAUUCUCAUAUACAAGCAGGAGAGCAGCUGAGAUGCUUCGAUUCAUUACCCCUUUCUUUCAUGAGUCAAACCACCUCCAUAGUUGUUUCUUUCCUUCUAAGCCAAGUACCUAAACAUGUUAGCGUUCUCCUUGUCCCUCUCCAAAUAAUCCCUCGUUAUCAAAUCCUCCAUACGCUUCUUGAUGGCUUUGAUAUCAGGCUGCAAAACACACAUAUCCAAUCAAGUUCCACGAAAACAUCAUCACUUAACUAUCUCCACAUGUUUCCUUAUAUAUAUAUAGAACAUACGUACCUUGAACAUUCGGCUAAGCUGCUCAACGCACUCGGAUACAAGCUGUUGAUGUCCCAACACUUUCCUGCUCUUCAUGAUCCUCACGAUCGCAGCAUCAAUCGCAUAGCGUCUGUCUUUGUCCACGUCUUCCACUACUUUCUUCCUUUCAUCGACAGGUGGGAGAGGGAUCUGUGAUGCAAAACCACAUAAAAGUUUAUAAUCUAAGAUAAUAACCAGUAGUAGUAACACAUGAAGUUUUGUGUGUUAAUGUUUUACAGACCUUUAUUCUGCGCAUUCUGUCGGUGAAUUUGGCAUUGAAUUCAAAUGAAUCAGUCUGGGAAACAAUCUUUGUGCUUGGCUCCUUGACAAGGAUCUUGUAUCUAGCACAUGACAAGGAAUGAAGCAACCUCACUAGAUCUUCAUGGCUUAGGUUCAGUUGAGUCAAGAUGUCGUUGUAGCUCAAUUUGUCUGUUGUGUUAAAGAGUAGAAGCACAGCAGCCUGAAAGCAAGUAACAAUUUGAAAAUUAGUAUCAGAAUUCAGAGGCCGUUUAAAGGAUCCAAUAUACCAACAGUUUCUGAGAAUACAAAUGAUACCUGGUAAGUCGACACAACUAACUCAAUGGGCUUGUGAUCAAACUUGCCGUUGAGGUGACAGGUUCCUAGUGAAUAGAUCCAUGUAAGUUUCCUGUGUUUCGUUUUAGUUUCAUAAAACCCUUUGAAAACUUCAACACACUUGACCUGAAACAAAGAAAUCGAUGGGAUUAGCUUCGCCUGGAGCAAACGUUUUUCCUUUUAGACAUACACUCAACAGAUACUUACCAUUUCACUGGGAAGAUUUAUGUCGAAUGAUUUGUAGCUUGGCCAGAAACCAGUUGUAAGAACAGUAACGGUCAAAUCAAUCCCUGGGUUUGCAGCGGGGUUAUUGCCUAGAUAUUCCUCGAAACUGGUUUGGUUUUCUCUGGCCAGUGUAAGAUCUGUCACCUGUAACCAAACAAAUCAAAUUUAUAGAAAGCAUAAAUCAUCAGAAAAAUCACCGUUCUGAGACAAUAAACAUAGGGACACGCAAACUAACCAUGCCCUCCAUCUUAGAAGUAAACUGCCCACCACAUUGCUGCUUGAGCUUUGUAAGAAUACUUCUCUCAUGAUCAUCAUUAGCACUGCGAUCAAAUAAGAGCCUGCGUGCCAGCUUCUUCCUGAAAAACAGCCAAAAACAAAACCGCAUACAAUUUAUCCCAAUUUUGGUAAUUCCAUACUAUAUUAUUGGAAGGGACCUUAACAAAGAGCUAGAAUCAACAAACCAUAUAAGCAAAAAAAAUAUUAGAAUCCAAGGUAUAUAAAGAAAUAUAAGAAUGAGAGAUGAACCUGUAGAACUCGGCAAAAAGAUCCUUGUCGCUUAUAUAGGCAAGCAAUUUGACCACCUGUAACAACAUAAUAAGAUUAAACACCGGUUUAAGGAGAAACUGAAAAUGAAUAUAGCAAGCAACUUGACAAAAUACAAACCUUCUCAAGCGUGUCUUCAAUAGCUUCAUCACUCAGCUUCUCACUACCCCCCUUCUUGAGGAUGUUGUCGCAGAAUGUUGCAAGCAAUUCUGCACUUGAACUUCCAGCGACUGUUUUGUUACAGAAUAUCUCAAAUGCCUCUUUCAGAGCCUACAAUAGAAGAAACUUAAGUUAAUACAAACAAAUACACGCAUGCAAGAAGAUAUAUGCAUGACUAGUAUGCAGGAAGCACAUUAAACCUUGUGGAAGAGGGUGUGGUUCUGGAAGCACUCAACGACAUAGACCAUGUAUUUAUCAUGUAGCUCAAUCACUUUUCUGAUGAGAACCUGAAAGCAUAGAAAGAAAACGUGAAUUACUAAGUUCGAGAACAUCUUCACUAGUAGAAACAGUUGACACUGUUUUUACCUGUUCCUGCACGCUAGCAGUAUUUGCAGCCUGUGGAGUAAAAACAAAUCUUAGCGAUCACAGGCAAAGCGCGGAAAAGAUUUCAGAGUAAAAAACAAAAAAAUAUGAACCUGAUUAGUGGCCGUGUCUUCCGCCUGUUGGACGAGUGCGUUACCCUCGGCUGUGACAUGCUAUAUACAAAUUACACGAUGGAGUUAAUGCAGAACAGUAUUUAACAGAGUAAAAGUACACAAGGAAGAAAUGACUUCGCCAAUCUAAACCAUAAUAAUAAAGAUAGGUAAGCAACCUGCUUGAAUAUGUUUGCAACAGGUUCUAAACCUUUAGCAAUUUUAUGAUAAAGCCUGUACAUCCGGGAGAGAUCAUCAACCUGAAAGCACACAGAUACUCCAUCAAAGACAGAAAUAGAAAGACAAAAUAAUUAACAAUGAAACAAAGAGUAAGUUGCUCCACCUUGUCAUCUCUCAGCAAUGCACGGCACCCUGAGUGCUCUUUUUCUAGAAGCUGAUUUGCAUACACAACCAACAGCUCAUGUUGUACUUUCUGCAUCCAACAGAUUAAUAUAGAAGUCAAAUAGAUAUCAAUCAAAAUUAAUAUAUACUUUUCUGCAGAAGCAGGGUCUAAAAAGCAUGUCUCUAUGAAUAAAAAUGCAAAAUCAUGGCUUCUGUAAGUACACGCAUAAUGAAUGCUAUGCAUAAAGUCAAAGUGUCGUGCAUGAGGUAUCAUCAUAACUAACCUCAACCAGCUUUGGCUCGCUGCUUGAAUGAAGGUAGUGAGCCACUCUCUCCCUCUCCUUCUUCAGACAUUCUUCAGACUGCAACAUGAGAUUUAACAAGGAUACAUCAGACUAGUUAACAUAUGCAUUUUACUAAUUUGGAAUGACAACGCAAUCUAGAAAAUAAUAUAAGUAUUCAUACCUUCAGCAUGUAAUCAGGGCAAGAAUCUUCCUGGAUCCAGCUUGAUGCUUUGCGAGAAUAGUAAGAAGCUGAAUCCAAAAGCAUGAAGCUUUCAAAAUCCACUUCGUAUCUUUCCAUCUGUCCCAUUCCAAUCUCUACAUAGAUGUCCAAUACGUUUUUCAGAAGAGCCCUGUCAAUCUGCUCGCCCUCCCGUUCUUUAUCAACCUGACAUAGAAACAGCUCAUGUUAGACCUUGAAUAAGGUAAAAGCAAGAGUUGGAACUAAAUGUACAUUAUACACGCCACACUUACAAGUGCUAUUACAGCAUCUUUGACCUUGGAAUGCAACUCGUUAUAAACCUGAAAUAACAAAAUCAAUCAAGAGUUAAAAUAUCAUUGACGCCAUGUAAAGCCAUACAUAACAAGAACGAGCGCCAAACCCGGUCACGGAAGCAAGUCAGGCCAACUUCAUUCAGCGGUGGAAGUGAUCUCCGAGCAAUGAAGUAACGGUCAAGAUAGUAGAAGAAUCGGGAUAGCCAUCGAACCAUGACUUUAUGGUUAGACCAUCUCUUGACCAGCUCCCGCAGCAUGUACUCAUCAUGCUUCUCCUUCAAAGCAGGCAAAACCUAAUCACAAUAAAAAAAGAAAGAACGGUUUGAUCAACUUAUUGGCAUAUGAAACCAAGCACAAACCUCAAAAACUACAAAAUUGAUGAAUCAGACUCACCGUUGAGUUAAUAUACUCCUCAAACGCUUCACGAUACUUGUCAUAAAGCUGCUGCGAGUAAUCAUGAGGAGGCUUCUGGGUGCACAUGUUGUAGAUAGUCCUGAGAACCACACAAAACCCUCAACUUUCAUCACCAGUUACAAACAAAGCAAACACCUCUAAGACAACUCAAAAGACUAUAACAGAACGUACGUAUAGAGCAUCAUGUACUGCUCAGAGUCGAAUUGCGGCUCAGGCAAUCCCUCAAGAAUCCGUUUCAGUUUAGUGAUACCAGUCUGCAUAUAGUCCCAUCCUUGCUCCAAAUCAAUCGUCUUCCGCUCCAUUCUGAAAGAUUGAUUCCCAAAGCGCUCCUGGACCUAAGAACACGGAACAAAAUCGAAACUUUAGGGCAACAGUUUCCACAUUAUAGAAUCCCAAUCAAACUAUCGGAUGAUGAUAAAACGAACAAUCGAGAACGCUACACAAAAGCAAUCGACGUAACCCUAACAAUCAGAUCCCUAAAAAACUCGAAAACUAGGGAGCUAGACGAGAUCUUAGACCCUAAUUAGAGAAAGACGUUUCGCUUAACCUUGAGGAUUCCCGAUUCGAAAGGAUCGGGAGAGGUUUUGCGAUCGAGAGAGAAAGAUCAAAACCCUGAGAGAGUACGAUAAGAGAGAGGAAGAGGUGGAGACCUUUGAGCAGGACGGUGAACGAGGAAAGGAAAGGAUAUUUAUAACCCCCUCUCUUUUUUAAUCGCCUAUAACUCCUCCUCUAUUAUUCAGGCCGUAGAUUUUUAUCAUUUAUUUAUAAUCUUCGUUUAAUAUCUAUAAAUGUUUAUUUUCUAUUUAACCUUUUCUAAUUUAUUAGCCUGUUCAUUUUCCUAGUUACGGAUCUAUAAUCCUGUUUUAAAAAUCGGCUGCAUAGCUGUAUAGACGGCCGUCUAAACGUUACGCUUCACUCUUUCGUCCCAAUUUAUGAAAAAUUGGUUUAAAAAAUUAGAUAUCCGAUUUUUUCUGUUUAGACCGUCUAAAUAACCGUCUAGCCGCAUAUUCUAUUUUUUUAAUAAUAUUUUAUUUAUUUAUUUGAUCUGAAAUUUUGUAAAUAUCAUUUAUAUUCAUAAUUUUGAUGAAAAUUACAGUAUAUUAAUUUUAUAUAUUCUAUUUGUGUGUUUUAUACAAUCUUAAAUAUGAAAAUGUAUUAAUGUUAUACGCUAUUAAAGAUUACAUGUUUUACAAAAUUGUAAACAAUCUAAAAAUUUUGCCUCGCAUAAUUUCUGAUUAAUCCCCGAAUAACUGAUAUUGACUGUAUACAUAUGAAAAUAAUAUUUAGUUUUUUUAUAAGUGGUUAAAGUGUUUUAGUCCAUGUUCUCAAACGCGAACUCCUAACCGAGUAGGCGCUCGGCGGCACAAUUUUUUUCUCAAACAAUUAUGAUGAAAUACAUAUGUUACAUAGUUUGUGGAAAAUGCAUCAAUGGAAAGAGUUCAUUUUGAAAUUUUUCUUGUAGAACUAUAUACUUGUAAGCAGAUGCAGCUACUGAUUUUUCACAUAGCGUGAUGGAACUAACAUCCAAGGUGAUCAGCUGGUUUAAAUUUCAAAAAGAAGAAGGGAUUUGAUCAACAAAAAUGUUAUUAGAAAGACCGGAGAAAGUGAGCUGAAAAAGGUUUCCUACUAUAGGCAUACUCGGACCACAGAAAAAAAAUAUUAAUAGAAAUGUCGAGUUUGUCAAGAUAAUAAAGGUUUUCAAUCCAAGAAAGAAUAUGAUCCAAAAUUUUAUUAAAUGAAAUGUCAAAAGAAACGAGAUGAGAAAGAUUUACAAUUAAAGAUGGAAUCCGACUCAAAAACCAAAAAAAAAAAUAUUAUCGAAGAAAAAAUGCGACAGGUGAAAAACUAUCGUGCGAAAGGUCGAGCGACGUGAGUCCAGAAAGAUUUCCAAUUACAACAAGUCGUUAUUAGCCCAUGAGUCCGUCUGGGUUUAGUAUUGAUAAUAUAACUGUAAAGAAAGAGUUGAGAACCUUGGACUCGUUUCUGAAAUUGACAAGUGUGACCAUUUGCUCUGGGGCCGCAAACACGGCCUCGUAAUUAUAAACGAACAAGAAAAAAAAAAGACAAAGAGUGAUAGAAAUGGUAUUCAUUCCUUUCUGAUAGAAGAAAAGAAGAAGUGUUGAUGGUAUUAUUAGUAUAUAAACACGCUUCCAUGCCCACCUAUAUACACAAUAAUCUACAAAGAAAAAUUCCAAUCAGUUUGACUCAGUACUUUUCACACAUUUUUGGUCCCCGGCGGCUACAUUGAUUACAAGAUCUUUCCAAUCCAAACAAGAAAAAGUUACGAGUGUCUUAUUUUGCUCUAAAUAACAGCAUUUACAAGCUUUUUACAGUUUUUUUCAAAGAGUCUGUUUUGCAUUGUUUCGUGAUCAUCACAUGCACAGUCUUUCGUUUUGUUUUUCGGUAUAUGUUAAAACUUUAGUUUUUUUGCCAGCAAAGUUUUAAUUUGGGUGGUAAAUGUUUUUUCUUCUAAUUAUUAAAGAAGUUCAGAAUUGAGAUUCUUAAAAAGAUUGGUUAGUAAGACUGAUUCCAGCACCACUUGAAGUUCUAAACGUCUCAUGACAAAUAGUCAAAUAUACAGUUAACUGAAAGAAACCAAAGAAAUGCAAGCUAUGGCUAGCUCUCUCAAAAGAUUAUUUUAGCUAUUGGAUCUAACCUGAUGAUUAGGUUGCCUCAUUACAAGCCCUUAGUGUUCACUUAAUUCUUAUUUGGUUUCUAAAGUUAGUGUUCCCGUUCCAUUUUUGCAGAGCAAUUUUCAAGGCAAAACCUAGUUAGUGAUGCAGUUGCUAGAUUUGAGUAUCCAGCAGUGAUGGUAAUCAUCAUAGGAACAGUCAAGGGACAAUCCCUUGACGUACUCCAUCAGCAUAUAACUCGCUCACUUUGCCUCUCAGAAAGAGACCAACAACAAACUAUGAAACCAGGACUAGUUAGCUCAUCAGAGUCGACAACAAUCAAUCUUGACAACUUGUUAGGGAAUCAGUAGGAUAAAUGGGCACAGCUACAUCAGCUUCAUGGAGGUACCAGCAGAGUCAGAAUGGUUAUUACACAUCUUAUGCUAAGGGGAUUGUGUCCAAUAUGAUGCACAACCAAGUAGAAACCACCCUAACAUGAUGCACAACAACAACCAUCUAGAAAACUUGCUUCUCAUCAUCAUCCUUGUUGUAACCAAAACAGAAGUUGGCGUUAAAUCAUAUACAAUGAGACACGAGUUCUUUUAAUACCAAAUACUUGGAUUUCACGAUACAGCUAGCGUCUUGCUCCCUUGAGACACAAGUUUACAUGUUUAAGAGAUGACAGUAACCGGAACAUCAGUGAUUUAGAUAGAUUGUAAGAAUUGGCCUCUCAUUUUAUUGUCCACCCGAUUUCAAAGUGCAACUUCGUUGGUGAGGUCCUCAAGAAAAUUCUCAAAAGUUGAAUAUUCUUAUUUUAUUGGUUAUUUAUAAAUAAAAUAAAUUUUAAUUAAAAACAAAAAAAAAUAGCCAAUAGACCGCAAGUAGUCAAAGAGGAGUUCUGGGGUGAAAACCCAUUGUUGUACAUGAUCUAUUAAGACGACUUUCAGAUCCAUAAAUAUCUAAUUCUGAUGCUUAACAGUGCUAAUUAGCUGAAAAUUCUCUGUAAACAACCGUGGGGUAAAUGAACAAGUUCGUUUUUCGCUGUCCGAAAGAUAAAUACUUUAUUUCGUCCGUGCUCUUACGUUGCAAGUUAUGAGUCAAGGUAGAAGGAGCUUUAAUUUAGACUGUUGAAUUUUGUUAUAAUAAUUUCCUAUUCAGUUAACAAAAAUUCGAUUGUCUAAUAAUACAACCGUGUCCUAAACAAUCUAUGUCCCAACUAACAAAAGGAUUGAGUAAGGAGAUAAGAUAAAAGAAGCCAUUAAGAUCAGAUAAUUGUAGUCUGAGUUUUAGUCGACAUAAUAUUUCCGAACAAUCGUUAUCAUCAUGUCAUUGGCUCUUUCUCAUCCGAACUCCAAAGAGAAAUCAAAUUAUCAUCAGGAAAAAUCAAUUAAAAAGUUGAAAGUGAAGGCUCAGAAGGAUCCAUUGGUAAAAUUUCUAAUCAGAGAUUUACUCAUAAAAUAGGUAGAUUUUCAUCAUCACUGCCUUCACUAGUAACCAGAAAUCGAAGAGAUGAGAAUUUUUCCCAUAAAAGCCAAAAUUGAAAACAGUUUAACGAAACAUUGAAACAAGAAUGUGGAAUGAAAGACGAGAUGUAAUGGCUGGAUCAGCUUUAAAUUGUAAUCGCUGAGUUGGGAGAAGUCGCGGACGGCAAUAUAUAUAAGACGAUGGAGGUAGCUAGGGUUUUACGUUUUGAAAAGAAUUGGGUCGGGCCUGUUGAGACUCCAACUCUUGGAUAUGGGCCUUGUAAAUGUUUCAGUUUUUAAAUCUACUAGCAUGGAGAAAUAUAAGUUUUUUAAAAAAAAUCUUAUAUAUUAUGUAUUAUAAUUAUAAAAAAAAUUACAUAUACAAUUUUACAACAUAUAACUUUAUAUGGUUUAUGCGAAUCAAAUUCACAUCUAACCAAUUUUACUUACACCCUUAUGAAGAUCACAUGUAAGUCUUUCAUCUGUAAAUAUGCAUAAUUAUUUAAUAAAUCGUGUUCUUCAAUAUUCAAAACCCAAAAAAUUAAUAAAUCUUCGUUAAACCAUCAAAUUACUGAAACUUUCACCAAGAAAUUCAAGACUGUGAAUAAAAAUGAAAAAAAUAUGAGAUUGUGAGAGCAAGUGAUGGGAGGAAAACACAGCCUAGUCUAUCGAAAAAAAAGAUUGAGACAAUUAUACAUCUUUGUUGUGUGUGUAUUGCAGAACUUGGUUGUUGUUAUUUUAUCUAUGUAUUGAGAAAAUUGCAAAGCUUGUAACAGUAACCUUAACAAUCAGCCGUCUUCGUAGUUAGUAAUUGGUUUGAUCCAAUGCCUCUUACACUAAAUCCUAGUCUACUUUUGUUUUCCAUUUAUUCUCUUCCAAAACUACAUGAAGUAGUAAUCAGAACAAACUGAUGGAGAAGUUUUACUCUUCUAAGGACAAAUGUGCCUUCUCUUUGCGUUGUUUCCUUCAUAGUUUACUUGGCUUUUCUCCAACGUUACUUACAUGAGUAAUCAGAACAAAUGGAAAAGUUUAAAUUCUUUUGUGAACAAAUUUAAUUUCUAUUUUUGUCAUUUUCAUCUUGGUUCCCAAACCUAAAAGCAUUUCUUUUUGGUUUUGAGAACAAUGAUAUGUAAGUGUAUUUUUGAAGCUCCUUCUUGUGUUCUAAUGACAGUUGAGUUCAAGCCCGUAUGAGAAUACAGAAGUGGAAACAUUCAACUCCUCUCUUAUUACAUCAGGUUCGUUCUUCUUCUCCUUUCUAACUUAUCCAUUCAAAAGAGUUUAGUUAUCCAUUUAAAACAUAGUAAAGAUCUUCUUGAAACUUGGUUUUAAUUUGCUUACACAGUGAAUAAGAACCGACAUAGAGUUAUCUAAGCUCGCGUUUAUGUCAUCGGCUAGUGCAUUUGAGAAAUGGACAAGCUUGACAGGUCUUUUAGGACAGCUUAAGGGAAUCUGAUUGGCUACCAAUUGUUUACUUUUCUGUUGUCGUCUUGUGUAUUUUUCUACAUAUUGUCAACAAAAGAAUAGAGAUAAAGGAAAGCAAACCUUUGAAAACUUCAUCCUCUUUAACAUAUUUGGUUAUCAUUCUUUAUUCAUUUUUUCAUACUAAGCCAAACCACUUUCUUCAACACUCCAGUAACAAUUGUUAUAUCAAAAUGAGAUCUUUUAAACCGGAAUGGGAAAGCCCAUAGACUGAACCGGUAAUAACCAAGCGUCAAGAGAUGUCAUGUUACUACUAGAUGAAGCUUGCUUGACUAUAAGGGGGCAGUUUGAGUCAUUUGGCAGUUACUACAGACUUGUUUGAUCUUUUCUCUGAUGACAUUAAAUCCUUUAUCUAGAAGAACAAAAAAACUUCCAUCAUUAUAACCAAAUGUGAAAACAAAUAUACAAACGUUAAUCAAUCCAAUUCAACUUUGAAAAAUCAUCCAAGCAGACUAGUCAAUAUUGAUGGCGACGGUCUUAUAGAGGCAUUACUUAUCUGUUAAAUAAUACUAUUAACAUUAAUGAGAAUGCAAAAAAUGCUCUGCCUUUUACUUGUAUAAAUACCAGCACUACUUGUGUCUUAUUUCAUCACCUUCACCUUCAACAUCAAACACAUCACAUCUCUCAAAGAGUUUCUUAGUAAUCAAAAUCAAUGGCAGGUAUCAAAGUUUUCGGACACCCAGCUUCCGCUCCCACCAUGAGAGUCCUCCUCACCCUCCACGAGAAAAACCUCGACUUUGAGUUCGUUCAUGUCGACCUCAUGGGAGGUGAGCACAAGAAAGAGGCUUUCCUAGCCCGCAACGUAAGUAUAUCUAUCUGUGUUGUUGUGAGACAGGAUAAACACUCAGAACCGGGCAAAAAAUUAAGCUCCUAUAAUUAAUGUUUAUUUAAUUUUUUUAACUUUUAAAAGUUAAUCAGUAAUAUUUUUGUAAAUUUCAUGAAAAAAAAACAAAACUAUACACAUAAAAUAUUUUGGGUCAUUUCAGUCUAAUUAAUCAAACUUUAAUUUUUGUAUAAAAAUAAUGUAUAUAUAUAAAAAGUUGAACUACUUAACUACUAGGAUUACAUGAAGACAUGGAUUUGAGCCCGGAGCGGCCAUACCGUUUGUCCCCCGAAUUAGCUGCCCGUUUUUGAUGAAUCUGGUCUAAAUCUUGAAUGUUUUGCGUUUGAUUGAUAUUGCAGCCUUUUGGUCAAGUUCCAGCCUUUGAAGAUGGAGACCUCAAGCUCUUUGGUACGAACGUUUUCGCAGAUCAUCUCAAAUAUGAUUUGACAAUAUGCAUAAAAAGAAGAAGAAACAUUCACUAACAUGAUUUGUUUCUUUUGUGUAGAAUCAAGAGCCAUUACUCAAUACAUAGCUCACCGAUACGAAGGCCAAGGAACCAACCUUCUCCCAGCUGACUCCAAGAACAUAGCCCACUAUGCAAUCAUGGCCAUCGGAAUGCAAGUAGAAGCUCACCAGUUCGAGCCAGUGGCUGCAAAGCUUGUUUCUGAACAAGUAUUUAAGCUCAAGAAAGGCUUGACCACAGACCAAGCCGUUGUUGCCGAAGAGGAGGCUAAGUUAGCCAAGGUCCUUGAUGUCUACGAGGCUCGGCUCAAGGAGUUCAAGUACUUGGCUGGUGACACUUUUACUUUGACCGAUCUUCACCACAUUCCUACGGUUAAAUACUUGCUUGGAACUCCCACCAAGAAGCUCUUCACCGAGCGUCCACGUGUCAACGAGUGGGUGGCUGAGAUCACCAAGAGGCCAGCUUCCCAGAAGAUCCUUCAGUGAUAAGUUACUAAAAGCUUCUGCUUCAGUCGCAGUAAUAAUGCUCAGAGUUAAUAAGUUACUGCCUCAUUUCCAAUUUCUCAGUACUCUGUUUUUAUUCUCAGUUAUAACUAAGUGUGUGUUCUUGAGAGAUAUUUCUUGAAUCAUAAACUGUCUAAUCUUCAAGCUCUUCUAUAAUAAAAAGAUUAGUUACUUAUUUAAUACAAAGGUUGCAAUGUCUUGACUACAGAGUUACUGAUUAGUGAGCACAAAGACUUUGUUUGAUUAGUCUUUGCAAAUUUUUACUUUCUACCUUUGCAAGCUGACCUAAGACUUUGACUCCAUAAACAAUAGUAAAGAGUAAAGACACAUGAUGGAAAGAGAAAUCUAAAAACAAAGCAUAGCUCAGAUCACUCAAAUUGGAUUUGCUUUUUACCUUAACCCCUUUUAAGACGCUAGGUGAAGCAACCCAUCUCAUCUUUAGUCUCCAUUGUGUUGCUUGACUCAUCCCUCACUUUGACUUUACAGCUACCCAAUGAAUCGAGGGCAGAGACUGAGACAUAUACUUACAGCAUCUGGUCAUCCCAAAGUUAGAAGCUUUACAAUACUCACAUAUUGACUUUACCAAGAAAUAUCAUUUUUAGUUAGUAGAGUUUGUACGUCAUCAUCCCGGCCCAUGGCGUUCAAGGGACCAAAAAAGAAUAAUGGGAGAUCAUAAUAUCGACAUAGAUCCAACGGUCAAGAAUAAUGAUAGCAUUAAGAAGAUAUAAAGAUAUUUGAUAGUACAACAAUAUUUUUUGAAAGCCUAAGUUUCAAAAAAAAAAAAUUGAAAAUAACUACCGAUAUUGUACUAUUUUAUAUUAAUUUAUGAAAUUAGUUUUACUCAUCUCUAAAUAAAUCAUAGUAGGUGAUUAUCUCUCGCUCAUGCACAAGGAUAUAAAUAAUUAUAAAUUAUAAUAAUUUAUUAAAAUUUAAGAUUAAAUUAUUUUGUAAUUUAUAUGUAUAAAAUAGUACUAUGUUAAUUUUUUAGACAUGUGAUUUUGGAUAUAAUAUUAAGUAUGUUUAAUUAUUAUUUAUGUAUAUUGGAUUUUAUUUACUUCUUUAAAAUCGACCAUAGUAAUUUUUUAUUUUCAUUUAGUUUGAUUGUUAUCUCAUAUCUGUAAAUAUAUAUGUUGUUUUGAGAAUCAAAUAAAAAAAAUUAACGUAUUGAUUAAUAAGUUACAUGAAUUAAUAUAAAUAUAAUCUUGUAAACAGUCAGGCAUGUAUAUGAAUUAAAAAAAUAAAAUAAACUGUGACAAUUUAUUAAUAUGUUUAAACAAUUCCAUAAUUUAAAUGUAUAAAAUUAAUAAAAUAUUACUAUAAAUAAUAGCAUAUUAAUAUUUGAGUUAGAUAUUUGAUUUUAGGUAUAAGAAUUUGUAUUAGUCAAGUUAAUAAUUUUGUGGAUUAUAUUGAGUUACAUAUGUUUUUUUAAUGUUAAGAACAUUAGUUUAGUUCUUCACCGUAAAUGCGUAAGAUUCAGAAAAAAAGAAUGUGUAAGUUUACUUUCAUAAUUUUUUGUAUUACUGAUAUUUGUUUUUUAAUAAAGAAAUUCUUAAAGUAAAACUAAAAAUGAUCAAUAUGAAGGUGCAUAAAUGAAAAUAACUAAUAAAUUUUUAAAAGAUCAUGAAUGGAUAUCAAUAUUUUAAAAAAUUAUGUAAAAUAGGUCUAUAGUAAAAAUAAUAUUUUUAGUUUCACUUUCUAAUAUAUGACUUAUUUCUUAAAGUCAAUUUCAAAAGCAACAACAUUAUUUAAUAUUUCUAAAAUAAAUACUUUUUGAGAAAUCAUGUUAUGUAAGUAACUUUCAAAAUUUCUUUAGAUAUUUUCAUCAGUGUAGUACCGUAAUUGAAUAAAAGUUAUAAGAAGUUUGAGUCAUUUGGCAGUUACUACAGACUUGUUUGAUCUUCUCUCUGAUGACAUUGAAUGCUUUAUCUAGAAGGAAAAAAACUUUAUUCCAUAACCAAAUUUAUAAACAAACUUCAUUCAAUCCAAUUUAACUUUAAAAAACCUCUAGAAAAACAAGUCAAUAUUGGUUGCGACGGUCUUGUAGAUGCAUUGUGUAUAAGUUGAAUAAUAUGUAACAUUAAUGAGAAUGCACAAAAAUUCUCUGUUUUUUACUUGUAUAAAUACCAUCACCACUUGUGUCUUAUUUCAUCACAUUCACCUUCAAACAUCAAACAUCACAUCUCUUAAAACAGUUUCUUUGUAUCAAUGGCAGGUAUCAAAGUUUUCGGACACGCUGCUUCCAUUUCCACCAGAAGAGUCCUCCUCACCCUCCACGAGAAAAACCUCGACUUUGAGCUCGUUCAUGUCGACCUCAAGGACGGUGAGCACAAGACAGAGUCUUUCCUAUCCCACAACGUAAGUAUAUACUUAAUCGUUUCAUUUUAAAUCCGUUUCAUUUUAAAUGUAGUUGUAGAAUUUAAAUUUUAUUUCAUUAUAAAUGACAUUUUAUAUUUUCAGUGCAAAUUUUUGAUGGUUUUUUCACUUUUAAUUCCUAUCUUUCAGCACAUUAAUUUUUAAAAAAUAAAUAAAAUAGUGUACUAAUUAGGGAUAUAAUAGAAAAUUUAAUGAUUUUAUUAAUUUGUGUGAAAGAACCUUAACAACAUAUGAAACGAAACGUAGGGAGUACAUAUAUAUGUUGUUGUAAGACAAGAGUACAAGACCAGCACUCUGAUGAAUCUGGUCUAAAUCUUGAAUGUUUUGCAUUUUUAUUUAUAUUGCAGCCUUUUGGUAAAGUUCCGGCCUUUGAAGAUGGAGACCUCAAGCUCUUCGGUAUGAACGUUUUCAUGAUCUUCAAUCUUAAUCUGAUUUGAAAAUUAUAUGCGUAGGAAGAAGAAACAUACACUAACAUCAUUUGGUUCUUUUGUGUAGAAUCAAGAGCUAUUACUCAGUACAUAGCUCACCGAUACGAAGGCCAAGGAACCAACCUUCUCCAGCCUGACUCCAAGAACCUGGCCCAAUAUGCAAUCAUGGCCAUGGGAAUGCAAGUAGAAGCUCACCAGUUCGACCCACUGGCGUCAAAGCUUGCUUGGGAACAUGUAUUUAAGCUCAUCUAUGGCUUGACCACAGACCAAGCCGUUGUCGCCGAAGAAGAGGCUAAGUUAGCCAAGGUCCUUGAUGUAUACGAGGCUAGGCUCAAGGAGUUCAAGUAUUUGGCUGGUGACACUUUUACUUUGACCGAUCUUCACCACAUUCCUGCGGUUCAAUACUUGCUUGAAACUCCCACCAAGAAGCUUUUCACCGAGCGUCCACAUGUCAACAAGUGGGUGGCUGAGAUCACCAAGAGGCCAGCUUCACAGAAGAUCCUUCAGUGAGGAUUUCUAAAAACUAAAAAGAAAACAAAAUAGUUCUGCUUCAGUUACAGUAAUAAUGCUAAGAGUAAAUAAGUGGCUGCUUCAUUGCCCAAUUCCUCAGUACUCUGUUUUUUUCUCUGUUUUUAUUCUCAGUCAUGUGUGUAUUCUUGAGAGAUCUUUGUUCAAUCAAAAACUAUCUGUCUAAUCUUCAAGCUCUUUUAUAAUAAAAAAUACUCCCUACCUUUUAUACUAAAUGUUGUUGUAGAGAUUUUUUUCCAUUACAAAAUAAGUGUCAUUUUCGAUUUUUAAUGCAACAUUUAUUGAUUUUAUUUAGUAAUUUAUUUUUCUAUUAAUUGAAAUAUGGUUAGGUUAGGUGUAUAGUUAAUUGUGUUUUUAUAUAGAAAAUAUACAAAAUUAGUUGUUUCCUUAAUCCGUGUACAAACCCAAAACGACAGUUAAAAUGAAACACAUGGAUAAGGAGUAUUAGUUAAUUAAUACGAAGGUUGCAAUGUACCGCAGAGUUAUUACUGAGAACUAGAGAUUUUUUCCGCGCUUCGCGCGGAUUAUGUCUUAUAAAUUUAUUUUAUUUAUAAUAUUAUUUGUUAAUUUUUUUCUUUUAUAUUAACUUCUUGUUUUUCCAAUGUUAGUUUUUCUUAAUUUAAAUUUAUAAGUUAAUAAUUUUUCAUUUUUUUGUUGUAGAUGGAGAAUUAUAUUUUUUAUUGAUGGUUUUUUGUAUGUGAUAGUGACAUAAAUUUUUUGAAAUUUUAAAAUAAUAUUAUAUAUAGUACGAUUAACACAUUAAAGAAGAGAAACAUAUUCAGACACAUUUUACACAGGUUUUAUAUGCAUAAUUUUAAACAUUAUAUAUGUAUAUAUUAUAAGUUUGAAACAUGUAAAUGCUUUCUAAAGCUAAAUACUUGUUCUGAGUUUACAUAACUUAUCGAAAGUUUUAUCUCUUUUUAAAUUCAAAUCACAGAAAAAAUAUAAAAAAGUCAGUAUAGAUAGGUUUUUUGGGCUUUUAAAUCAACACUGAAAAAUUACAUGAAUCAGAUAAUAACAGUUUUGUAAACAACUGGAUAAAAUUUGACCGAGCCAAAGAUUUUCACACAAUAUGUUCUUUCUUCUUCAAAUUGCGAAGAGCCUAUAGGCACAAGAAAAAAAUCAUAAAUUUUGUUUUCACUUAUAUAACAUUUUUUAUCCUUUACACACGGAGUUUAUUACACUGCUAUAAGCAAUGUAGAACUCUAUUCAUAUAAGAUUCACAUCUAUGCAUUUUGACAAAGAAGAAUUUCAGCCAUAUUUAGUUUCAGAAUGUACCAACUUCAGUCAUAUACACUAUAUUUUCUCUAUGAUUCAAAACUUAUAAUUUUAAUAUAUGUGCAGAUUUCCAUGUGAAAAGGCACGCAUGCCAUCUAUCAUUCAACCUAUUACUUUUUCCAAAGUAAACACUAUAAUCCUCGUUUGGUUAGCUCCACAAACUAAUCUCUUUGGAUCAGUUUAUCAAAAAAUAUGGAUACUAAUGUCAGAAAAGAAUAUAAACACUAUCAACAAUACAUAUUGGCACAAGAAUAUUUGGUUCAAGGAACAUAUUCCACGUAAUGCGUUUAUAUCAUGGCUGGCUUUGCGGAGAAGACUGCCAACCAAGGAUCGCUUGAGGCGUUGGGGAUUAAAUGUCUCAGGAACGUGCGCCCUUUGUAAUCUGGAAAUAGAGACUCACCAUCAUCUCUUCUUUGAGUGAUCUUUCUCUCGCUUGAUAUGGGAGCCUUUUGCUGCUGAAGUUUGGAUUUCUCCUCCGGCUGAUCUACACUCUGUUGCAGCCUAGAUCAAUCAACCUCGCGUCAACGUAGAUGCACAUGCUACUCCAGUCAUCAAGCUCUACUUUCAGUCAUGUCUCCUCACCUUCAUCAGUCAUCCUUGCCUCUUUCGACCGUAUGAUGCGUGACCGUCUCCUCUCUUACCCGGUAAGUUCUUCUUUCUCAUCUUCUCUACUUCUUUUUAUAUUUCUUGUAUAAGACUUCCUUAAGGCUUUUUUUACCUUGAGUUGUUGUUGGUUGUUUUUGUUUCCUUGUUGUAAUAAGUUGUUUAAAAACAACAGUGUAACCUUUUAGAAAAUAAUAAUCUUAACAUCUUACCAAAAAAAAAACAACAAAUAUUGACUUAUUUAUGUGAAUAUAUAUUUUAUUUUAAAUCAUUAUAGUGGACGAAUAAAACACCAUAAUUUGUACAACAAAUUUUCUUAGAUUCACCUCAUCAUACUCACCAUUUUACCAUUUUAAUUACAUAAUUUUACAUGAGCUUCUUCAUCCUUCCCGGUUAUUUUCUCUUUAUUUAUAACUACAAUAUAAUGUUAUAAAUUAUAUAUAUUAUAAAUUAAUAAUUUAUUUACCCUUAAAGUCUAACUAUUAAAAUAUAACAUAAUUCAAUAUAGAUAUAUGAUUCUAUUAAUAAAUUAGUAGUUACAAAUUUGAAAUUUUUAGAAAUAUCAAAAAUUGUAUGUUAGUUAAUUAUUUUCUAAAUAAUAUUUAUUUUUAAUUCUUUUUAGAUGAGAAUAUUUUGGCUGAGGUGGAUAGUCUCAAAAGCCUUGAAUUUAGUCCCUUUUAUAUAGUAGGAUAUUAUACAUCAUACAAAGACUUUCAGUUUUAGUCUUUUUUUUAUGCACAAUUUGAUUAGUCUUUGCGAGUGUUUUUACUUUCUACCUUAUUUUCUCAGCAAAGAAGCUAAGCUAAGACUUUGAACGUUCUUAUCUUUAAAAGUCUCCAUGCUUUGUGCCUUUGUGGGAUCUCAAAUUUUAGAAUUAAAUCUUAUAAACUAUAUUAAAAUUUAGGUUAGAUUUUUUAAAAAAUUAUGCCAAAUUUAUUGAAAAUUUUCUAAUUAAUUUUUUUCUGUAUUCACAUUUUGAUACGCUGAAGGUUGAACUAAAGAGACCCAAAUGAUGCUAUAAAUUCCCAAACCAUAGUAAGUCAGUACUCUAUUGAUGUAUCCAAUAUGCUUUUGACAUCUUGUAUACUAAAAGAAUCAACUAUUUAGUUGUUAGAUGUAGAUACAUUUGAAAGCAGGCUAAAAAUGUUCUUCAGUUAACAUUGAUUAUUAUUGAUUCUGAAAUAUGGAUUAAAAAAAAGAGAGAGAAACAAACUGAUGUCUAUGCACAAUACUUUUGCUUCCACCCAUCUUACAACAACAAGCAAAGACAUGAAUAUAGCUAGAAACAGAACACAAAUUCCUAAACGCCGCAGAUCCGAGUAUUCAAGCUUGGUUGGUUUGUUGUACCUUUACAGCCUUAAACGCCGGGUGAAGCAACCCGAGCUCGUCUUUCAUCUCCAGCGGAUUGCUAGUCUCGUUCCUCACUCUCUUUACUUUGCGACUAGCCAAAGAUUUAUGAGUGAAACCAUAUAUUUGCAGAAUCUGGUUAUCCCCAAAGUUAAAGGCUCUGUCCAUCUGUUUUAGACACCGUUCAACCGGGUAGUCCCCAAACUUCCCGCAUGGUUUGCAACCGACAAAGUGAGUCACCAAUGGCCACCGGUGGUCACCUAGACCCGGGUGGUAGUUUUCUAUCAUUUCUUCGUAUCGGUCCACAAGUAUUCCCCAGUAACCGUGAAGAUAGUACCCAUUUUCUAGGUAUACCUAUAACAACAAUGCAGCAGCUCAAAUAAGAAUAAAGCAAAACCAUAACAAAAUGCAACUCGCAUUGUGAUCUGUGAUGAUAAAUAUGUGAUGAAGAAACGUUAUAAACAUAACAAGAUGCAACUCACAUUGUGAUAUGCAGUGAUAAAUUAAAACUUUAUGAUGAAACAAAUUAUAAACAUAACAAAUGCAACUCACAUUGUAAUUUGUGGAUACAAAUUACAAUGCCUAUGUGAUCAGAGACUUUAUAAAACCACAAGAUGCAACUCACGUUGUGAUUUGGAUGAUAAAUUAAAACUUCUUGUGAUGAACAAACGUCAUAAACUGACAAUAUGCAACUCACAUUAUCAUUUGCGAAUACAAAUCCAAUUCCUAUGAGAAUAUGCAACUCACAUAGUGACUUGUAAGUGAAAAAACUCAUACUGAUAUAAUCAAGAGACGCUAUAAACCAACAAGAUGCAACUCACAUUGCAAUUUAUGUGCGAAAAACCGAUCUUUAUGUAAUCAAGAGAUGCUGUAGACUACUAGACUUAUAUAUUGGUUUAACAACUAAGGCAAUAUGAAUCUCAAAUCAAAUUUCAGUUAUUACCUUAUUACCCCAAGUGUCUCGCUGAGUAGCCAAGAGAUAAACCAUAGCAGACUGAUCAUCAGCUUCGAAAACCGGCCUACCCUUAAGCUCACGAGUCAAAACCUUACCCGCUUCCUCACGGAUCUUCCCUUUAGGACCCAUAGGAGCCCAAGUGUCAAGCAAAUCAAGCGCCCACUGAUUAUUCCUAAGCAAGAAACUCCCAGUAUUCAACCCAAUCCAAUUCUUGUCAUCAUAAACCAUCUCAUUCCAUCCAUGCAUCACCAAGUUAUAAUCCUUAUACCUCUCCCACGGAAGCUCAAACGCCAUGUCCGUAAACAUGGCAUCACUAUCCAUCCACCACAGAAACUCAAUCUCGGGGUGAGACAGCAAAAGCUUCCUAAUCAACGGCAGCUUCGCCCAAAACCCAGCCAUCUCAGCAUCGAGCAGAGCCAUGUUGUAGAAGAUCUCGAUCCCGUGAAGCCUACAGUAAUCGAUCUUGUUCUUGAUCGACUUCAAGAGGUAAUGGUCUCCCACAGGAUUCUCACACGGCUUCGGAGCAGAACCGGUCACCAAGAGGACACGUGGCUUGUUUGGUCCGAUGAAGUUGGGGAAGCUAGGGUUCUUCCCUAACCAGUCGGAUCUUUGCUCGUCCCAAUCGGAUAUCUUGGGUCCGAGAGUGUACGGUUUAUUCGGGUCGGGUUUCUCUUCUUCUCCUUCGUCAACGAAUAUCUUGUUAAUGUCAAACGUCUCAUAGUUAUUGCUCCCGGCGCCGCCACCGUCGCCGGAAUCUCCUCCUCCGCCGCCGCCGGAUUGUAUUUCUUCGAGUACACGGUGAGGCUCAGCUCGUUUACGAGAUGUUUGGAAAUGCUGACGGAUCUCGUCGAGGUCUUGCUCCGGUGUACCGAACUUACCGGCGCCGAUUGUGCCACGUAGGACGACUACUGUGAGAACGAGACAGAGGACCGUCACCUUUAAGUGGCGUAAUGCUCUUUGGAUUCUCCGGCACCGGUGAGCUCCUAAACAUCUCUCGAUCAUCUUUAUCCAAUCUACUUCGUCUUCUUGGUAGAGAGAGAGAAUCUCUCUGUUUAUUAUUAUCUAAUUGAGGUCAAGAGAAGAUCUGAGUUUUCCAUUAAUGAAAGAUUCGAAUUUGAUUUUUUUUUUUUGGACACUGUUACUUGUCAAAGUUACUACAAAAGAGUUUGCGUUCGGACAGUACUACUGUUAGUAACUUUAAGUUGUCUGAUUUUUUACUCGGUUGUGUCGGUUGUGGUUGUGUGUUAGUGUAGUGUUUGUCACACGUGGCGAUAUAUCAGGGUAUGUGACUUGUUAUAUAUGGUCCUGACCGUUGAUGCAACAUGGAUCGAGAUAUCGGAGCGCGUUGAAAAGUCAACUCGUUAAUAUUACCGUAGUUCUUUUUUCGUGCAACAGAAAUACUGUAGUAGUUUUUUUUCUUAUAAAUAGAAAAAAAGUUGAAAACAAAAGGGAACAUAAAUAGGAAAAACGAAUUCACCAUGUUGGAUAUGGUUAAACAGGGGUUGACAAAAAAAAAAAAAAGGCUAAAGAGGGCUCGGCUCGGAUCAAAUAUAUGAGUUUUUUGAGGUUUUCGCGAUCUAAUCCAUUUUGUUUGAAUAACCAACUAUUCGAUUAUAUUUGAUCCAUAGCUAUUCGAAUAUCCUGUGUCUAGAAUAUCUAGAAUUUUUUUUGUAUUUUUAACAUAUAUCCGAUUCGAUUAGUAUAAAUAAAAUUACAAUAAAUAAAUAAUCCUAAAAUAAAGAUAAAAUAAUAAUAUUUUAUUACAAAAAUAUAAAUUUCUUUACUUUUUAAAAUUAUAAUAACUAAUAUAAUAAAUAUAAUAUUGUAAAACUUAUAUAAAAUAUUAUAUUUAUAUGAUUAUUUAUAUAUAUAUGUAUAUAACAUAUCAUAUUUCAUAUCUUUCUUAAAAAUAUUAGUAUUUGUGAUUUAUUUUAUUUUUUACUGAUAUUACAUAUUAAUAUUUGCUUUACUUCGUAAAAUUACAGAUAUUUAGAUUUUUUUUAUUUGAGUCAAAAUAGAUAAUGAAUCGAACCAAAAUUUAUUGAUAUUUUUCCCAAUCUUAUGGUUAGUUACUAGUUAAAGUUUAGUUGGCUACCACAAUACUUCUUUUUUUACUUUAUUUAUUCUCCUGGUUUAUGAAUUGUUUUUUUCAUUUACACCAAAAAGGUUUAUGUUAUAAAAGUCAACUAGGUAGUAAUCCUCCCCUUGCGUAAGAUGAGGUUAUUAAUUUUGUUAUUUUUAAGAUGUUAAGACAUUAUGUCUUACUUCGGCUUUGGGUUGGUUUUUCAGGUUUUAAUAUCUUAUUAUAUAACUAAUUUCUAAAUUCAUAUUUAUUUUUGUUUGUUCGGUUAAAAUGGUUGAGGAUUUUUGGUUUUUUGGUGAUAAACCAAAACUAAUUAGUAUUUGUUUGGUUUCAUGUUAUCAAAAUUUUAGACAAUCCUGAUGUCAACCAAUCGUUUUACAUUAUAAUUUCUAAACGCAUUCAUAAUAAAAUUAAAUCUAGAUAAUUGUUAAGAAAAACAAAAAAAAAUUAUAAAGACAAAUCAUUUCAUUACAAUUAGAUUAAUGGUGAAUGAAGAAUUAAAAAUAAUAAUAUUGUAUAUUGCGUCUGAAUUAGAAUCAUCACUUACGGUGAAUAUUUAGUUAUAUAGGUACUCACUUCAAUGUGCAUAUGAAUAUAUAUGUAAAUAUUUUAAAAGUGUUUCACAAAUGAAAUAUAAAGAUAUUGAAAUGACAAUUUUCGGUCUUCGGUGUUGCGUAUGUGUGUCGUGCGAGUUGUCGUGUGGAGUUGGGGCUCUUGCUUCACCGGAUUUUGGUAGGUUAUGUGUCUCUUUGCUUUCUUUAUGGUUUUGGCAAUGUGUUCUCUGGUGGUUGCAGCAUGUGGAGCUUCUUUUGUGGCGGAGGCGUGGUCCGCCUCUCCGUGUUCCCCGGUUGUAGCGGGUUGGUGCUUGAGCUACUCCGGUUCGCUAUUGCUCAGUCUUUUUCUCCGGUCAUUGCUCGACACUUCUCAGAUCGAAUAUUGGUCGGUGAUAGUGGCAUGCUGCGUUCUUCACUCUUCUCAAAUAAUCUCAGCAGCUUUGUGUUCUUAGCUUGUGGUCAGUUACGGUUCAAGUGGGUCACUUGGUGCGUUAGUGGACAACAAGUUUCAGAUUUUGGCUAUAGUUUUGUCUCCUCAGGAGGAUUCUCCGUUUCUGAUAUGUCUUCUUUAUAAGGGUUGUGGUUAUAUGGGUGCAUACGGUCGUGUGUUGGUUUCCGCACUGACCCUUAAACACUAGGUGGACUAUGGAUGAGGUAAUUUCCGGCUUAAACGGCUGAACAACGACAUUGUAGGCUUACAACUUUUCCUUGUACCACUGGUGAGUUCAAUUAUCUCGCCUGCUUUGGGCUAGAGCUAUAGAAACCAUAGUAUUCAAGGUUAAAGGGUCUUUUUCCGAGUUUAUUCGUCUAGUUUCCGAGUUGGUGGGUCUGAGCCCGUCUCAUUAUCAAUCAUGUUAUCAUUGUGCUUUGUUGCUUUGGUCUAUUACUUUGUUGUUUGUAGCGUUUUUUUUGUUUAACUGUGCGUAGUUGUUCUUGUAUUUUGUUAUUUUUUUAUUUCUGCCACUAGUUCAAAUUUGUAUCGUCUGUCAAAACUCAGAAAUGUGGUAUAAUAAUUAACAUCUUACGACAAAAAAAAAACGAAUUUACAAAAGGUCACGUGAUGUAACAUGCAUGGAUCAAUGGAUGUAUACACGCACACGUGCCUAACACAACAACAACAGUUAGACGAGCCCAGACCCCAAGUGGUGUUCAUCGAGACGUGUGUAGUAGUGAACCUGUUCGGUUCUUUCCCGUCUAUAAAAGAUUCUUCACGAGUUCGUGUAACUGGUCAUUGGUCAAACGUUACUUAUUUUACCCACUGAAAUUCCAAAUCAAUGUGUGACUUACAGUUGACUUUUUAUUUCAGCUAAAUGUUUUCAAAAAGAGUAGAGCUUGGCUGAGAUUUUCUCCCAACAAUCCACAUAAUUUUUACUUUUUUUUUCUUUCUUAUCGGUUACGCCUUCAAACCUAUUUACACGUAACAAAGUAUAUAUACAUAUUUCAACAUUGAAUGUCAGUUAAAAAAACCAUUCAAAAUACGUGUAUCUAUGUUAGAGAGAGAAAGCAGAUCGGGUUGUGGUUUCCGACGUCCGGCCGGCGCGUGAGCGCGCGUGCCGGUGCGGGAGCCCUUUGAUCUUUCACCAAGUGCUUUUCUUCGGCUUCUCAUACUUGUCCUCCCCCUAUCGCCUUGUCGGAGCGCUGGUCCGGGCCUUGUCCGUUGUCGUCACCUCCGGGGGCGACCCGGUGGAUUUGGAGCAACGACGCGAGUGGGUGGAGGAUGGGGGUGGUGAAGCCGGUAGUUUCGAGUAGUAUUAGUUUUCCGGGAGGUGGAGGCUUAUAGAGCUCCAUCGACGCCGACUUUGUCACCGGGAGGCGGAGGCUUCCUUUGCUCCGCUGUCGCCGGCUCUUGUCUCCGGGGCGUGAAGGUUGCUCUGUGCCUUGCGCCGCCGGCUAAGUGGUCUUUUUAUAUCCGUUUUUUAGGUUUAUCUUUUAGUCUCUAGCGAUGUCGGGUUGGUUUGGCCGGUGGAGCUCUCGUCGGAGGAUGAUAGACGCUCCCCGGUGGUAACUGGGUGAUGGUUUGCGCUACGCUUUCUAGUCGGUGGUGGUGUUUUAAUUGUGACGGAUUAGCUCUCCUCUGCGAUUGAUGCUAUCCGAGUUUAGAAUCGCUGUCUUGAGGGUGUUAGCGGUGAAGAUGGUGGAGCUAUUGAGCUUGUGGGUGUACCGGUGGUUAGAUCAUGGGAGAUGGCACCGGGGUCUCGAUUGUUGCGGUUUCCGGCGUGGUUCGAAGCGGUUGAGCGUGAGUGAUGCGCCUCCGUUUUGGGAGUUAGGGUUUCCGUUUUCUUUUGGGCUUUUGGGCCUUUGUUUGUGUGGAGUUGGGUUGUCCCUUGUGGUUUGGGCUGUGUAAUGGUUGGGCUUGGCCCUUAUUUUAAAUAAAAUUUCUGAUGGAAAAAAAAAAUACGUGUAUCUAUGUUUAUAUAAUGGUCUAGUAUGCUUAGAUAGAUUAAAAGAAAAAGUUUUGACUACACUGAUUCAUUGUGUUUAUGUGGUAAAGUAAAAAGGUUUGACUUAGUGGAGUCAAUCUCCAGAAAAAGCAAGUAGAAGAAUCUUACCUUCUUAUCUGUCUAAAUAAAUGCAACGUAUUGCACAGGUGGAUCUAACUCUCCGUUUCUUCUUGAAGAAACUAGUAAAAAGCGAAUUAUUAGUUUCUAUAAGUAAAUAAUAAAAAAAAAAUCCAUUAUAAAAAUACAAUUACCAUACUACCCGAUUUGUAAUGACUUUGUGAUGUAGAAAUCAUAGCCAUCGACUACUUUAAACAGUAAAUUUAUAAUAAUAUUAACUUAUAAUUUAAAAUAUUUAACUAAAAAUAUAAUUCUUUCAAAUAAUUCAUUUUAAGUUUUUGUCACAAAAUAAUCAUACAAAUGAUCAAAAUACUCUUUUUUUAUUUUAAAAUUUGAAAUUUUUAUUUUUUUAAAUUUGAAACCAUAUCCCAAAACCCCACCAAUUAACUAUAAAUUUUAAGUUUAAAUUAGUUAAUCCUAAAGUUUUUUAUUUUUUAAUAAAAUUUAUUUUGAUUAUUUUUUUCAUUAAAAACUAUUUUUGCGAAAAUAAACUAAAAAAACUAUCAUAUGGAUUUUUCGAACUAAAAUCAGUUAUACUUUUUUUCUGUCAACAAAUUAGCUAUACUUAAAAUUCGUAAAACUGUUGAGCUACACUUUAGCCUUAUUAUUUUAUUAAAACGACGUUUAUUUAAUUGGAAAAACAGAUAUACAACACCAACCACACAAAAUGAAUAUGGAAUAAGUUUUAAAUUUUUCUCUUACAUUGAAAUGAUAAUUGAACGUGUAUAUAUAGGAAUGGAAAACAUUAAAUUUAAAAUAUGGAUAUAAGACGGUCAAGUUAUUUUUAUAUUUGACCAGUAAUGUAAUUUAACGCACAAACACAUAAUAAUACAUAGAAUAAAGCUGCAGGUUAUAUAAAUUGACCUUAGGAGUAAUCAUUUACACGAAGUCUCUCUGAUUAUUUUUAUUUUCUCGAUUUCGUCUCUAUCCUUCUCCUUUCUCUCUAUCGGGAACAAGAGAGGUUGAGAAAAAAUCGUGAGAUAUGGUUGAGACGAGACGCAGCUCAUCCGCUUCCAAGCGUUUCUGUUCUUCUUCUUCCUCCCCUGAACCGUCGUCGUCAUCUCCUCGCCCCACCAAGCGAUCUAAGGUCAAGAUCGAUGCUGCUAUUGAAUCUGUACGUAGCUCUUGUUCCGAAUCUGAGUUUUUUUUUUUUUGUUUUUUUUUAAUUUCGAAUCUGAUGUUUUGAUAACCUAGGCGGCGGCGGCGGAACCGGCGGGGUCUUCGUCGGCGAGCGAGGUUCCGGUUGAGAAUCAAGGGCCGGUUUCGGAUCCUGGAUCGGAGUCUGGGGAGCCGGAGCUUGGAUCCUCUGAUCCGCAAGGUGUGGAUGCGGAGAAGCCUGUUUUGACUGAUGUGCCUGUGAUGGAGAUCUCUCCUGAAGCCGACGCUAACCCUGAAGCUGAUGUCUUGGCGACACCUGCAAUAGCAGGUUUGAUGUUCGGUCUCAUGCUUUUGUCUGUUUAAGAAAGAAUUAUCCUUUUCGAAUGUUUUAAUUGUGGAUUUAGGUGAAGUGGUGGCGGAUGGUGAGAAGUCGAAGGCCGGGAAGAAGCGAGCUAAGGCUCCAUGGGCGAAGCUACUUUCUCAGUAUUCUCAGGUGUGUCAAGUUUAGUUUCUUCGUGAUUGUUUUUUUUUUUGAUCUACUGGUCUUUACGGUUUAGCAGUGUGCAGUUCGUGUAAUAAUUUUAGUAAAGUUUUGGUCUUUCAGUUCAAUUUUCUGCAUGUCCGGUUCUUUUAUAUUUUUUCCGACAGAAGUAUGUUGUUUUGUCUGAGACUUUUCUGGUCUACAAGUCUGCCAGUAAAAGUUUAGCAGUAUGUAGUUCGUGUAAUAUUUUGAGUAAAAGUUUGGUCUUUCAGUUCUUGCCGAACGAGUUUAGUUGUCUUCAUGUCUGGUUCUUUUAUUUUUUUUCGGACAGAAGUCUGUUGUUAUGUUUGGGACUCUUUUUAUACUUUUUUUUUCUGGACUACGAUACUUCUGUUUCUAACUGUCCCAAUGCUUGUUUCUCUGUAAUUUCAGAACCCACACCGUAUCAUGAGGGGCCCUGUGUUUACUGUUGGACGCCGAGGAUGUGAUUUAUCUAUCAAAGACCAAUCUAUGCCCAGCACCCUGUGUGAGCUGAAGCAGUCUGAUGUAAGGACAUCUUAGUUCCCCCUUUUUUUUUUUUUUUAUCUCAGUCUCUUUUUUUCUUACAUAAUGAUUGUGCAGCACGGAGGUCCAUCUGUUGCAACAUUGGAGAUAACAGGGAAUGGAGUUGUCGUUCAGGUGAAUGGCAAGUGUUACCAGAAAAGUACUUGUGUUCAUCUUCGUGGUGGUGACGAGGUCAUCUUCACCAAUUUUGGCAGACAUGCUUACGUAUCCUUUAUAAAGUUGUGUGAAAAUUUAUUAUAUUCGCUUUUAUGCUAUCUAUAAUGUUCUUGUCAAGACAUUCCAAACUCGGGUAGGCAGAUCAGGUAGUGUGGUAAUCAGUCCACUCGAAUCAGCCGAUAGGGCAUAUAAAAAAAUUCAAUGGUUUCUGGGUAACUUUUCUUUAACGGAUUUCUAGAUAUUUCAACCUCUUAAAGAUGAAAAUCUAGCUGCUGCUCCUGAUAGAGCUUCUUCAGUGAGUGUAUGUGAAGCUAGAGGUGCACCUCUGAAAGGAGUCCACGUUGAGACAAGAGCAGGAGACUCCUCAGCUGCUGAUGGAGCCUCUAUACUAGCAUCUCUGUCAAAGUACCGCAACUUCCAUCUCCUACCACCAAUUGCUAAAUCUGCUAAAAAGCAGCAAAAUCAGGAGGCUCCUGUGGUACCUUCCAGCUGCAACGAUUGCGUCUCAGAUACCGAGAUGAACGAUGCUGAUAGUAACAAUGAUCAUGCUGAUAUUGCUUCUGUGGAGAAAACUGCUGAUGCU